rnacentral:lncRNA from 1 species
AGCCUGACCUGACCUAUGCAGAGUAUCCGGCCAAGGUCCUUGACUAGAAAGAAAGGCAUACCCGGCGCCAAAUGGUCAAAAUGUACAAGAUCCUCAGGAGGAACCACACGGAGGAUGAAGCAACGUGGGAAAACAGAAGAGUACUUGAACAAGCACUUCCCCAGUUUUCUUUCCAGCCAAGGAGGUAAAGGCUACACACCCCCACCGGUUACUUCUACAUCUGAAUCUCGGGGCGAGAUUCUUUUUAAGGGGGGUAGGCUGUAACGGCCUCGGACAAAUAUCCUUCGCGUCAAUCUUAAUCCGAGCCCCUGAUCACCUGUCUUAGUUUUUCCAAGCCUAAGUGUUCAACCUCUAGCUCUUCCGACCCCUGCGAUCCGACCCCUCGCCGUGGUCUCCCCAGUUCCGACCCCGCCGACCCCCAAUCCACCGUCGGAUCUUCCUAAGCCAUCCCGCAGCAUCGCCCUCCCGUUCGAGCAGUGGACCACCGAGACUGACCGGUGGGCCCACGAGACCUUUUCCCCCAGAUCUCCCGUGACAGGCGCACUCGAGUUGCAUGCCCGCUUCAGUUGUCCCCCACCGCGUGGCUCAACUCCUCCGCCGUCCGCCGCUCCGCCCCGUCUUCGGCCCGCGACCGGAUGGAAUCCCGCGCCCUCUUCCCCAAUUGCAGCGGAAGCCCCUCUGCAACCCUUUCUGCAGCGCCUCGCCGCCCACGCCCAUCAUCACAUCGCCAGAUCCCGGCCGCAGAGCCCGAUGCCGCCCGUCUUUUCCAUCACCUCGCCGCCGUCGCGCCGCCCGGUCUUCGCUACACGACGAUUCCUCCUCCGCCAACCCAUACCGCGGCAGCGACAGCUCCUUUUCCCGCCCUGUCAGAAGCCGCCCCGACAAUCUGUUGCUCCACGCUCGCCCGCGUGCCUGCAGCCGCCUGUCUUCUCACCUGUGCGCCCUCGAUCCUAGCGUCGUUUUCCCGGUCACUUCCAUCCGCUCCACCGCACGACGACGCCCGCCUCCACCAAAUCUCAACCACCGGUAAACCCACGCCUGCGCCGCCCUGACGCCAGUGCCCAAUGACCAUCGGCGUCAUCCGCGAAGUCCUGCUCCACCGUCCUCGUCACUCAAUCGCCGCCCGGGCAGAGCACUCCAUCGCUUCUUCCCCGGCAUUCACGCCGCUCCCCCUUCUCUCUUCCGCGCAGCUAUAAAACGGGAUGCGCAAGCCCCGUCGGAGUUUCCCUUGCCCUAGCUACCAUCUCUCUUGCUCCCUGUUCGAGCUCACAGCGCCACCACCUAAGUCUGAGGAACUCUCCUCUCUGCUCAAGGACCACCGCUUUCCCCGAUCCGCCAGCCACUGCUUUCAGUGCUGUCCAAGAGCUUGCUUGUGAUCCACAAGAAGCACCGCCGUCGCCGGACAUUCUCGCCGCCGUCCCAAGCCCUUAGUUCUUCCACCCAAGCCUCCUCUGUGAGACGAAGGUAGGCUGCCGACCCUUGUCCACUUCGCCCAACCCCUCUUAUCCGCCCGACCCUUGUCCGCUUCGCCCGACCCCUCUUAUCCGCCCGACCCUUGUCCGCUUCGCCCGACCCCUCUUAUCCGCCCAACCCCUCUUAUCCGCCCGACCCUUGUUCGCUUCGCCCGACCCCUUUUAUCCGCCCGACCCCGAUUCUAUCUCGCCCGACCCUGUCUGUUCCGCCGACCCUUCUCCGCCUCGCCCGAGGGCUCGGCUGUGUCUUUUUCUUUGAACCGAGGGUGUAUGUGUAAAACUUGGGGACCUUUCAGCGUUGAGUCUGAGGACCCCUAGUACAUCAAACCCUCUAGUUUAAGGGUCAGCUCAUAAGUUCCUUCCCUCCGACCCUUACCUCCUGAUCUCCAUCAACUCCAUUGAACCUCCCCACCCUCCUGUAUUUUGUCGCAAGUUUCUGGGCUCAGACUUGCAAGUGUUACUGUUGAAAUAACCGUCUAUGCUAACCAAUGCAUUGCAUUCGUGUAGAGCUGCGUCUCGCCGAUGGCUACUACGAGCUGCACACGUGCCAGAAGACGACAGUGUAGCUGAGCUCCUGCCCCCAGAAGCCGAAGCUGCCCCAAAAGUCGAGCAGUUCCCUUCCUCUUUGCUCGAAGGCAAGCCCCGGAUGCAUGAAUUCCCUGUGUUUUACCAAAUUUGCGCAUGCCUUCUUUAACAUGCUUGUGCAUUUAUGUAUAGGAGUUGUUUGGAACCCUAGAUGCAUAACUUAGCUCCCCUGAUCUGAACACUAGCUGUUGGACCGAGUAGAUGCUUUGCUUAAAUAGGAAACGGUAAAAGCCGAGUGAUUUCCUGUCACUCGCGAGUUGUAGGAGUUGGUUGUUCCUCUUCUGUAACAAUUAUAAGGACGAUGGACGGGGUAGGGUUUGAGGUAACUUUUUGGUGGUCGGAUGAUCGCCCCGCCUGUCUAUGAAACUUGCUAAGUCCCGACAGUGGUGGUGUUCGUGAUAAAGUGUUUGAAAGUACUAAUCUCAUACCUAGUAUGGGAUGGGAAAGCCUAGUACCUGAUUGAACUAGGACGUGGCUUAUACCCCUACUGUCCCUGGAACGAGGUUCCCAUGGUGCAUCAUGUGGGUGCAAGUGCGGUCACAGUACAGCAGAGACCGGGGCUGUGGAGCAUUGCAUGCCAAGGGAAGUUUGGACCUGACACGCGCCUGGGAAUUGAUGGGGACGGCCGACACAGGAAGCGGCCCUUGUGGUGCGCGGAUGUCGUGAGAUUAGGUUCGCCAUGCAUGGUUAAGAAACUCGAAUCAAUUCGUCUGCCCCUCACAAUUUGAGACUGCUUGAUCGCUAUGUCACCCUAAGUAAAUAAGGAAUCUGAUGAUGACAUGGUUUUGUUGAUGAGAUAUAUAUACCUUUUGGUUGGUUCUAUGGUUGCUUAGAAUAGGUUGCAAACUUAGACCGGAUAAUGAACUUAGAACCGGAGCUAAAACUUGAAAGUAGGGUUACAUCUAGCGCUUUUGGCAAACAAACCCCUCAGCCAAAAAGCCUUGCGUGUCUAGAAGAGGUAGUUUAGCGCGCUCCCUGUCGGUUAAGUCUUGUUGAGCUUUGUAGCUCAGCCUUGUUGUGGCUCUUUCUUUUCAGGUGAAGUUGCUGCUUCUGAGCCCCCUUCUGCUGGCACUUGGCCACCCCAACUCCCUUCGGGUUGGACGGUCGAGUGGGAUCCCUCCUCGGACGGCGAGGAGAGGGAUCAUUGACGUCCCGGUUGGCCUCACCAGGGAUGUCCGACCCCGACGAGUUCGCUUCCGCUAGUGGUUUUACCUUUUGUUGUUGUUUUUCUGCCGAACCUUGUAAAACUCUGAUGUGUUUUAUGGCCAAACUAAAUGGGUAAUUUGUUAACUCGGUGGACUUGUUGUAUUCUCUGGAACCGCUCACCUUCGUGUGGGUUUGCUAAUUUGUCCUGUUCAAGUGGUUAAUUCGGAUGAAAUCCGACGGCACUUCGUGUUCACUCGGUUUAUGCAUGAGCGUCGCGUAUCAUGCGGCUAAUCCAUGUUUAACCAAGUAGAUCCGAAGUGGAUCCACCACAGUAAUGAUCUUUGGUCCAAAAGUAACUAGCAAGACCACCUGACCAAGGGGUACAGCCGCAUUACCCGGGAUGAUCCUAUAGAACAGAGAGUUUGUCGGGGUGAACUUAUCCGUAACAUCAAGGCCCAUCUUCCUCAAAGUCUUGGUGAAUAGCACGUUGAGGCCACUACCUCCAUCGAUGAGUAAUUUUGUGCAUCGAGAGCCUGCGACUACCGAAUCCAGGACGAGAGGGUAGCGUCCUGGGUCGGAGAAACUAGUCCACUGAUCCUUCCUGGAUAAGAUGAUUGGCACCUUGGACCACUUGAGGAAUGUAGGUGUUGCUGGUGCAAUGGACAUAAUCUCCCAGAGGGCUAGUUUCUGGACCGCUUGGUAGCAGUACCCGGAGUACCACCGAAUAUGAUGUUGACGGUGUUAGACGGAUUCUGUAAUUUUCCAUUAUCAUCCUCAUCUCUAUUUUCUUUGGCCUUGCCCUUGUCCUUAGCUUCAGAAGAUUCCGAUAGAUCUUUCAUGACUCUACGAAGGCUUAUGCACUCCAUCGCAGAGUGUUUGGAGUGUGGGUGCCAUGGGCACUGCUUCUUUAGGAGCUCCUGAACGGAGUCCUUUCUUGGUUUCCACCACUUUUCUUGGCGGUUUUGACCACCCGAGUAGUUGCCUCAGUUGUCAUUGGGAUGAUCGUUGCGAUUCUUGCCAUUACUUUGGCCGUUGCUCUAGUUAUUAUUGUUCUAGCCUAUGUUAUGACUAGAUUCAAACCGCUCGAUCUCUUUGUCUUAUUCAUCUGUCCAGGCCUGUAUCAUGGUCUUGAGAGACUUGAUAUCUUUCGAGUGUCUUCUGCCAAUAUCUUGGAACAUCCGGCAAUCAUAGAGACCGUUCUGGAAGCACUCUAUGGUGUCCUUCUCCGUGAUAUCCAUGACAAUGGCCUUCUUAUCGAAGAAACAACGUAGAUAAUAGGAUCUUGCCUUGUCGCUAUUUGAUUUGUGACAAGUCGAUCAUGUUAACAGGAUGUUGCAUUGCCCCAGCAAAAUUAUUUGUGAACGCCGCCUUCAGCUAACACCACAUGUUGAUGGAAUUCCUUUUUAGAGUCUCGAGCCAAGUGAAUGGCACUGUCUCCAUGCAGAUGGGGAAGUAGAUGACCUUGGUGUCAUCGUUUCCUUCCGCUGCUUGGACCGCUAGCGAGUAGCAACUCAACCAUUGGACUGGGUCUUGUUUGCUGUCGUAUUUGUUAAUGCUCGGAAGUUUAAACUUGUCAGGUAGUACCGUCUCGUGUACUCAUCUUGAAAAGGCUGGGAACCUGUUAGUGUCUUCUCCCGAGUAGUCAACUUCUUGAUCGCGUUCGCGGUGGCGCCCUUCGAUGAUGACACGAGCGUCAUGAUUCUGGUUGAGCUGAUGAUGGAGGUCGCGAGGUUGCUCAGGGUCUUGACGAGGCCUGCGGUGGCCACGGCCUCCCGAGAGUCCCGUCCGACUACCUUCUGCCCUAUGCUAGCUUGCUCUGUAGUUCUCAAUUCUGGUAACCUUGUUUUAACUAGGUCUAGCAGCGUCGUUGCGACUUGGAUGCCUGCCAUUGCUACCAUGUUGGGAAGAGGUGCGUCAAACCGAGGUGAUCGGAUUCUGUCAAUCGAGUUGUUCAUACGCAUGCUCCACCAGUAGAGCUAGUUGCCUGGUGUACUUGUCUUGUGCCAUCGUGUGAGUGAGUAGGUCAAUGGAGGCGGCGGUGGCGAGAGGAGUGUGGUGGUGAUGCGAUUGAACUGCUUCAAACGUGUGAUCCAAGUUCAUGAUGGGUAAGUCGGAUGAGAGGUGGUGGUGACAUUUUGCUCAUGCUGUGUUUCUUGUACGCCAACAUUUCCUUUGACUUUUGGUUUCUUCUUCUUGGACAUUGGCAGAGAGUUCAUCCACCGACACGUCGUCUGGAUGGCACUCGCAUCGUGGAUUUCUUUCUGGUUGUUCUGCUCCAUUGCCGUCUUGAGGAGCGAUGAUGGCGAGUAGUUCUCGCUCUGGGAAGAAACUACUCGAGCUUGACGUGAUGAUCUCUGUGGGUCCAUCUUCUUCGUAGAUAGGAGACAGAGGUGUUCCGUCCUGGUACGAAAGGUUUGUCGAGGUACGCGACAAGGCGUGACUCAUCAUCCUUGGCAAGGGCAGAUGGUUUCAUGCCGAGCCAGUAGACGAAUCUACCUUGUGGAGUAGAUGUGAUCACCAAGCCCUGCUGCGGAUCUAAUAAAGGAAUCUCCUCGUCCGGAUCCGAGUAGUAGUCGAGGUCCUCGAUUGAAUUCGAGUUGGAUUGGGAUCUGGAUAGGAAAGCUUGGUAGAUAGAGCCCGUGUUUCGAAGUCCGAACAUGAAUCGAGUUGUAUUGUAGACCAAUUCACAAAAUGGCUCAAGUGCCAGCUUGUGAGAACUAGUCCGACUGGUGGGAGAAGUCGAGUUGAACUUGGACUCGUCCCUGGAACCUCGGAAGAGGUUGGAAUUUCAUUGAAUUUUUGAACGAAAUCCUCCAAAGCUUGGCGAUGGAGGUUGAUGCCAUAGUGCUUCUCCUCCGGAGUCGGCAUGAUGUGGCGGUGGAAGUUUCGAGCGCCGUCUGCAACGCAGACCCAAGAGUCAAAGACGAACGUCGCGCCUUUUUCGAACGCGAUGGUGGGCUUGAUGAUGACUAGAGCCAUCGAGUUUGCCGGUGGAUCUUUGGCGAGAACCCCUACCUGGUGCACCAGUUGUUGCUGUUUAGACCCGGCAACCUACCGAGGGGGUACCCAAGGUAGUGUUUUGUGCGUGGGGCUCGUUGAAGACCAAGAACUCGAAGGUAAACUCAAACACACGAUUUAGAUAGGUUCGAGCCGCUUAUGUCACGUAAUACCCUACGUCCUAUGUGUUGGUUGGAUUGUAUUGAUUGAUGAUUGUUUGGAGGGGUUCCCUGCCUUAUCUUAUAUUGCCGGGGGCAGGGUUACAGGUCAGUUGUUGCACAAGAGUACUAGUCGGAUUCGACUAGAGAGUCCUACUCUAAUUGCUACGAGUAGUUUUCUAAUCCUCGACUAGUCCUUAUCCUCCACAUAGACCACGCUGUACUACACCAUAGUCUACAUGUCCGAUACGUCUUGGUGUACAGCCCCGUAUUGUUGGACUGUCCAAACCUCCCGGUGGGCCCAUAGAUGUAUGGCCGACAUUGAGUUCCUUGUAUUGUGUGGCAGAUUAUUCCCGAGCUUUGUGAUGUAGUGUUGUGUGUUUCUUCGAGUUUGUUGCUGUCGUGGUGGAGUGUUGUUGUAUGUGUUGAAACUUCUCUUCUUCUUAAUAAAAAACGAACUAUGCACGUCUAAAAAAAAUAUACGCAUGUGGUUAUGGUGAGUGUGCAAGCAUAUGCAUAGGGGCAAAUAUGCAUACACUUUGUGUCUAUAUUGUACUCCCUUCCUUCCAAAUUGUAGGUUAUUUUAAUUUUUCUAGAUUCAUAGAAUAUCUCUAUAAAAUUCAAAAUGAUCUAUAAUUUGGAAAGGAAGUAUUUCACAACAAAAAUAAGUUAUAUAAAACAAUUUUCUACACAUGGACGUGGUAAAAUCAAAAGUGUAUGGUCGUGUUUAAGUUACCUUGCACGCGCACGUCAAAUGUCGAAUCCAAUAAAAGUUCCACGGCACUUCCGAUAUUUACUGGUUUGAGAGAAUAUUUUUGAUGGUUUGGCCCAACUUUAUUCAAAUCAUGAGUCCUUUGAUUUAUGUUGGUUGGUCAAAAGCGGAACAUUUGCGUCUAGUCAGCACAGCCACACAGUGGGCCGUCGCCAUCCCCCCGCAGCGCAUCCAGCAAAAAGUUCUCCACAAGAUGGCCUCCCCCUACGGCGGCAUGCCACGUGUGGAUCCCUCCCGCGUGGCUCCAAAGCUCCCGUCCCCAACACGGAGGCGCUACGGCCACCGAGCUGGCUCAAGAAACUUGACAGCACCAGUGUAUGACAUAUGGGCCCGUAGACAAGUUCGGGGUACGCGACGCGGGUGCGGCAGGCGAUUUCGGUGCUCGGGGGAGGUGGCCCUUCCCCUGAGUGGCCCACAAUAUUCUACCAGUCCAAGUCAUCCAGCUCAGCCUGGGCCCAAGCUAACGAUUCCAUUCGGAGCACUUUACUACGUUCAGGUUUGUGUUGUGAUCCGUUGCUCCCGUUUAGCUUUCGAGUCUGUAUUUAGGAUAAUCAGUUUUGGUGAAAACUUUGUAGUACUCGACACUAGUUUGGUUAGCCGUUUGUUUCCUAGCACUACUUUUUUCUUUGUACUUGCAAAGGAAGAUGGUAGAAUCAAUCAAUGAAACAAAAAUAUGGUGCGUGAACGAUUGAUCAACAGAACUCAUCUUACAAACCACAUGUGAACCUUCAUUUCCACUUUCAUCAGUGAGAGCAGAAGUGAUCAUUAGUUCAUUAGAUGAUAUGGUAGUUUUGUAUUCACCAUGAAAAAGGUUCAUGAUUUUUUUUUCCUGCAAGAAGUCCAUCAUGCUUCGUGUAUAUAACACAAGUGCACUACGGGAAAAAAAAAUUCAACAAUCCUACUCUCACUAAAAGAUCCAACAAUACUUGUCAUGAACAUAACAAGUAUUGUUGAAUCUUCUAGCUAGACUAGGAUGUUUUCAGUGCAGACUAUCCGUUCAAGGUCAUCAAUGAUGUUUUCUUUACAAUAUAUUAUAUAACGUAACAUUUAUAUCCAUUUUUUGCAAGCUGUAUAAAACAGCAAUAAAUAAGGUAUAGUACGGAUAGUCGACGUGUACAAGGGUUUCAAAUUGUGCAACACGUAACUAUCUAGUGGAAAACAAAACAACUAAUCGCAAUCACAGUGCAGGAUCUCCAUGGUAAUAGGAAAUGUAUCACACCCUAAUUCACACUUAGACCUGAGCGAAUUUGGCCAGGCCCAGCCCAGCCCAUGGCCAUUAUAGGGCCAGGGGUGGCGCGCAUUUUGCUGGCCAAAAAAAUUUGGCCGACCCGAUUAUUUUUUAUUUAUUUUCCAACUAAAAAGGACUGGGCGGCCUGACCAGCCUGAGCCCGACCCCAAAAAAGCCACGUUUUUUGGCUCGAAAUAUUCUGGGCUUUUCGCCGACCCAACUCAAGCCUAGCCCGGCCUGCAUUUUGCUCAGAUCUAUUCUCACUGCAACUAAAAUACCCAUGCAAGUUUACCUCUAAACAAAAGUUAGCGUAGAAGAAUCUGAAUAGUUAAUAGGGAUUAUAAGAAUAUAGAUUCUGACCAAUAAUAAUUUGGUUUGACUGGGUCAAUGGAUUAUAAUAUAGAAUCUACUUAUGCCUAUCUCACUCUUUCUCCACAUAGCCUCCUAGUAGUAUGGUUGUUGGAUAUAGUAGGUUUUUAUAAUCUGGGUGGUUAGAUUCUUAUAAUCCACCGCAGUGGGUAUUUUUUUUUAUCUCGUAGCGAUUUUUUAGCGGAUUUUCUUUAUAUAAUCAUAUGAGAUCCAAUCAUACCUUAGCUAAUCACAAUGGUAAAUCUUCAUGGUAAACGCGGAGAACAUAAAUAAAAUGAUAAGGAAACCCUAAUUCUCACUGCAACAGAAACGCCCAAGCAAGUUUACAUCUAACAAAAAUUCAUGCACAAAAAGAAGUGAAUGAAACACACAUUCAUCCCCCACACACAGUCACCACAGAGAACCCCGCCCCAGACUCACCCAUCAAGCAUCAACCUGCUGGUUAUAUGGCCCAAUUCCUUCUCUCCAUUUUCUGAAACCUCCCAAUCACGGCAAUGAACACAAGUUAAUGCCCCCAAAUCAACCAGCGGCGGCGACGCUUCCCGACCGCCCGCCAGAAAAGAACCAAACCCCAUGAUGGAGCCCCCCACGAAGCAAGGUGACACGAGCGCCCACGGCCCAGGGACGCGGGGCACCGCUGACGUGGAUCCGACGGGCGGCCGCGCCGCAUCCGACGGCCCGGAUCGCCGCAACCCUUCUUUUAUCCCCCCGGCCCGCCCCUCCCCGCCCUCCCACGCCCACCCGCCACAAGGCAGAGAUCCCCACACCCCUCCCUCGUCGUCUCCUCUCCUCCACACGCGCCCGCCCGCGAGAGAGCGAAGAGCUUGCGCCUGCACUUCCAUGGCCAGAGCCUCAUCGUGUGCUCUUCGAGGCUUCAGAGUCGCUCGGUCGCCCGUAGCAGUCCUGGUUUGAAAGGACGGGCGUGCGGAGAGAGGCGUUGUGAUUAUUUCUUGGAGCAGGAGGACGAGCAGAGAGGAGCGGGGAGGAAGAUGAUGGUGGGGAAGAGGGAGAGGGACUGCAAGAACCCGAUGCGGCGGACCACGAGCAUGACGGAGUUCGCGCCGCCGGACGUGCUGGCGGCGGUGGCGGAGGACGAGGAGGCCCAGCUGCCCGACAACAACCACCGCGGCGGCGCCGGAGGGCAGGACUGGCUGUCCGCGUUCGACGGCGGCGCCGGUGGCGCCGCUGCGCAGGAGGACUGGCUGGCGGCGUACCGCGCGCGCGCAGCGCCGGCGCGGGCGGGGCUGCGGCGGAACUCCGCCGACUACUCCGUCGUCGAGACCGCCGCUUUCCUCCGCGCCUGCGGGCUCUGCUGCCGCCGCCUCGGCCCCGGCCGCGACACCUUCAUGUACAAGUACGUAUAGUACAGUAUUCUCCGUCAGUGAUUCAUGUCUGGAUAAUCUUAAUCUUCAUGUUCGUGCGUGUCCUAAAAAAGACGUGCCUUUCUUUCUGCUGCUGCAGGGGCGAGGCGGCGUUCUGCAGCCUGGAGUGCCGGGAGCGGCACAUCACGCAGGAGGAGUGGAAGGACAAGUGCACCGUGAAGUCCAUCAACAACAAGGACGCGGCCGCGGGGGCGGCGCCGGUCGCCGGCCGCCGCGCCGGCUCCGGCAAGCCCGGGGCCGGCGGCACGGUGGCCGCGGCAUGACGAGGCGCGCGCGAACUUACGCCGCACCUACCCACGCAGGCCACUCCUACACCUUCCUCAACUAGCAAGCUGCAGGCUCAUCGAUCAAUCACUCUGCAUAUCAGCAAGACAGUAAUCACUCAUAUACUAGUUAUCACCAGCUUGAUUAAUCGAUUAGAGUUAUCUGGAUCGACCACCGCAGCAUGAAGCCGUAGAGACGCCAUUAGCUUGAUCCGAUCCAUAGAUCCGUGUAAUAUGUUUCAUAAAAAAAAUUCUUCCAGCUCGCUAUGCUACCUACGAUGGUAGAUGAUGGUAUAUACAAUCUCAGUGUACCGAUCGAUCGAGCAGCGUGUAAGCACACACUUCUGUAGAAGCGAGGAAAGAGAGAAGUGGCCACAGCACUAGCUUGCAGAUCGAUGAGCUGCAAGGCUGAGAGAGCUGUUGUUGGGAUCGAUCGAUCCAUCUUGUCACGCCACUAUAUAUAAUCAGACAUGUGAUUUACGAGGACAAGACACUGCGAGUAGUUUAGAAUUUAAUCACUGAGACCGACUAUACCUGAGCAUGCAUGAUUAUUGUCUUCUGAUCUGUCAAAAACUGUAUGUUCUUCAUCAGAUUCAUUUGCUGUUCGGAGCAGAAGAGUUUUGCAUUGUGAGAUCGUGCGAAAAUCAAUUAGAGUCGUACGUGCAGUUAACUAUUCUGUUUAGCACAUUCGAUCAGUAUUAUUGUACUACCAUAUACGUGUCAAUUGCGAAGGUCUCUCGUCUCUAUCAUGUACGCUGUACUGUUGUAGGUAUACGAUGUUCUUUUUUUCUGCUUAUACGUGUCCGCGGGCCAGCCAUGCCCAUGCAUGCUUAUUAAACCAUUCAGCUACACUAAUAGUACUCGUAGACUGAUUGAUAAGCUCGUGCCUUGUGAGUAUAGUAGCACAGAUCAAGCAGCAGGAAAGCUUGAUAGUUCUGUGACGCUCACAUGGAUAAUGCUGUCGCCAUUACUAAUCAAGUAGAGCCUAUAAUGUCACCAUUGCAAAUGCCAAGUAUGAUUAGUUUUGCUGUACUAUAUUCAAAUCAAUUCAGUCCCUGAUUACGGCAGAUAUAAUGCUACCUCCUCCUACAAGAUCAGGUGGUACCACUUCGGAGCAUCAGCUUAUUUGCAAGGGUCACUAGCUAAUGAAUGGUAGCUACAAAGCUAGUACUAGGGCACUACCAGCAGUACCUGCGCAAUGCCGCUGGCAUGGGUCAAUCUGUUCGCUUCUCUCUGUCAGAGCUCCGGCCUUGUACUCCUUCCGUUCCCGUACAAUGCAUGGAGGAGAUGGAGAUCGAUAGAGCACGGGGCAGAGUAAUGGCGUACGGCCGUCCAUCCCCGGAGCACGAUGUCGACACCAUGUUGACACUGGCCGACGGCAGCAGAACCUCAGCUGCUUUGGAAAGAACACAAAGAACAAUGUACAUGUUCACAGGCUACCAGUUCCAUGACUCCAGGAGAGAUUCAUGCCGACGAUGAUGCCAUGAACGUUCAGCACGUGCUCUCUACACUACACUCCAGUAGAGUGUCCGGAUCAUAACAUGAAACGAAAGGCACUAUUCUGAGAACUAUAGUCCUAGGAGCAUAAUAAUUCCCAUGGACAAUCAAACUGCACAUGGAGUAGAUUAAGAAAUGAUUAGUCGUAGUCAACUUACAACGAGAAGCGUAUCAUUCGGUAUGAUUCUGUUAAAUAUUUCGUACAUGAAGAUAUCAGUUUGACGCGAUUCUAGUAGCUGGAAUAUUAGAGAAUCUAUCCUUUCCAUUAAACCAUGGCCGUGCUAAAGUCAGCGGGCACAAGGUGAAGGCAAAAGAAAAUUUUCUUCUUCCUUGAGUGUUCACUCUUCUCUUGAGAGACACUUGUCACAUUUUUCCUGUUUCAUGGACAAGUUUCUACUAAAAUUGGUCAUCUUGAUUGGCUUCGUAUCUUACAGUGAGAUCUGAACUGUGGGGACCUCCCUUCGGGAGUCCCGCUGAUCACUUGUAUUUAUGGAUCAGUAGGCUAAUGCAGUUACCAUCACAGUUCAAUAUUUUAAGCAAUAAAAUGUGUAUAAUUUAAUAAGAAAAAAUCUUCACCUUAGCACAGCGAAGUGGUGCCCAUCCACUAACAAGAUAGUUUAAACACCUAGAAAUCUAUACCUGUAUGAUGAAAGGAAGGCUGAGUACAUUUACGGUUGGUACUCAACAAAUUCCAACCUUAACUAGUAUAUAUUAAAUGCAAUAUGGGAGGUGGUCAAGGAAUAUAGUUGAGAGGCAAAACCUAUGCCUAAAGCAUCUCACAGAUGCAAAGUGAAUUUCAAAGGUGAGUUAUGUAAAGACUCUCUAAGAGAGUUACUAUUAUAUUAUAAGAUGAAAGUCCCCAGGUUUUAAUUCUGGAGUCCGAUCCACGACUUCAUCCGGCAAUUUUAUCACAUUAAUUCCCACCCAAAGGCUAAUCAUGGGGGCUUUGACAAAGUGGGCUCUUAACCGUGAGCCUCGGCUAUCGAUAGGUCAAAACUCUGCGCAGAGGUGUACACAUCCAUACGUUCGAUCAGCCCAUACCUUGUUCCUAGGCUACACUGAUCUACAAGACCCAUGCCCGCUCACGUCUAUCUCAAAACAGCAUUCCCUAGAUCGGUCCGCGGAUAUACUGGGGUCUAAGAAGGGGCCACUAACAUCCGCUACGUGGAUCCAAUCCUAGGAGUGUGCACAAAUAUAUAAAACAUGGCCUCUGACCCUCAGGGUCUCCGUCCCUCUAAACAAACAACUCGUGCCGACCAGACUUGGGACUAUACGAAGUUUCUGCUCCACUAUACCCGUUGCCCACCUUGGCCGCUUGGGAUGGAUGUCUAGGAUCAGCUAGCGGGGUUCGAAUCAAGGCCUCACAUGAACAGGCACUCCCGAAGGCUGUACCUUUUUGGCACGUAUGGUUGUACAUGUUACAAGAAAGACUCUCCCAAUGAACCGUCAUGUAAGGACCAGGGUAAGCGUUAGGGCAGUAUGUUCCCCCACAGGGGCUGUCCUUUUACUCGCAGGUCUAAAAUACACCCUGGGGGUUUAGUUACUACCUUUUUAUAAUUAACUCACACUUUCCCAAAAGGAAAAUCCUUCCUAAGUCUUUUAUAAAAAUAUAAAUUUAUGGUGCGUGUCAGAUCCUCCCCGUGGAGGAUCCAACCAUAUUUUAUCCCCAUUUACAGGGCGUGACUCAACUUGCCUAGCGUAUCUACUAAACGGAGGGUUGGUGAGAAGAGUAGUUUUCCUAGGGUGGUUUGGCCUGUGGCAUUUCAAUAGCAAAAGGGGGAAAAUCUAGCAUGCAUGUAUCUCUAAAGAAAUAGUUCUUAAAACAAAACAAUGUUGUCUGUAUUAGGUUGGCAAUAUUAUUAACUCUCGCACUCAAUGGGAUAAAGUAUGCACUAGGAGUCAGGAUUGCCUUCAUCGAAAAUCCUUAACGUCUCCUAGGGCAACCAGGGUUCUUGGCUUCGAGUCCUUCUGGACCCUUGGCUUCAGGAUGGAGCCUGGUCAUCUACCAUCUGAUGAGAGCGCAUAAAAUAACAAUCAAUAAAACAAUGCACCAAUCAAUUCGUAAGGAAGGAAAAGGAUGAGUAUUCUGGAAAUUACUUGAUAGUAAAAGGUGAAUUCUCGAUUAAUGGAUGGAUAAUUCAUUAAUUAUUUAGAGAUAGGUCUCUAAUAAUUAAUGGGUUGGGGCUGGAUAUUAGAAAAUUCUAGGGUUUUGGUCGGGCAGCACAACGGCUGGGUUCGGACGAGAAUUUGAGAUUUGGGUGGGCGGCACUACGGCUUGGUUGGGACGAGAAUUAAGGUUUAGAUCAGGUAGCAUUAUGUCUAGGUUUGGUUGAUACCUAGGGUUUUAGUCGGGCAGCAUAACGGCUGGGUUUGGGUGGGACUUGAGGUUUUGGGCGAGUGACAUGACAACUAUGGCGAGAUGAUAUUUGGGGUUUGGUUUGGGCAGCAUAACGGCUGUGUGGUGGAUUGGACCAGAGGUUUGGACAGAUCCUUAAGGGGGUAGGGUCAUUAGGGCAUUGUGGAAUAAUGAUCCUAAAGGCUAGAACUUGACAGCUUGUUCGACAGUUAGUCUGCCCAGCACUAGGGGAUAGCAUAAAUGGUGACAAACGCGGUCGGGCAAUAUCAAGUGCGAUAGAAGCCAGAGAGCUUGCACGACGGACACCACUUGUCUCGGUGCUAGGGGAUAACACUCAUGGUGACAGAUGGGCUAGUACAAGAUCAGGCAGAUGCAUGGCAGCGACGGGGGUUAGCAGUGAUGAUAGGGCAGCGAGGAACAGCCGGCUUGAUGCUGUUAACAACGCGGGUAAUAGUGGCUAGAGGUCACACGGCACACUCAGCUUCGACCUGAGGCCUUCGGCCUUACGGUGGGUGGAGGCGGUGCCACAUCUUCCUUAAAAAGAGUAGGGGCUCUAAGAUCUUAGUGAUAAGAUAGAAAAGCGUUUGAAUGAGAUGAGAAAUUAGGAAAGGAAGGCAUAGUUGGGUUUCUAAUAUUUUGUAGAAUUUUUUGUGAAUUUUUGGGAAUUUUUGGAGCUUGGGAAGGGAUUGAACUAGGAUUCGGGGUACACUAGGCGGGGUGUACGUAGCAUUUUAGGGGUAGUUGAUGCAGGCGAGGUGGAAGCUGGGUCACUGUGGCAUGUGCCCANNNNNNNNNNNNNNNNNNNNNNNNNNNNNNNNNNNNNNNNNNNNNNNNNNNNNNNNNNNNNNNNNNNNNNNNNNNNNNNNNNNNNNNNNNNNNNNNNNNNGAGAAAUUUUAAGAAGUUUGUAUUUUUAAAUGCUCUAAAAUACGGGAUGUUACAUGAACCCUCAACAAAAAAAAUAUUUUGCAUAUGUAGAAAUCAGGAAACAAAUCUGUAAAAAAAUUAAAAAAAUUAUGCACCUCAAUUUUUUGUGAGCUUUCAUAUCUCAAUUGGGUGAAGUUUUAUUUCAAGAACAUGCACUGCACAUAUUUAUUAAGAGAAUGAGAUAAAAAGGUUUACAGAAGCAUACUCUCUCCAUUUAAACUAUAUGUCAUUUUACGUUUGUUUAAAGUCAAACUUUGUCUAAUUUGACCAAACUUUUAAAAAAAUAUAUUAACAUGUACAAUAUCAAAUAAACGCAUUAUCAAGAUAUAUUUCAUAAUAAUCUAUCUGUUGGAAGUUUGGAACUAGUUUGACAUUGUAGAUAUUUGCAUAUUUUCUAUAAAUUUGUCCAAAACUAGAGAAGUUUGACUUAGUGCAAAGCUAAAAUGAUUUAUAAUUUGGAAGAGAGAACAAACAACCAUCAGUAAGGAGCUUAUAUGGAACUAAAACAAAUGGCACAGCGGCAGGGAGACCGAGAAGGAGGCAACAAAGGGGAAAGGGAGAUGAAGGAAAGAAGCUUGGCAAAGUUUAACCACACAAAAAGCAGGAUUAUGUCUUUCAUUGGGAGCAGUAGAAAAUUAUAAAGAAAAAUAUUUAUUCACUUAUUGGUCCACAUAAGCACUGGCAUAUUUUGUUUCCUUUUGCAAAGAACCCAGAACAAUGUUUAGUGACGGAUCGUGACUUGUUGUAUGAUCUGCUUGAUAAAGACUAAAGGCGUUGGAUAACUGUGGCAAGCUGAUCGUCUCAUAUCUUUUUUUGAUCCAAGUCAGCAGGAGAAGCUCCUACCUAUUUUUUUUAUAAUUUUUAUUCCAGACCCGUUUAAUUCGUUCUCACAAGGAGUCGAACUCGGACCUGCUCGGUGCUACUCAGGUACUCUAACCACUAGGCUAGAGACCCUUUCACGAUCGUCUCAUAUCCUUGUAAGCACGGUUAAAUCUUUCAUCGUGCAUAAAUGCAUGGCUAAUUAUUUUCACUGCCAUUUAGAUACAGAUAUAUACAUAAUUCCCCUCUAUCAUCCACGUAUCUAUUCAUGUGCAAAUUGAGUACUCCGUCCAUUUCAAAAUGUAGGAUGCAUUUUGUUUCACUGGGAUAACUUUUUGGCCAACAAUUGAUGUUAUUAUGUUUGUAUUGUAAACUAUUUACUUAUGAAUAUAAUUUUUGUAUCACAUAUGUAAUAUAUUAAUCUAGUAAUUGUCAGCUAAACCUUUAAUGGUAUUUAUUAUUUUUUACACUUAAAUAUAGUCUACCUACUACUCCAGAUUUCUUGAAAAAAUAAUUUCAAACUUUUAGCCACUAAUAAAAAAUCGAUAUUCAUCAAUGAAUACACAGGAAAAAGAACUAUACUCCAAUUUAGUGAACAGUAAUUUGCCUGAUUUCUUUCUUUUUUCCGCAAAACAGAAUGACAUACAAAGACACUACAUACACGCAGGCACCUGCAUCUGUAAUUGGAGCCCCGGAGACGGUGCGGGUGCGUGCGUCACAUCGGGGAGGUUUUUGCACUAGUUGCCGCAGCCAAUUAGGCAGCAGCCACUAGCUAACCACUACUAGCUCAUGUCACGGGUGGUCCAUCGCGUUGGAUGCACUUGCACUCGCGCCCAACCACAAGCCUUACGUCCUCGGCACCGUCCAGCUGUGCGUCCCACACGGGCUCUCGAUCCUGCUCGUCGUGCGAUUGCACCUCCUCCCAAUUGCGCCCUCCUUUUUGCUAUCCCCUUUUCUGGGGGUGGGGGGCAAAAGAGAGAAACCCACCGUGCCAUCGCAAUGGAGCUCACGGAUGGCUGGCUGUAUGAGACAAUGGAGAGGAGACGACAAAUACAAGUAAAAGGUGCUUUUGUUUAUGUUUUGCCUUUGCAAAGUUGUGACGCAUGGGGUUGUUCCUGUUUUGUGGCUGCGAGGAAAUCCUGCGCGCAAGUGGGGGGAUUAUUCGUAUGUGUCUUUAUGACGUGUGUAGCGUAGCUACUGGAAUCCUUGUUCAAAAGGGGGAAAGAGGGAAAGAAUUCCAUGCCCGUCCACAGGAGAAAGAGGAUUAUUCCUAAGGUUUGAUUUGUGAAAAAGUUAUAUUUUGCAUUUGUACUGAAAUAUGUACAUAUUUUAUUUUUACAAAGAAGAUCUAUCACUUGUUAUGGAGGAAAUUGUCAAGUCUCGUCAAAGUGUUCUAAAUUACCAAUUGAAAUUUCUCUGUUACUAGUUUUGUUUGUUCGCUAAUCAUCUAAUAAUGAUCCAAAGUUAUGCUACUGUGCAUCAUAUUCCUUGCAUCGUGGUUCCUUUCUGUCUCUUCAUAUUCGGUAGUGCUACCUCAUCUCUACACUCUACUUGGUGUGGUAGCCCCUGGCCUGGAUUUCGUCUGUGCCAUCACGCCUCACUGGGCAUCUUAAUUAUGAUGUGUGAGACCUAACACCAGAAUGAUUGUUAGGUAAGACCAAAGUAAGAAUAAUUAUCAUGGAGUGUGGCACCUCCUUUCAGAAGAAAAUUAUACAUAGGAUUAUAAAGCUUGCAUACAUAUUACGACAGUAUUUAUUUAACUCUCGAGAGAAUUAAAAAAUUGCCAUGCAUGUUUCAAUGCCUACUUAUUGUCUAGUGGUGAACAACUGCUUUAGGUCUGAAUGAAAAAUUGCAAGCUGCUCACCUCAAAGUAGGAUAUUAGUGACAGUGAGUGAUGGUCACUAAGCUUGAAUAUUCCAAUUUUCUGGUACUUAAAUGGUUACAAAACCAGCGCAAGCAAAUAGUUGAAGAAGACCAUGAACAUGUUUCAAUAUCAUGAGCUGAUCAGAUGCAUUGAACACCCGGCACAUGUAUAUCAUCAGUUCAUGUCUUUUCUCUACAAAUAUAUAAUUCUUUGUGCUCCAGUUAACUUCAGUUAAGAAUGAGCUCCAGUUAACCUUGUGCUAGCUAGGGCAUUAUUGCAUGUAUACAUAGUUUAAUUUCUAAUAUGUACAUGGAAAUAGCUUGUGCUAGCUCCAGUUAAUACAUAGGCUUAUAUACAUGUACAUGGAAAUAACUCGAGUAUGGAUAAUAGAAACACAAUUAUUUGCAUGUCUGUAAACAAGAAACAGAAACAAUACUUGCAAGAAGGACGUUUCUUUGCAAUAUGGUUAUAUAUCUAGCUUGUGGGGCCUGUCCGAGUCAGCACCAGAAAACGCUGCAGCCAUGCAUAUCCACCUUCUGGUGCCGAGUUGCUAGCUCCAGUAGGCUGCUUGCACCGUACCGCAAAGUGACACUUGCAAGUGUCAUACACAAUCUCCCUACCAAUAUCGUUAUCAAGAUAAGUCUGACGAGUUGAACUGUCAAGUGCAAACAUCUAGGGACGAUGCUUACCUCAGCAUGCAAUCGAUCGAUCGAUAGGGUUUCAUAAGUUAUUUUUCUUUAUGAAACGAUAGGGUUUCAUAAUUUACCUGCAAAUUAAACGAUCGAUCAAGUUUCCCACACUAGCUAGCACAUGUUCGUUACCAUCGACCUCUGCUGCAGUUAGGGUUCAGAUCAUCAUCAGCUCCUGCCAAGUUCUGCUUGAACGAAGACUUGCGGCCGCUGCACGAAUGGAUCGGAGGAUACCGCGCGCACGGCGCACCACACGCUUGGAUCCGUCGAUAUGGUCAUCGAUGGUCGAACAACUAGUCCACACCCGCCGUCGCGUCGCGGUUCGCGACCAGCUGAACACGAUUGGGCAGCCGCACGGCCAACUUUUGUUGAGCAAAUAACGGCAGGUGCUCUGCCCAUUCAUUAUAGUAGGAAGCAGUUCAGAUGUACAAGGUCAGACCAAAUGGUCCUAUAUAAGAUGAAAAAUAAGGGGGGGAAAGCAAAAAUAAAAAGGUGUACAGAUGGACUAUUCUUGGUAGGCCGCAAGAUCAUUGAGGAUUACAGAGCACAACUCAGCAGGUGAUAGCGAUUUGUUGUCGGCAGCGCUCCUUCCAAAUAUUCCAAGCAUGUAGGUUAUCAUCUGGAUGUGGUGGUCUUUUGGGUUAGUACUUGCACUGCUCAUCAACUCCCACCAGGCUAAUAGGCAAUGUACGUUGGAAAGCUGUGGUAACUGAAAGUUUGCCCGGUUUGCCAUCAGCUGCCACACCUCCUUAGCAUAGUUGCACUUGGCGAUCAUGUGCAGUGUCUUCUCUUGUGCUGAUUGACACAGUUGAGAGGUAGGAUUGGCUUGUCCCCCUCUUUUAAUAAUUCUGUCAUUAGUAGGUAGUCGACGUUAGCAGUAGCCACAUGAAAAACUUACACUUGUUUUCAACUUUGGCUUUCCAGAUCCAGUCCCAGCGUGUUUCAGAGAAAGCCCCCUUGAAUUUGGACGACUAUUGUGCUGUUGCAGAGAAUUUCCAGUGGAUAGUAUCAUUGGCUUCCGUCAGCUGGAUGUGUUGCAACAAAUUGGCGAAGAGCCGGUUCAGUGUUCAUACGCCUGAGCCCACGCAUCCACUUUCUAUCCUCUAAGGCAACAGCUACUGUCUGGUUCUUGCGCCAAGCAAACUUGAAACAAUCUGGAGCAAUGUCUUUUGGAGCUUGUCCAUGCAACCAUUUGUCCUUCCAGAAACUUGUUGUUUUCCCAUUGCCGACCGUAAUGUGUGUGCAGGCUCUGCAAAGUGCUAAUUCUGUAGGUGUGAGUUGUAUGUUCAUCCCUGUCCAUGGUUUGGAUUGAUCUGCCCACUUGAACCAUCUCCACCGAAUGCGCAGAGCCCGGUUGAAAGCAAGCAGGUCUAGGAUGCCUAGGCCUCCCAACCGUUUUGGUCUGCAUACUCGACGCCAAUUUACGGCAGCCCUUGCCAGCUCUCGCCUCCUCACUCCCUGCCCAUAGGAAGUUCUUGCGUAUUCUGUCAAUGCGUCGGAUGGCCCAUUUUGACGGGUUAAAAGAUGUCAUGUAAUAUACUGGGAUCGAUGGCAACACUGCAUUGAUCAAGGUUAACCUGCCAGCCCGUGUCAACAACCUACCUUUCCAACCUGGCAGCCGAGCACCGAUCUUGUUCAUCAGCUCUCCUUGUUUUGCCAAUGUGCAGUGGUAGACCAAGGUACUUACAUGGGAAUUGGCCCUGCUCGCCCUGAAAACUGUGGAUCAGUAGUGUCAGGUCUAACUCAGUGCAUCGAAUCGGGAAGAGUUGAGACUUUUGUAAAUUUGUUUUCAAUCCAGUGGCAUCCCCAAAGGCUUGCAGUAGGCGGCGGACAAAUAGUGCCGCAUCAUCCGCAUAUAAACUCGUCCGGAAUUUGAUCGGUUCAGCACCAAUUGUGUUGAGAAUCCCUGCCUGUGUUGCUCUGUCCAGUAUUCGUUGCAAAGGAUCCAUUGCUAGGAUGAACAGCAUCGUUGAGAGGGGGUCACCGCCACGCCGGUGUCGAAUUGGUUUGCCUGGUAUCCCAUUGAGGAGUAUGCGUGAGGUCGUACAGCCCCACAAGAUUGAUAGAAUAUCUCGCCAUCUCUGCCCAAAACCCAACUUUUCCAUCACUUCCAGGAGGUACUCCCAUCGAACACUGUCAAAAGCUUUUGCCACAUCAAGUUUAAGGAACAACAUUGGCGUCUUCGCCUUGUGAUGGUGAUUUUGAUGCGGCGCAAUGCUGUGAACCCCAGUAUGCGCGCCUUGGCAUUCCUACGUGGAUUUAAUUCCGCUUCUGUGAGGCCCCGUUGUUCUUGAGCCUGAUCCAGCAGAUGGACUAUUGCUGUUGCAUGAUCGCAUCGCAGCUACUAGCGCUAGCAAGCAACCAACCACACACUCACAGCAAGUAACAUCAUCCCAGGCCAUGCAACUUGCUGCCCUUUGCCCCUUUUGCGCUCCCAGGAGGCGGGCGGCGAAGCCAAUCAGGGAACUGGAGCAGUAACUGCGGAAAGCUCCAGCGGGAGCUCGAUCGCGAGGUCACCGCCGUGCAGACGAGAAACAAGCCGUUGUCGUCUCGUCCCUGAGGAAAGAACCUGUGGACUGACGGGGCCCAUGACAAUGGACUGCCGCGACGUUUUCCCGUCGACGGGUGGGGAUCGGAACGGAAGCUGAGAGCGAGGCAGCGGGCCUGGACCGGUGGCCGUUUCUCCACGCCCUGCGGCUCCGAGCCUCUCUCAUCUGCAGGCUUGCCUGAUGGAGACAGCGUUUAUGAGGAAGCUCCUGAUUCCUGAAUGAUUAUCGGAGUGACGACUGAAUAUGUGUGACCUAAUAUUUUUAGAUCAAGCACAGUUUCCCCUGUUUGAUUGUCAGUUCUCAGUUGCACAGUCAUGCUCACAAAGAUGUGUUGCUAGGCGCUAAGUUUUGCAUCACAAGUAGCACAAUUACCAUUUUUUUUUAACAACUACUCACAGUAGUUGACGCAAAAAGCUCUUAGGCUUCUGACAAGAUCAUCGGCAAUACGUAUCUCUGAACGACGUUGAGGCACGACGUGCUUUGGCGGGGUUCUUGGAGCCCUUUUCCUCAUUGCGACGCCAAGCUCGACGACAUUCCUAGCCAAGUCACCACCUGAGAUGGUUCCCAUCGGCACAGCUUCCUUCCAUCUGGCCAUCUGGGGAGGAAGGAAGGGAAUCGAGGACACCUUGACAGGGAGGGAGAGGAGGCCAAGAGCAGGGAGGAAACCCGAGAGAUCCAACGUCCGUGUCGCCGUCGCGCCUUUUCCCUUUAACGUACUGUAGUGGUUGCGAUCGCUGUCCGGUUGUUUGUCGUCACCGCCAGCUUCCCGCCGGCCGUUGAACGUCGCCGUCGGCCACCUCUUGCUCCAAAAGGAACGCACGCACUCAGCGCCAGGGGAGGCUUUUCCGCUCGAGACUUCGUGUGUGCGUGCGGCCGCGGGAGGCGGGAGCUGCGGACGGAUCGAGAAUUCUCGCCGGAUCUUGAGUUGUUGGGGGCCAAGUUGUGCUGAGAAACGGGAUCAACUUGCGGCCGUGCCGACCUGAGCGCAGCGACGCGCGAAUCCACCAUGAGGGCUCGCAAUCGCAACCCAACUUCGCAACUCGCAAGAGAGCCCGGCCGGAGCGGGGGACGACGCCCGGAUGUGACCGCGCGGCCUGGGCUUGGACCAUCACCGCGGCAGAAAGGACUCUCAGCAGGUGUAGCGCAGCCCACUACAGCAACGUCGUCGUGUGCCGAUGGGUGGUGUCGCAUUUCAGCCUGAUAAGGUUAGGCGUAUGGGCCUAAAAAACGGACCAUGAACCCAGUCCCUUGAUGGGCCCAGCUGAAAAGAAGGAAAACGGGACAGACAAGGAGGAACAGUCCGAUUAUGUGCACGUCAUAUCGCCCCACCUGAGUCUACCAGGGCACAUAUGACCUAGAAGUAUAUGAAAAAAUUUCAAUAAAAAUAUGAAUUAAUAGAUUAUGAAAUUAUCUAUGUUCAUACAAAAUUUAAGAUCAAACAAACAUUUGUACGAUGAGGAACGAACAAGAAGAAAAAAAAAUAAACAUGUGAAUGAGUGCAGAUGUGGAUCACACACUCCAAUAAAAAAUAACAUAGUAAAAAACAAAAAAAAAGAAAUUAGCAUGUGAGCGGUGGACAGCACCAGAAAACAUAACAACCGCUAUACGAAGUUUGUUCAUCUGGUUUCUGACAGUUAACAAUGCAUCCUCUGACGCCGGUUAUCAUCGUUAAGCUAACUUAGCUGCAGAUGCAAAUGUCGGAGCAUCGGCCACGCGGCCCUGCCAAUAUGGGCCAUAACCCAGCUGCCUCUCACUGCAGACCAUACAAGCCUCCAACACAGGCGGCGUCCGCAGCUCGUACGGGUAAACGGCGCCGAAGAGCUUGUUCCGGAUGUGGUCGCGCUCCAGCUGCAUGGUCUUGACUCUUGAGGUCCAAUGUGAACAGCCACGUCUCCUCGUCCUCGGCCGGCGUCAACACGACAUACCCGUUCCCGGCCGUGACGAUCCUACCGGCGCUGCCGAAGAAGCACUCCUUGCGUCCUGGGAGCCCGCGGGUCGCCUCGGAGUCUCGGACAGGUUCAGAGUCCUCUCAAGUCUCAAGGCCCCACUCGCUGCUGCCGCGCUCCGGCUCCACGUCCGACGAGGCUGACGAGCCGCGCCAUGUCCGAGCCACCGUCGUCGACGAACCGGAAGGUCGAGUGGUCCUUGGAUCCCCGGAGGCGCGCGCGCCGGAAGAAGAUCCUGAAAGAAGACGACGCCGUGGGAGAGAUCUGAGGCGGUCAGGACGGUGCCGUCGCCGUCGCCGUCGAUGACCCACCACCCACCCAGAACACGGACCUCGUGGCGCGGCCCGAGAAGCGCGCGGACUCCGCGCCACGGAGCUGGACGAAGGACAUGUUCAUGGCCCGCGUGUUCCAGCGGCCGUCCGUCCAGACGCAGGACAGAGCGACGCCGACGUCGUCGGCCAUCCACGAGGAACGCUCGUAGAGCACGCAGGUCUCCUUGAACUCCGACAUGCUGAGGACGGCGGAGCACUUGCUGAGGCCUGAGGAAGACGCCGAGGCAGCGGAGGUACUUUAUGCCAUCGACCUCGAGUCCUCGAUGGGGCGGAUCCUGACGUGGCGGCGCGUGGCGAGCUCGCAGACGAUGAGCUCCAAGAAGAAGCCGCCGCGCCUCGGUUGGCGAGGAGGAGGCUGCCGAGACCGUCGACGAGCUCCCAGGACCGACGCCCGCGCCGAGGAACUCGAGGCCGGGAGAAGUGGCGUUACCGGACGGCGGACGCCGCCGACCGGGGACGAAGGCUACGCCGCGACGGGACGCCUGGCCCGGCGAGGGCGAGUAGGACGGGUUGGCGACAUGGUAGCAGCCGAGAACGUGGGGGGGCCGCGUGGCGAGACAGGAACUUGUCGGCGACGUCGUAGCCCGCGGCGAUGCGGCGCCACCGAGCCUGCACGUGGCCGCCGCGCGGACGAGGCCGAGGUGCGAGUCGAUCCGGAGGAGGACGAGCUUGAGGAGGCGGGCGGGGACGUCGCGCAGGGUGGUUGGUGGCCAGUGGCCUCGUCGCCGGCGGCGCCUGCUUCUUGCACUGUCUAGGAGGAGGACUCCGUCUAGAAGCACGAAACGCAACCGAGAUGUACUCUUUUUUGGGAAACUGAACCGAGAUGGACUCGAGGAGCGAAAUCGAUGCUCAUAACCCGGCAGCCGGCAUCAUAUAUGUGGUUUCUGUUUCUCUCUAAUCUCUCGGGGAACGGAAAAUAGAUAGGAGAAGAUGCCUCCUGGCAGGAUCAGAAGGCUGAAGAGGGAGCGCAGGAAGAUGAUGGCCGCUGCGAGGAUGACCAAUGAUUCUAAUGCGACGACCAAUGGCACUACCGCGAUGACUGUCAAGGACGAGCCGAUGGGCGGCCCGGAGGCGCUCCCGCCACAGUUGGGAACGACGGAUGGUUCUACUGGAGGCACUAACGCAUUGGCUGUAUUGAACCAGUCGGUGGGCGACAAGGAGGCGCUAGCUCCCGCCAUGGUGGACGCGACCGAUGGUUCUACUGCGACGAACGGUAGGAAACACAAAGGGAAGAAGAAGAGGAAGAAGAAGACGACGACGUCGACGAGGACCGAUAGCACUACCGCAGCGACUAUCAUGAACCAGCCGGUGGGCAGCAAGGUAGCGCUAGCUCUCUCCACGGUGGGCGCAACCGAUGGUUCUACUACUCUCCAUGGUGAAAUGCAAAAUGAAGAAGGAGAUAUCGUAGAGAUCACAUACCUGCAGGAUAUGAACACCAAGACGACUGUCAAGAACCAGCCAUUGGGCGUCCAGGAGGCACUUCUGCCAAGAUGGACGAUGACCAAUGGGUCUACUGUGACAACUGGCAUGAAACCCAAAAGAAAGAAGAAGAAGAAGACGGCGACCAAGUUGCCACGGUCGUGGCAGGAGCACAAAAUCAAAGGUAGGAUCUCAACCCAAAGCCUUUGUGGCAUAUUUAGCAAUAUAGUGUGAUGCCAAUGCUUUGAGUUGGCCAGUCCUAGCACUUCCCAUAUUUUUUUAAUUAUUUUCUUCCAAACUGUCCUCUACCUCUGUUUGAAAUCAGACCCAUUUCAUUUCCUUAUUAGGCUAGCUCAUGAUUAAUAAUUACUCAACUAAUACUUAAUCUUUAGGACAGAAAUUUGAUGUUAUUAGAUUAUAAUAAAAAAUUACUUAAUUUGGGUUUGUAUCUCCUAGCGUACCUCCACCACUUAUAGUUCUAAAUUCAAUAUGUUAAGUGAUCUCGGCAUGCAAUGCACCAACUAACCUUGACUAGCAGCCCACAUGAAAUGAUUCUCAAAUUUGACUUUUUGAAGGAUUAUGAUACUCAGUUCAGUCCUUUUUUCCCCUGCAGGUGGGAAAAAGUUAAUAAUCGUCAAACUUCGUAAAGACAUAUUUAGCUGCAAACCAGGUGACCCGCUAAUAACUGGCAGACUCAGUGAAGCUGCGGUUCACCAAUACCUUUCCGAGUUGCUUGGACCGAGGAACGUCGAGUGGAUGAACAAAUAUCGAGAAUCCGGAUUGCCUUAUGACAUUGUCAUCACAAGGGGUGGUGUUACAGAGUAUGUGGAGGUGAAGGCAGGCAUGGCUCCAGACGAGCAAGCGUUCCACAUCAUCCAACCUAGUGAAUGGCAGUUUCUGUCGGAGAAAAGAGGUUAUUCGAGCAUUGCCCAUGUCUCGUUCCUUGCUCCGGACGUAGCAGCCAUCGUGAUGCUGAGAAAUCCUCACAAGCUUUGCCAGAAAAAGGACCUGGGUCUUGCUCUUGUUAUGUCCAAGGAAUUCGAAGAGCACUUUGCGAAAAGGACGAACCAGAUUUCAGUUGUAUUGAACACUGGCUUUGAAUUAUAAUUUGGUUUUGUUGUAUUGGAGUUAAUAAUCCGGAUUGAUACUUUGGUAUGCCUUUUAUCUGUCAGCCAUGCCGUUGUGCCUCCCGACUUUAGCCCUUUACAUUUUGGUGUCCUGUGUCCAUAUCCGAGUCUGUGGUCGUCUCUACGAUAUCUUGUAUAUGCUCCAUGGUAACUGAUCGAGCGCGAAGAUUUGACACGGAGUGAAGAUUAGUUCUGGAGAACUUCACAUGUAGACACCAAUUCCUGCUUGCCUAUUCUUGCCAAAGGAAAAUGAAGAGUGCCGAGUUUAAUUUUCUGGCGUUGCAUCGGGUGUCCAUUCGCGCAGAUUAUAUUGUACGCAGCGUGCACGUGUUUGUUCAGGCACACAAUAGUGUAGACAUAGAGAUUUUGUUCUGUGUUCUGUAAAUUAAUUUGGGCUAUGGAAAGCUUUGGUCCCCAAACUCCCAACUUUGGCACUAUGCAAAAAGAAGAUUCCCCAUCACAUCAAACUUGCGGUACAUGCAUGAAGUACUAAAUGUAGACGUAAUCAAAAACUAAUUGCACAGUUUUGUUGUACUUUGCGAGACGAAUCUUUUGAGCCUAAUUAGUCAAUGUAUGGACAAUAAUUAACAAAUACAAACGAAAUGCUACAGUUGCACAUUUAUGGUAAAAUUCCAACUUUGUCACUCCUAAAUUGGGGACUAAACAAGGCCUUUCAUAUUCCUGCACAUCGGUGGCUAAAUACUGAGUGCUGACCUUAUACUGGAUCUUAAGCUUUCAUAUGACGCGUGUUUUGGACUAUGGAAAACAAGCAUGUUGUAAAUUCAAGAAUGUUUGCUUUGGAUAAAUUUUUAUAUGCCUACAAUGAUGUGGAUAUGUUUGCUUUCAUAGUAUGUACCUAGAAAAGCCAAAACGAAUAGUAAUUUAGGAUGGAGGGAAUAUUUAUUAGGAAUGGACGGAGAAGCAAUAAUAGAUUAGGCUUAUAAUUACUUCCUUUCGUUUGGGUACUUUUCUUUUAAUUAUUUGUGAUCAACCGUGAGCUAAGAAUAAUGUAAAAACUUGACUGGGUGCGGUCGUAGAGGCAAAAGAUUAUUCAUUUUUCUAAAAAAACAAUGCAUGGACAUUGUAUAGGAUGCUCUCCCGAACCUAAUGGUCGUUUGGUUUGUGCACAAACAUGGAUCUAAAGAAGGUGUGUAUUCGGAUGUGACCAAAACGUAGUUAAAUUUUCCAAACAUUGUUAACCAUCCAUUUAGUACCAAAUUCUUAAAUCUAGCCAAAUUUUGAAAAGCUCGAGGCAGCCGCACACCCGCCGUCUCCUUCUAGCUAGGAAAUAAUAUUAAGGGAGAUAAAACUGAACAGAUGUUUAGGCAUGCAUGAAGAAUCACAUGGUGCAUGGAGAUCCCAUCGAUCAAGUCACAGUCGCGCUCGGUUACCUUCGACGUGGUUCGAUUCGGAUUACAUUUGAGCCCACGCAGCAGCAAAUCAGAGCUCAUUGAUGGGCCCGGUUGCUCAUCGUAGGUGGAGAGAAAGCAAACUGACAACGACUCGGCUUCGCUUCGUGAGAUAGAAGUCGAUGCCGACAUCGAUCAAUAUAACGCUCGUCGCAAGGUUAUUAGAGGGACACAGAGUAUUCGAUGAUCUCGUCUCAGAAAAGAUAAGCUAAAUAAAGCUUCAUAUAUACAGCAAACGGGGAUCGCAAGGGCGGCGGCACGACACGGGAGAGGAGACGAUGGAGAGCAGGAAGACGAAGACGAACGGCUCCUCCACGACGUCUACGAACCGGGGCAGGUUCGGUAGGUUCGGCGUCUUCUCUUCUCCUCUACGGAGGAAGGUCAUGGAGAAGCGCGAGGCGGCGGUGCAGGAGCGCGGCGGUGGCAAUGUGAUCGUCGCGGUGGCGCCGGUCGAGGAGGCCGACUCACAUCAUCCAAGCCCACCGGAAGACGACGACGAUGGUCGGCCUGAUCUUCUCCAAUCCCCGCAGGCGGCUUCGCCCAGCGGCCGGCUCGAAGGAGAGUCAGAUGUCCAGCCUCGGUCAAGCUCAAGCAUCGACAGACCACCUGGUGAAGCUUCGGACGAUGCUGAUCGGUCUCGUUCAAGACCCGAUAAGCGUGGCAAAGCUUCAGAUUAUAUGCCUCGGCGUGUGAUCACCGGCAGGAUCGGGGAAGGUGCAGUUUACCAAUACCUCGUCGAGCAGCUGGGAAGGGACAAAGUCAGCUGGGUGAACGGACGCCAUGAGUCCGGGCUGCCCUACGACAUCGUCGUCGUCACAAAUAAUGGCGCCACGGAGUACGUGGAGGUGAAGACGACCGUUCAUCCGGAGAAGAAUUGGUUCCAGAUCAGUGUCCACGAGUGGGAAUUUAUGGUGGAGAAAGGGGCCUCGUUGAGCAUCGCCCGUGUGCUCUUGCAGGGUGAAGACAUGGCCAGCAUCGUGAUGCUGAAAAACCCGCUCAGGCUCUGUGAGCAGCAGGGUCUAAAUCUCGCACUGAAACUUUAGAAUACGCUGGUGACAACAUGAACCACUUCACUUCUGUUGAACCUUGCUGUGAAAAAUAUGCUAACAUGAAAAAUGGUUCGGUACAGGGUUUUAAUUAAAGAACAGGAGAACAAGUGAAGAAUACAGAGGCGGAAUCAUUUUCUGGAUGAGAUUCUAGUACAUGUGUUUGGUGUUCGGAGUUCACCAGAGGAUCCAGUUUAUUGAAGUACUACAAGGUACAAGACCUUCCUCGAAGUUUUAGCCUGUUGCAAGACCCUGUGAGUAACGGACAUGAAGAAUUUAGUGGCGAAAUUCAGCUUUGGAUUGAAGAGAGAAUGUUCGGUGCAAGAAGAUGAUGAGUGAGGUUGCAGUCAGGGAAAACUUCUUCGGUGAUAUUUCCAAAUUUUUGUGUUUAUUUACAAAAAUUUCAUAUAGUGGAUCUAUCUAAUGUGUUAAGUUUGUGAUAUAUUGUCAUAUUUCUUUGUUGUUAUAUACAAAAUUAUGAUGUAAGAUGGUUCAGGGACCUAUUCUAACUAUCAUGCAAACAAACUGUUUUUUAUCCGAUAUUUGUCGGUAUGGUUUGAUAAAUUUUGUUUAAUGAAAUUUGGAACCCUGGCUAGCAAUUGCAGAUUGCCAUCAAAACAUGGAUUUGGCAUGGGAUUAGUUUGUCUUAAUAGCUAUUUGUAGAAUGGGGAUAGUUGGGAGGAUGGUGCAAGAAUAAGCAAUGACAUGUGAGAAGUUUCAUAGCAUUGAAAAAGUAUCUUUAAAAAAUGGAGCUGGUACAAAGUAUGUGAAAUCAGGGGAGGAGUCAGAAAAUGAGUUUUUUUUCUUUGUAAGAGGGGAGCAAUUGUGCAAAUUUUCUUCAAAAUUUGAUCAAGUUCAAAAAUUUUAGUUCCCCCUCAGCACCACUGAGUGUAAUCUAUAUCUCCUAUAUAGAAGCACCCCACUACGAAGCAUUGGUUUCUAUUUCUCUCAAACCUCAACGAGCCACAUCAUUCACAUUGUUUUAACCAUCCGAUUGUUUUCUCAGCCCCUCUUCUUUACUCAGCACCUUGGCAGAUCAAGAGACCACCGCAGCUAAUGGCACUAAUGGCAUUAAUCCUCCAUCAAUCAUCCACGUUCCCAUCAUAAAAUUUGAAGCAUCGCACUCUAUUGGGCACCCUGCUGGUGAGGUAUGACAUUCAUCUCCUCCUUUGGAUUCACUCAGGGUAUGCCAUUCAUCUCCUCAUUUGGAUUCACUCAGGUUCUUCAAUCGACUAUUUUGUGCAUUGUUGCUGUUUCAAACUUGCCCAUGGUUUCAUGCACCCAAUCUGUUUGAUCUAUUGCCUCUUAGAAACUCUUGCAUAAACCAUUCUAAAUUUUCUCUGCAAAUCUGUAGGUUCAUAUAAAUUGAUUUCGCCUCUGGAAAUAGCAAGAUUAUUGGCCUCCUUGAGUCAUUCAGGUAACAAACUGUGCUCCAACUUUAUUAGCAUUUCUAAGUGUGCAGUUGUCCUCAUUCUGUUUGUUUUAGCGAUUAAUUGUUGUGUGGACAUCCUUACUUUCGGCAAUCAAUCAGUUUUUUCCCUUAUUUUGUUACUUCCAGUUUUACAUGACCUUGGUGUCCCACGUUUGCAAUUGUAAAUCUGUAGGUUGAUAAAAAUUGAUUACAUCAUAUCUCUUCUACUAACAACCAAAAUACUAUUUUCGAUUAGAAUGGCACAUAAACCCUUAUAUGCACUUUUUAUUUACUCUUCAAUCAGUUCUCCCAAGAAGAUGCAAGAUAGAUAUGUCCAAGCAAUGAAUAAGCUCAAGUUUGAUACAAGCCCAAAAGUUUGUGUUAAUCUCACAGGCAAUUCUCAGAGUGAACACAUAACCACACACCUACCAACUAACAACCACACGAUCAUUGUUCACUACAUACGAAAGGGACAACCAUAGCUGCAAGCUAUUUUCAGUGAAGAGAACUCCAAGAACACAAAUGGAAAGUAGUUCAUUUAUUGCAAAUCUAUGUUAUUUUUUCAAUAAUUUCAAUUUUCAUACCAUACAUAACAGCAUAUGUAUCGUCCUCAGUUAUAUAUUAAAUAAAAUUAAUUUUAUAGAAUAAUUUACCUUCGUGUAAAAAAGGCCAAACCUUAACUCUUUCCUGAUUGCAUCACAUAAUCAUAAAAAAUACACAAAAUAUCCGGCAGCAAUGCGUGGGGAAUUCACCUAGUAGUUCAUUAUGGAGGUGCCAUUUCAUUCAGGUUGUCUCUUGAAUUGACUAUUCAUGCACGUAUGUCUUCCAUUUGGCUACAAUUUUCAGAAGGAUAAAAGGAAGUGACAGCAGCAGUUUAGCAAUAGGGCUGGACGGAGAGGAUUGAAUGAUUACCUCCAUGGCUCCAUCCUUCUAUAUAUUGUGUUACUCUACUACUCCUUGCUUAACUCAAAUGUUGCAGUCGGUUAUACAACACGGCAAGAUGUUGGCACUGUACUUUACUUUUUCUAAAAAAAUAUUUAACUGCAACACACUUUCAGGAAAAAAUAAUUACAUGGGAAGUUUUUUUUUGGAAAAUGUACAAAAUCCAUGCCUCUGCAAAUUACACGGGAGGUGAUAGAGCUUUUUCAAAAGGAACUCUAUUUCAUCCAUUGCGAUUUAUCAUUACUAUGAUGUAAAUCCCUACUCCUUUUCCUUGGUAUAUUUGUUAAGGCUAUACAACAAUCAAGUGCGUUUUGUUUUCGUAUCAGUCGAUUUCUUAACCGAUAAUAUUAUGACACGUAGUAACAGGAAUUGGCUAGGGGAAAAACAGUUGACAACUGAAGCAAAUUCAGUCGAUUCUGACCAGCUCUCCUCAACAUGGCAUUGCUUUUUGAGCAGCCGCCUUGGCAUUGUUCGGUAGACCAUCCCGCCAUGGUUGACUACAGCACAAUUUGAAACUGCGAUGCGGGUGUGACGACUAUAAGAUUACAGAGGCGCGUGGGGUCUAGGUGGAACGCCGUGCCUCUCAGCAUCGGCGGCUGCUUGUUUACAUAGAGCAAGGAACAUCCCCUUAUGUGGAUUACAUCUUGGCGCACAAGAUUAGGAGCUGGCUGUUGGUUUGUUGUGAUUCACAGGACAAGAUACAACAGCUAUCAACUAGGAUAUCUACAAGCUAACAACAUUGACUAACAGUCAGCUAACCAAGAUCUUGUGCGCAUUGUUACAAUUUAGGUGUAUAACAACUCAUGUCUAUCUAAUAACGACGACCGCCCCGACGCAUGCGUCCGUGAUGGCGAGCCGAGAGCAGGGAGGCGGCCAUGCCUCGCCGUGGUCGGAAGGCAGGGAAGGAACCGCUGAGUUCAUAACAGCUCCGUUGGGCUGGACAAGCUGGUCUACAUGUCGUCAGCAAGAACGGCCAAGGCGGCCCAUGGGCAUGGUCACCAUGCGGCAGAGAGACGACUAGGGAUGAAAACGGACAGAAUCAGGCGGCAGAACUCCUCUCCCAUUUCUGUUACCUUAUUUUUUCACCGAGAACGGAAGCAGGAGCGGGACGGGAGUCGAGAUGUAUGGGUAUACGAAAAUGGACAAAUAUGGAUGAUAGUACAACGAAAAUGGUCGAGAACCCAGAACUUAAUCCGGUCACACAAUAUAAAGUCUGACUCACAAUAAUGACACCUACACAUCAACUGAGAUUCUAAGAGACCAUCAGUGAACGUAAGGAACAAGGCAUCCUCUUUCUCUUUUUUUUAAAAGAAAUUACAUCUUGUUUCACGUUGCAGCUAGCUGCUGUAUGUCUGCACCUGCAGGCAGAAAGCUAGCAAAGUAUAGCAAAACAAAGUGAGCAGUGCCAGAGUGGCAGAAAGGAGCAAGCGACCCUGCUCCAGACGGUCAAGGCUUUGACGCACGACGCUGUCUCUUGGGCCGGGACCUUGGUAUAUUUGGGCCCAUCCCGGAUAAAUCCAAAACGGGACAAAAACGGGAUCAUCCGGUUGAAAAUGGAAUACCGUAAAUACGGACGGGAUACACCAUCAACCGCAUUCCGUACCAUUCCGUGUACUCCCGUCCCGGACUUUACCAUCCCGUUUUCGUAUAGCUCAAAAUACGAGAUAAAUACGGGAAAACAGGAUUUUUCUGUCCACUUUCAUAGCCAGAGACGACGGAAUACAGCGCCUAAAGGAGGACAGAAGCCCACGAAAGGAGGACAGAAACAAUACAAAUACAGCCCACGAAAGAAGGCCGCUGAUUAGCGACCCUGGAAGAGCCCAGCCCAGCGUACGUAGGUAACGGAAAGGCAAACGAACGGACUCGAGGAAGUCAGCCCGUACCGGCGUGCCGACUCAUCAUAUACCGCACGAGUGUUGCGCAGACACUGAAGGGACGCUCGGAGCGUUUGGACUGGAGAGAUGGCCCCUGCCAAGACCGGAAGGCGGAACAACCGCCAGGAGAAGAAGAUGACCACGACCACGAGGGCGAGUAGGGCGGUCGGUAACCGGCGUCCGAUCGGAUCCGCGUUCUCCAAGUUCGGGAGGGUUGCCGCUCUGCACGCGCGGCGAAAGAUCGUCAAAGAACGGGGCAGCAAGCGCGGCCGAUCUGGUGGCUUGGCCACCGGAAGAAGUAAGUACAUAUAUGUAUCCCGAUUCGAUUCAUCACUCGAUAUAUGCUAGCGGUGUUCCUUCCCGUAAGUAAAAAGUUACAUGAGAAGAAACUUGGUCUCUUUGUAAUUCGUUCCAUGUGCUAGUAGUGGGGGGCUAUAUAUAGUGGUGAUUAUUAGGAGGCAUUUGAGAAGUAACGAGUUACGAGUAUAUCGGAAAUCUUAGUUUUCUCUGUGUGUUUUGUAGUUGUUUUGCGAUUGACAGUAGAACUAAAUAGGUUGAACAAUCUAUCCAGUUGGUUUCAACACUCCAUAGACAGUAGCCUAGUAGGCAAAAGAAGUCAUCCCCAUUUGUGGCUGUCCACGAUCCGGCCAUUUUGUUAUUAUGGGAAGAAGAUAUGCAGUCGAUUGAAUUUUUUAUUAAAUAUUUAAAUAUCAAAUGGACUCUUCAGCCCGUGAACUUAGCGGAUACUAUGAUAGCACCAAUUUUACCAAUUCGUCUAAGAAGGGAACCCCUUGUUCCCUUUCUUGCUUAUUAUAGCAUGCUUCAAUGUCUCUAUGUAAUUCCACUUCUGUUCUCAUUAGGUCAGACUGUAACCUCACUUGCAAAUGAAAAGAAAUGGAUGAGACUGUAAUUUAGAUAUUCUGACAUUUUAUCAUGUAAGUACACACACUACGUAAUUUAUGCAGAGUUUACAGUUCUGUGUAAUGCAUUAAUUAACGUUUGCUGGUUCUCAAAUUAAACCAUGGACCCAAUGAAUUCAAACAUUCAUACGUGGCUGGAUCUAAAGAAGGAAUUAAUGGAAAUUGGAAGAUGGUAUAUUGGUUGAAGAAAGAAUGGUAGUAUAUAUGUACUGCCCAUUUCAAAUUAUAAGUCGUUUUAGCUUUUCUAGAUAGAUAUAUAUUAUGUUUAGAUACAUAACAAAAUCUAUAUAUGUAAAAAAGCUAAAAUGACAUACAAUUGGAACGGAUGGAGUAAUUGGUAAUAACAAAUCUGAUUAUUUGGAGUUUCGGCUGGUGUAAGCUUGCAACUGAGCUAAUUAGUAAUUCAGAAAUUGACUGCUGUUACAGAUGAGAGGGUCCGGCUCGAUGCCAGGGUCCUAGAUGCAAACAUGUUAAGUUCCCGUAGACACGGUGAAGGUGUGGCUCACAAACAAGACGGAUUAGUCACUGGCAGGCUUGGCGAGUCUGCAGUCCAUAAAUAUUUCGUUGAGAAGCUUGGAUGUAGUAGCAUAAAGUGGAUGAACGAAGACAAUGAAUCCGGGCUACUUUACGAUAUCAGCAUCACAAAAGCUGAUGCAACAGAAUACGUGGAAGUGAAAGCAACAUCUAUUCCAAACAAGAACCGGUUCCACAUUACACGCAGGGAACUACAGUUUGCAGCAGAGAAAGGAGAUUCGUUAACCAUUGCCUAUGUUUUGCUGUCGAAGCCAGAUAAAGCAAGCAUUGUGUUUCUGAAAAACCCGCACAAGCUUGUACGACAGAGGGAUUUGAAACCAGCAAGCAUUGUGUUUUUCAAAAGCUGACACGAGCUUCUACGACAAAGGGAUUUGAAGCCUGCCCUUGUAAUGUCGACGAGAUGCGAAAAGCUUGUCAGCAAAUUCAUGGAACAAAUCUCAGUUGUACUGAAGCGGUGAAGCCUGGCUGUAAAUGAUAACCAGUUCAAGUGAGAUGAAUCUUCAUCUUGGUAUGCCUUACUUGCCCCUAUACCAUGCAACUGUUAUUUGCAUCCUCCAUCCUAGUUCUUUUAAAAUUUCCUCUUGCCGCAUGAAACCUGGAACCUCGAGUUGUAAGGUUAACCAUGCUGUUGUUGCUUAACAGUAUAGUGUAUAAAUAAGCGAGUACAGCUUUCGUAUGGAUGUUAUUAGUUUGCUGCAAUGGCUGGCAGCCUGCGGCUCUGUAUAAGUGACAGUGGCCUUCUUGCCGCCGUAAGAAUGUAAGUGCAAGGCGCCGGUCGAUGCAAUGCAGUUGGCUUAUAUAUCUAAGAUCCGAUUAUCCGAGCACGGCUUAAAUAUACUCUGGCUUUGUUGCACAAAGUUUGCGAUUAGCCAUGUGCUUCCAUAGUGAUUCAUCAGGUUCAAUGUCCACACAUGCAUGUUUCCCCAAUGUGAACCAUUUUGGACACUUGAGGGUAUGAUGUCUUCCAGAAAGCAUCAACAAUGAUGCAAUCCAUCAUGUGCAAACAAAAUUAAAGCAAGAUCACAUUAGGCGAACAUUAUUAAGUAGUAAUAAUGUCGCUAAUUCAUGAUCCUCUGUUCACAAACAUAUACAUAACCAUAGUUUACAAAGCCCGGCAAUGUGUGCUGUAUUUUGAUAUUCUAUUGUCAUGGCUACAUAUUAGGAAUAAAUUGGUGCAUUGCGUUGUCAAAAUACAACAGCAUUCCCACUAAGCCAUAAGGCCAACUGGCCAAGCAUAGAGCAGGCUCCAAUCAAUAUGAGCACCACUAGCUAGUGGAUCUAAACUAAGGGAAAUCUGUAAAGCCUCCUAAAAACCUUAGGGUGUGAUCGGACAACUUUUGUUCGUCGCUGGUUUGAUCUGUCAGUUGAUCAGUAUUACUGCGACAUGGUGGAAUGUGUCUAUGGGUGAAAGCUUGCCUUGGUUUAUGUUGGUGCCCACAGGGAUGGCGAUUUUGUUGAUAUCAUUGUAAGGACUGCAGAGGUGUGAAUCUUUCUCCACGCUUUGCAGGUCGGAUCCCAUAUUUUCCAGUGGCUGGAGACGUCGCAGUUAGAGGAAGAAGGUGAGCGGCGUUUCCUUUUAACAAAGGUGAUCGGUAUUGUGGAAGGAAAAGACGGCAGAGCGCUCAAGGUUGAGGACAGCGGGGCCGUGUGAUAAUGGGCUGCUCUGCACCCAGUACUGGGCUGCCCAGUUUGAGGGAAUUCUUCCCGCACUCCACUCAUACUCCAUGAAGACAUCCACCACCUCGGAAGUGCUCUGAGGAAUAAUUAGCCACCAUUAAUAGAAUCACCUCACUACCGUUGUAUUACUCCACCACCUCUGUACUACUACUAGAAUAAAGGGAGGCCGUCAAAUCUCGUCCCUCGGUUUGUAAGGUAAUCAAGGUUUGUGCUAAGUGCUUGGGGUUUCCCAAAAGGGAAAGCCGCGUGUAAGCUUGUCCCGUGGAAAUAGAUUAAGCUGUCCUGGUAGCAUCCCUGCCUUCCUUUAAGCUCGUUCGUAUGGGGCGAUGUCUCUACAUUAGGGAGAACUGCCUAGGGCGGUAGAGCCUGAGUCCUGUGUGAGCGUAGCUGGGGACGGUGAGGGUGAAGACCGGGCUGGCUGGUUCUGAAGCGAGCCAACGACACAUGCGGUGAGUACCGAGUAGGACUGUCACAAGCAUAGCAGCACGUCCGGCUGAAUUUUUCGGUCUCGUCAACCCGCAAAGAUCCUGAGAAUCGAUAUAAUCAAGAUAUAUACCUAAUCACGCACCCGCGCGUACCAUAUCUGCUGAAAGCGACCCCGAAUAGUAGCUCAAUAGUGCUCAAUAGUGAGCAAAUAGUGCCACCACAUUUCCAUCCAUCCUGAGGUGCUCCACCCACUCCCUGGUGAGUGCUCGGGCCCUAUUCAUAUUCCUAUUUUGAAUAGUGAGCUGAAUUUCAAUAGUGCCGCGAAUUUGAAUAGUAUUCGUUGAAUUUGAAUAGUGCAGUGAAUAGUAACUUGAAAUUUGAAAUCCGAUUUUUUUCGAAGUCGCUUGAAUUUCCCUCGUUUCGUCUUUUGUUCCCGCACUGGUAUUAGAGCCGUGGUUAUUAAAAUUUGUGAAUUUGAAGGUUUUUCUAUAUCUAGUCAAAAUUGAAAACUUCAUUAUUUAAAUCUAGAAGUUAACACCGGAAAGACAGUUAAUACUAAAGAAAAUAUAAAUAUUAGGUGCAGAAUAAAUAGUUCUGAAGAUCAUACUUGGCAUACCUCACACGGUCAGAUAAACUUAAUAGUUGAUUUAAUCCAAAUCUCUGACAUGUCUUGGGGAAACGCCGUGCCGCCUUAGAAUCAAGAUGUGGGCUGCUUCAAAACGCACAUAAGCGCUGAGUUGGGCUUGGUCUAGCAUUGAAUAAUAGAAUAGAUCAAUUUGGCACGCAGCUGGAGAAAGUAGAAGUUUAGUAGGAAGAAUCAUCCAAACUAGUGAUUAUAUUAAAAAGGAUAUAACCCACCUAUAUAAGAAAUUUGAUAAUAUCUAAUACUGAGAAUAGUAAAGAAAUUGUUCUAUCAUCAACAGGAAUAGUUGAGUUUAAUAGAUCAUUAAAUUCUGAAAAAUGGAAAUAUCUAAAAGUGUCUCUUGAAGAGACAAGUCACUCCAACUAAUAAAUAGAGACAUAAAGCCCUUAAGCUUUAUCGAUAGAUUGAAAGGAGGAUGUGAUGAUAUUGAAAACUUAGACGAAAUGAUAGAUGCAGAAAGGGAUCUUGAAAGAUAUCAGAGAGAUACCUUAAGAAAAAUAAGAGCCCAGCAAAUAUAUCAAAUGGGGUGGUUUGAAAAUAAAAAUGGACUAUCUAGAAUAUCUAGAGAAGUAGUAACUCGAAAUUUGGUAGACCGGAGGUGGGUUAUUAUCUAGAGAAGUAGUAACUCAAAAUUUAGUAACUCGAAAAUUUCGAGUUACUACUUCUCUAGAUAUUCUAUAUAGUCCAUUUUUAUUUUCAAACCAUCCCAUUUGAUAUAUUUGCUGAGGUCUUAUCUUUCUUAAAGUAUCUCUCUGAUAUCUUUCAAGAUCUGUUUCUACAUCUAUCAUUUCUUCUAAGUUUGCAAUAUCAUCACAUCCUCCUUUCAAUCUAUCGAUAAAGCUUAAGGGCUUUAUGUCUUUAUUUAUUAGUUGGAGUGACUUGUCUCUUCUAGAGACUUUCAGAUAUUUCCAUUUUUCAGAAUUUAAUGAUCUAUUAAACUCAACUAUUCCUGUUGAUGAUAGAACAAUUUCUUUAUUAUACUCAAUAUUAGUAUUAUCAAAUUUCUUAUAUAGGUGGGUUAUAUCCUUUUUAAUAUAAUCACUAUUUUGGAUGAUUCUUCUGAGUGAAUUCUUACUUUCUUCAGCUGCUUGCAAGAUUAAUUCUAUUUUAUUAUUCAAGGUUAAAAUAUGCUCUUCUAAGUGCUUAUGUUUUUUUAGUAGUUUUUUAAAUUUUAAUUCUAAGUCGUCUUGCCUUUUACCCCAAGAUAUAUAAAAGUUAUGUAUUAAAUCAACUAUUAAGUUUAUCUGACCGUGUGAGGUAUGCCAAGUAUGAUCUUCAGAACUAUUUAUUCUGCACCUAAUAUUUAUAUUUUCUUUAGUAUUAACUGUCUUUCUGGUAUAAGCUUCUAGAUUUAAAUAGUGAAGUUUUCAAUUUUGACUAGAUAUAGAAAAACCCUCAAAUUCACAUAUUUUAAUAACCACGGCUCUGAUAUCAGUGCGGGAACAAAAGACGAAACGAUGGAAAUUCAAGCAACUUCGAAAAAUUCGGAUUUCAAAUUUCGAGUUACUAUUCACUGCACUAUUCAAAUUCAGGGCACUAUUCAAAUUCAACUCACUAUUCAAAAUGGGAAUAUGAAUAGUGCCCGAGCACUCACCAGGGAGUGGGUGGAGCACCUAAGGAUGGAUGAAAAUGUGGCGGCACUAUUUGCUCACUAUUGAGCACUAUUGAGCUACUAUACGGGGUCGCUUUCAGCAGAUAUGGUACACCCGGGUGCGUGAUUAGGUAUAUAUCUUGAUUAUAUUGAUUCUCAGGAUCUUUGCGGGUUGGCGAGAUCAAAAAUUUCAGCCGGACGUGCUGUUAUGCUUGUGUCAAUCCUACUCGGUACUCACCGCAUGCGUCGCUGGCUCGCUUUAGAACCAGGCCAGCCCGGUCUUCACCCUCACCGUGCCCAGCCACGCUCACACAGGACUCAGGCUCUACCGUCUCCCCAGGUAGUUCCACCCGAAGGGAACACUUCUCUGCGCACACAGGGUUCUCCUGAAACGCCGCUACCAGGACUAACACGAGAACGACACACGCAGAGGUUUCUCCUCUAGGGUCCCUAGCGUAGAAACAUCGCCCCAUACGAACGAGCUUAAAGGAUGGCAGGGAUGCUACCAGGACAGCUUAAUCCAUUUCCACGGGACAAGCUUACACGUGACUUUCCCUUUCGGGAAACCCCAAGCACUUAGCACAAACCUUGAUUACCUUACAAACCGAGGGACGAGCUCCGACGGCCUCCCUUUAUUCUAGUAGUAGUACAGAGGUGGUGGAGUAAUAUAGUGGUAGUGGGGUGAUUCUACUAAUGGUGGCUAAUUAUUCCUCAGUGCACUUCCGAGGUGGUGGAUGCCUUCAUGGAGUAUGAGUGGAGUGUGGGUGGAGGUCUUCGGUGAUCUUGCUUCUUCAGUGGUGUGGUUGUGGAUGUCUGCUUCGAUGAUUCCUUCGGUGAUUUCGAAUGGUUCACCUGGCAGCCCCUUUUAUAGUCGCGGCAGAGGCUUCUGGAGUUGCUUCGUGCUUAAGACUUCUGGUGCCUUCAAUUAUUCUCCUCUUCUGUUGCCUGGACACCUGGACGGCACUCCAUUCAAUAAUUGUCCUGGCUACAGUAGAAGUCACUGUUUAUUCCUUUUGCCUUGUCCUCUAUCGCGCACUGUCUUCUCGUGACAUUCUGGAUGCUGCUUGGUAUGGUUUUCCACGCCCAAAUGAUUGAUGUCGUAUACUUUAAUCACAACAUUAUGGCAUGCAGUAUGCAGUAUGAUACCAGUGCAAGGAACAAAGACGGAGCGAGGGAAAUUCAAGCGACUUCAAAAAUUUCAGAUUUCAAAUUUUGAGUUACUAUUCACUGCACUAUUCAAAUUCAACGAACACUAUUCAAAUUCACGGCACUAUUGAAAUUCAGCUCACUAUUCAAAAUGGGAAUAUGAAUAGUGCCCGAGCACUCACCAAGGAGUGGGUGGAGCACCUCAGGAUGGAUGAAAAUGUGGCGGCACUAUUAGCUCACUAUUGAUCACUAUUGAGCUACUAUUCAGGGUCGCUUUCAGCAACUUUUCGGCGGAUGCGGUACGCACAGGUGAGAGAUAGAGGAUAAGGCAAAAGGAAUAAAUAGGGACUCUACUGUAGCCAGGACAAUUAUUGAAGAGCGGAGCGCCGUCCAGCUGUUCAGGCAAUAGAAGAGGAGGAGACUCCCGAAACCUCUGCUGCGGCUAUAAAAGGAGCUGCCAAGUGAAGCAUUCAGUAUCACCGAAGGAAUCACCGAAGCAGACAUCGCAGAACCACACCACCGAAGAAGGAAGAUCACCGAAGACCUCCACCCACACUCCACUCAUACUCCAUGAAGAUAUCCACCACCUCGGAAGUGCUCUGAGGAAAUAGUAGCCACCAUUAGUAGAAUCACCCCACUACCAUUGUAUUACUCCACCACCUCUGUACUACUACUAGAAUAAAGGGAGGCCGUCGAAGCUCGUCCCUCGGUUUGUAAGGUAAUUAAGGUUUGUGCUAAGUGCUUGGGGUUUCCCGAAAGGGAAAGCCGCGUGUAAACUUAUCCCAUGGAAAUGGAUUAAGCUAUCCUAGUAGCAUCCCUGCCUUCCUUUAAGCUCGUUCGUAUGGGGCGAUGUCUCUACGCUAGGGACCCUAGAGGAGAAAUCUCUGCGUGUGUCGUUCUCGUGUUAGCCCUGGUAGCGGCGUUUGAGGAGAACCCUGUGUGCGCAGAGAGUGCAGGAACAAAAGAUGAAACGAGGGAAAUUCAAGCGACUUUGAAAAUAUCGGAUUUCAAAUUUCGAGUUACUAUUCACUGCACUAUUCAAAUUCAACAAACACUAUUCAAAUUCGCGGUACUAUUGAAAUUCAGCUCACUAUUCAAAAUAGGAAUAUGAAUAGUGCCCGAGCACUCACCAAGGAGUGGGUGAAGCACCUCAGGAUGGAUGGAAAUGUGGCGGCACUAUUUGCUCACUAUUGAGUACUAUUGAGCUACUAUUCGGGGUCGCUUUCAGCAGAUAUGGUACGCGCGGGUGCGUGAUUAGGUAUAUAUCUUGAUUAUAUCGAUUCUCAGGAUCUUUGCGGGUUGGCGAGACCGAAAAAUUCAGCUGGACGUGUUGCUAUGCUUGUGACAGUCCUACUCAGUACUCACCGCAUGCGUCGCUAGCUCGCUUCAAAACCAGGCCACCCGAUCUUAGACCUCAACGGUUCCCAGANNNNNNNNNNNNNNNNNNNNNNNNNNNNNNNNNNNNNNNNNNNNNNNNNNNNNNNNNNNNNNNNNNNNNNNNNNNNNNNNNNNNNNNNNNNNNNNNNNNNNNNNNNNNNNNNNNNNNNNNNNNNNNNNNNNNNNNNNNNNNNNNNNNNNNNNNNNNNNNNNNNNNNNNNNNNNNNNNNNNNNNNNNNNNNNNNNNNNNNNNNNNNNNNNNNNNNNNNNNNNNNNNNNNNNNNNNNNNNNNNNNNNNNNNNNNNNNNNNNNNNNNNNNNNNNNNNNNNNNNNNNNNNNNNNNNNNNNNNNNNNNNNNNNNNNNNNNNNNNNNNNNNNNNNNNNNNNNNNNNNNNNNNNNNNNNNNNNNNNNNNNNNNNNNNNNNNNNNNNNNNNNNNNNNNNNNNNNNNNNNNNNNNNNNNNNNNNNNNNNNNNNNNNNNNNNNNNNNNNNNNNNNNNNNNNNNNNNNNNNNNNNNNNNNNNNNNNNNNNNNNNNNNNNNNNNNNNNNNNNNNNNNNNNNNNNNNNNNNNNNNNNNNNNNNNNNNNNNNNNNNNNNNNNNNNNNNNNNNNNNNNNNNNNNNNNNNNNNNNNNNNNNNNNNNNNNNNNNNNNNNNNNNNNNNNNNNNNNNNNNNNNNNNNNNNNNNNNNNNNNNNNNNNNNNNNNNNNNNNNNNNNNNNNNNNNNNNNNNNNNNNNNNNNNNNNNNNNNNNNNNNNNNNNNNNNNNNNNNNNNNNNNNNNNNNNNNNNNNNNNNNNNNNNNNNNNNNNNNNNNNNNNNNNNNNNNNNNNNNNNNNNNNNNNNNNNNNNNNNNNNNNNNNNNNNNNNNNNNNNNNNNNNNNNNNNNNNNNNNNNNNNNNNNNNNNNNNNNNNNNNNNNNNNNNNNNNNNNNNNNNNNNNNNNNNNNNNNNNNNNNNNNNNNNNNNNNNNNNNNNNNNNNNNNNNNNNNNNNNNNNNNNNNNNNNNNNNNNNNNNNNNNNNNNNNNNNNNNNNNNNNNNNNNNNNNNNNNNNNNNNNNNNNNNNNNNNNNNNNNNNNNNNNNNNNNNNNNNNNNNNNNNNNNNNNNNNNNNNNNNNNNNNNNNNNNNNNNNNNNNNNNNNNNNNNNNNNNNNNNNNNNNNNNNNNNNNNNNNNNNNNNNNNNNNNNNNNNNNNNNNNNNNNNNNNNNNNNNNNNNNNNNNNNNNNNNNNNNNNNNNNNNNNNNNNNNNNNNNNNNNNNNNNNNNNNNNNNNNNNNNNNNNNNNNNNNNNNNNNNNNNNNNNNNNNNNNNNNNNNNNNNNNNNNNNNNNNNNNNNNNNNNNNNNNNNNNNNNNNNNNNNNNNNNNNNNNNNNNNNNNNNNNNNNNNNNNNNNNNNNNNNNNNNNNNNNNNNNNNNNNNNNNNNNNNNNNNNNNNNNNNNNNNNNNNNNNNNNNNNNNNNNNNNNNNNNNNNNNNNNNNNNNNNNNNNNNNNNNNNNNNNNNNNNNNNNNNNNNNNNNNNNNNNNNNNNNNNNNNNNNNNNNNNNNNNNNNNNNNNNNNNNNNNNNNNNNNNNNNNNNNNNNNNNNNNNNNNNNNNNNNNNNNNNNNNNNNNNNNNNNNNNNNNNNNNNNNNNNNNNNNNNNNNNNNNNNNNNNNNNNNNNNNNNNNNNNNNNNNNNNNNNNNNNNNNNNNNNNNNNNNNNNNNNNNNNNNNNNNNNNNNNNNNNNNNNNNNNNNNNNNNNNNNNNNNNNNNNNNNNNNNNNNNNNNNNNNNNNNNNNNNNNNNNNNNNNNNNNNNNNNNNNNNNNNNNNNNNNNNNNNNNNNNNNNNNNNNNNNNNNNNNNNNNNNNNNNNNNNNNNNNNNNNNNNNNNNNNNNNNNNNNNNNNNNNNNNNNNNNNNNNNNNNNNNNNNNNNNNNNNNNNNNNNNNNNNNNNNNNNNNNNNNNNNNNNNNNNNNNNNNNNNNNNNNNNNNNNNNNNNNNNNNNNNNNNNNNNNNNNNNNNNNNNNNNNNNNNNNNNNNNNNNNNNNNNNCAGGACAAUUAUUUAACGGAGUGCCGUCCAGGUGAUCCAUGUUGUACCUAGUUCUAGGAAGUAUUAUUUUCACCCCUUCUUUUGCAAUCUGUUCUACGGGAGGACUUUUUGGAUUGUUUAUUUUUAUUUUAGUGUUUUGUAAAAAUAUGUAUCUUAAUAAAAAAGUUGCAAAUCUAUAGCCAACUGAAACAGUGGAAUCCUUACUGCCAGUUGAACCAACGGAAUUUCCCUUCUCUGAGCAGUAUAUGAACUCAUAUGGAAAUAAACUUGUAUGAAAAUUGUAGAUCUCAAUGACAUCUACAACUUUAUAGCUUAAACCUUUUUAUUUGGAACCAUCCUGGUGAAAGCUCAAAUAAUCGACAUAAUGUUCAGAUCUAGAAUUCAAAUUUUAGAUAUGAACAUUGGGCAGCAUAUUUAAAAAAAUUAUAACCUUUUCAGAUGAACUCUUGGACAUAACAUUUAUAUGAAUAUUGUAGAUCUUGAUGAGAUCUACAACUUUCAUAUUAAUGUUAUGUCCUGGAGCCCUAUUGGUGCGGAGAUAAUUGAUUUAAAGAUGCUGUCUAAUGUUCAACAACUUUGUACUUCAUCACUUUCUGAUCAUGGAGGCGCUUGGUAGCUGCUAUCAUCUAGAUGGUGUAUAAUAACAAGGUUCAAGCUAUAUAUAUGAACAUGUCAUUGAGAUCUACAAUUUGNNNNNNNNNNNNNNNNNNNNNNNNNNNNNNNNNNNNNNNNNNNNNNNNNNNNNNNNNNNNNNNNNNNNNNNNNNNNNNNNNNNNNNNNNNNNNNNNNNNNUUGACGCAUGUUCAUAUCUAAAAUUCUACAACUUUGUAGUUCAAAACUUUGUUAUUUGAAACCAUCUUGGUGCUCAAAUUAUCGACGCAAUGUUCAGAUCUAAAAUUCAAAUUUUAGAUAUGAACAUUACGUUGAUUAUUUGAGCACAAUAUGGUUUCAAAUUAAAAAGUUUGAAUUAAAAAGUUGUAGAUCUCGUCAAGAUCUACAACUUUCAUAUAAAGUUUAUCUCCAUGUGAGUUCAUAUGAAAAAGUACGAUAUUUUUAAGAUGUGCUGAACUGAGAAGAGAAAUUCUGCCGGUUCAACUAGCAGUAAGGUGGGUCAAGUUAAAUUCCACCAUUUCAGUUGGCUAUAGUUGCUUAUAUGCGUAUAGAUUUGUAAUUUUUUUAUUAGGAUAUAUAUUUUGUAAAACACUAUAAAUAAAAAAAAUUCGAGCCAUUUUUUUUAGAAUAGCGGAUAGCCAACUUUUGGAACAGUGAUAACUGAGGUUGUGUGAGCCAGGGAGCUUGUUUUGUUAUUAAUAGUAAAGUUAAGACAAGUAUAGUGUUUCAGGUACUGCAUCUUUUCUGCGACACUAUGUCCGUUUUAGCAAUUUCAAACAUAUCAUACUAAUUAGUCAUUGCUUGAUGCUAGUUAUUUUCUGUUUUCUGCGAUGGAAGGGGAUGCAAACUGGUCAAUUCUACAAUGAAUAUCUGAUCAGUCUCGUUUACGUGUUUGUUAGGAUUCUGAAAGCUCACAUGCCCCAAAAGAAGAUUAAGAAUGGUCUAAUAGUUGCAAGGGAAAACAUAAUGAUGCUUGACUGAGUAAGAGACGAUAAUGAAGCAUAUGGCGCGCAACAAAAUUUUCCCACAAAGUUCUUCAGAAAACAAACCAUGCAAUUGAGAUCAAUAGCGUCGGAAGUUAAGCUGGAAAGAAACUUUGUAAAAAAAAGGAUAAAAAAGUGUCCGACCUGCCGGAUUCGAACCAGCGACCUAAGGAUUUAUCUGCGAACGACUACAGUCCUCCGCUCUACCAACUGAGCUAAGGUCGGCUUGUGAAACUUUCAAUGACUUUAUAUUAAUAACCUAGUGAACCUCUUAGCAACAGUUGAAGGUUUAUUUCCAUGGGAAAGCGACAAGAUUUCCAACCAGGACUUCCCAGUUUCUUUUAGGCCUUAAUUUCAAAGUGCUUUUCUGUUUCACGAUCGAGACCACAGUCGAUACCACCCAGCCUACUGAAGUUUCUAGUUUUAGCAGCUGCUAGCUAGCCGAGAUUGAGCCAGUAGCCUGAAGUAGCAACAAUCACGGUAGACUUUGCUCGUAAUUUAGUCGUUAUUUUUCAUCUGCGUGCUCCCUAUUUUAGGGGUGAUCGGUAGUGCUGGCUGCAGCAACCCGCUACAGCAGCUACAGCCACGCACGUUUGUUUAUCUACACCACAUCCAAUCCGUUCAUGCUGCACGUUGUGCUUUUGUUGAUGACUCUGGUCCAAGGGAUUAAGGGCAUACAACCCUAGCUAAGUUGGUGUCAUUAAUAAGGCGAUUGACCGAUUGUUGGCAAGUAUUGAUUUUGUCAUCAACACGCAAGAGAGAAACAGUUUGAAUGUUGUACACCUACGGUCGUAGGAAGAGGAACGACCACUCGAUAAUGCACCAGACAAGUGAAAAAGUCUAAACUUGGUAUGAGUCUCACACAGUACAUGUCGUGCACUUUGUCUUUCAUACUGGACCCAUCCAGUUCAUGAGGUCCACUCAUGUUGAGAGGCUGCUAUAGGUUUAUCAUUUUUUAGAUUAAGGGCCUAGGAAGGCCAGUUUUAUGUGUAAAAUCGGUGGAAAUUACAAGCUCUGAAUCUAAUGCGAUGUUGCCUGGUUGCGAAGUGAUGGACUCGUUCUUGUAUUGAAGGAUGAUGAGCGGAGCCUUUUUGCCUGGACAUGUAUUGCGCAUUUGCGCUAGAAGGCAACGGUGAUGAUGAACGGCACGAGGAGGACGACGGGAUGUCGGAGUGGCACCAAUGUCCGCGGCGGAACCAAGCUGCAUCAGCAGAGUUUUUUUUUUUGGCAUUUACCCAAACAGCGUUUUACAGGGGUAAGAAAAUUCAGUAGUAUUCUUGUGCACUAACAAAUACAACCGGAAGUUGUUUAUAUAUGUAAAAAAUCACAAAACGUCCAAACAGGGCCUAAGGAUAAAAAAAAUCCGGCCUCGACCGUUGACAUGUCCAUAGAGAAAGGGAUACAGAGACGUAGUACUUAAACUACCAGCAAAUAGUUUGAGUACUUUAGGUAGGUUUGUUUAGGAUGAUAUUUUACAGAGCAAGGGCCUCCUAUCUUCAUCAGAAAGUUUGCUAGAAAUUAAACGAAGCCCACAAACGGCCCACUAAUUCUGCCCAGACGGAGCUCGCGCGCUGGGCCUUUCUCCGCGCGCGACUAUUAAGAUAGCAAUCUAUCGCGCGUGCGAGGUAGCAGUCCUAAUUCGAUCGAUUAAAUCUUCAGCCUGCUAGAUUCGGCUUGGCCCAUCUUAUAUUUUCUCUUUUUCUCAUGUCAGCUCGGUACGUCUUGCAUUCAGUUUACCUCAGCCCGUCAGUAACAAGUUCGGCCCAUUUAAUUCUGCAGUAACCUAGAUUCAGAUGGUCUGUUUUUCUCCUUUUAGUCAGCUUAGCUCGGCCCAUCUUUUUUCCCUCUUUUUCUGCUGCUCGGCAGAAAUAAUGUUGGGAGUGGGAUUUGAACGACCUACCAGAAUGGAGGGAAGUGUACUACCAUUACACUACAAGUGGCUUGUGGUUGAAAUGAAUCACGGACUUAUUUAGACAGUAUAUUUAUAACUAUGGUUGCAGCCUAUACCUUAUUUCCAUUUCACCUUUCAUUUGUGCUACUAGAUUUUAUUUAAUGUUUUCUUUUCUUUUAAAUUUUACUUUAUUUUUUAUAUUUGUUUCUUACUUAUUUUUUUCUAUUUUAUGUAUUUUAUUGUUUUUAUUAUAUAUAUUUCCUUCAAUAUUUUUUAGUCCUUUGCAAAAUAAUUAUACAUAUUUUGUUUGCCUCUAAAAAUGAUUUGGUCAAGCGUGGAGUCAUGUUAAAUUUUAGAUUAAUUUAUUCAUGAUGUUAAAUUAUUUGUUGGUUUUAUAAACUUUUCAUUCUUUGUUUAUCUUUUAUUUCAUUUGAUUUUGAUGUUAAGUUAUAUUAAUUUGUUUGAGGUGUGAAAAUCGCUGGUGCACGAGUUCGUAUAAUUUGUUCUAGAUGUAUAUAUUUUUAUUCCUUAAGUUUGGAUAAUUUAUACUAAGUGUACAAAUAUUUAUUAUUUGAGUUUAGAUAAUUUAUGUUAGGUUUAUGCAUGGUUGUUCUAUUAGUUUAUAUAAUUUUUUCAAUAUGUAUAACUAUUUUAUCCCAUGAGUUUAUAUAGUUUGUUCCAUCUAUACAUUAUUUUGUUAUGCGAUAUUUAUAAUUUGUUCCAAUGGUAUAUAUCUUUGUUCUCUAAAUUUGUAUAUAUGUUCUUUGUGUAGACUUAUAUUGUUCCAUAAGUUCAUUAAUUUGUUGAAGUGUAGAAGUUGUUGUUCCACGAGUUUACAUAAUUUGUUCUAGAGUUAUAUAUCUUUGUUCCUUGAGUCCAUAUAAUUUGUUUGAUGCGUUUUCUUCAUUAAGUUCAUAUAUUUUUUUUGAGAAGUACAAAUAUUUCUAUGAAUUCUAUAAUUUAUUCUAGAGGUAUAAUUUUUUUCACUGAGUUCCAAUGCAUACAAAUCUUUUGUUAGGUGAGUUCACAGAAUUUGUUCCGUUUAUAUAUAAGGUUUCUGAUUAAUAGAUUGUUUUGGUUGAAACUUUUUUUAUAUAUAGAUGAUGUCAUCAAGUUUAUCCUCCGCAUGCAUGCAUAAAUUAUGUUCCCUGCUAUGAGCUAGCUAUUAGUAAUAGUCUAAAAUAUAUAUAGCCACAGUCUAUCAUAGUAGCACACCGAUACGCACGGCUAGACCAUUAGCGCAGGUAGGUUGCAAAAUUAUUUUUUCCUUCUUUCUAAAAAAUAUUUUUUUUUCUUAAUAAAAUAUAUAUAUUUAAAAAUCUGAUAAUAAGAAAUUUAAUGAUGCAAUCGGAAUUUGAAUUUGAUGGUUCAUAUAAUUUAUUUCAGGUAUACAUAUAUUUGUUCUGUGAGUUUCUAUAAUUUAUUUUAAGGGUAUACAUUUUUGUUUUGUGAGUUUGAAUACUUUGUUCGAUGCAUAUGAUUAUUUUGUUCCAUGAGUUUAUUGAAUUUGUUCUACGUGUACGUGUCAAGCAGAAAAUAUGCAACAUUGAAUAAAAAAUAUGAAUAAAAAAAUUUAUCCAAAUAUAGUUAAGUGGGAUAUUGUUGUGAAGGUUUUAUUUAAUAAACCAAUGGUGUAAUCGGAAUUUUAUAGCUUUUUUAAUUUUCAAUUGCGUUUGUCUCUCUUGCAUGCAUGCACUAGUUCUUUUUCACUUUUCAGGGACAACUACCAAAGAAGCAAUCUUAUUGAGCUGAAUUAUGAUCCAUCGUGGCCUGCUAAUCAUGGUUCCUUCAAGCGCAUGCGAUUCUAUAGGUAAUAGUGACGCGCGGUUGAAGGCAACAUUGCGAGAAUUUGUCGCCUCUGACGGCAUACAAACGGACCCAUUUUCUCCCCAGCACAUACAUGCGUCAGGAGUUCUUUCUUGCUUGUCCUAUAAAAAAAGAGUUCUUUCUUUCUUUCUUCUUUCUUUCUUCCGAGGAAAAAGCGUAUUUUUUAUCCCUUAAUUAUUUUGAAAGUGUGAUAUUCAUCCCUGGUGCAAAUCAAUCCCUUAACUAAUUAUAUCACUGCUUAGCAAUGUAACAUGCUGAGUUAAAAAUAUAAAAUCAAUAAAAAUAUUUCAGUACAUCCUCUAAAUUGACUACCCUAUACCUUUCUACCAAAAAAAUUAACAGACUGGUUACACUCAAUUGUUAUUGUGAUUGCCUCAACAUAAGACGUGGACAAGCAGUGAAUAGCAGUUAGAAAGAUGAUUACAUGACCUAAACUGCUAUUAUAUGAUACUAAACCAUUGUUAAACUAAGGUGGGGAUGAUAAAUACACCUGUUUAGUUAGUUAAGGGGUUAUGCACCAAAUGAAACAUGAGGGAUUAAUAUCACACUUUUGCAAUACUUGAGGGAUGAAAAAUACACUUUUUCCUUCUUCUAAUUAUCCUCUGUUGGGGGAAAAUAUUAACGACCUCCUUGUGUUCCUUAAACAACGGUCAUAAGGGCCAGGCCUACUACCAGCGACAGUGACCUCCGCCGACUUGGCAUGACCAGGGAAUAUUCCGCUUCACCUCGCCCGACCGCCCGAGGGCCGCUCCGCAUCCCCCGGGCGCAAGGGGUCGGACGCGCCCGACCCCUCGCCACAGGGUUCCGCCUUGCCCGACCCCGGGCGCAAGGGGUCAAACCCGCCCGACCCCUCGCCGCAAGGCUCCAUCUCGCUCGACCCCGGGACGCUGGGUCGGAUGCAUCCGGACCCACAGGACAGAGCCUCACCUCACCCAAGGACGGGCGUGGACCAGCAGACGAGGGCGCAGAUCUUGUGGGCCCCCACCGAUCUCGCCAUAAAUGCAACCGAUGGGGCGCCCAUGCCCAGAAUCCGGCUCUGACACGCAGAGAGGCGCCCGCGCUCCUCGACGUGACCGGCCAAAGCUUUCGGGCGGCGCACUGUAGCCAUGACUGCACAGGGCUACAGCUGCACCGUCCUAACUCUCCCCUGUGAUGUUCGUCAUAGGGUACUCAUCGCGCAUGCUGCCUAACAAAGGAGGGUGCGUCGCCCAGUUUCCCGCUCGGCCUGGCGGCAGGGGUGUGUUAGCCGCGCCUCCCGGUCAGCAAGCAAGGCUACAGAGGUCGCCCGUCAUUCACGACGUGCACAACUACGGCGUCCAGUCAUCAUCAUCAACUUGCAUGGCUACAGCGGUCGGUCGCCACGCACGUCUCGCAUGCUCGGCUACAAUGGCCGACCGCUGGGACGUCGAUGGGGCCCAACGACAACCAUCCCUCUUCGGUGGUCAUGCUGACAGGAGACAGAAACCAGAAGGGAAGGCGGCGACCCCGGGGGCUCGGUCCUUCUUCCUGCGCUUUUACUCCUUUGCUUACCUUUGUUACUUCCCUUUACUCCUGGCUCGAUUGUAACUCUGGUGCCCUCCUUACGCUAUAAAAGGAGGACCGGGGGCCCGAGACAGGGAUGGCUCUCAAGCGAACCGAACGCCCCCCGACACAAACCUUUCAUAUGAGCAUCAGUACACACCCACAGAGACUUGGGACCAGCUUCCCUCUCUCGCCCGUUUGUAACCCCUACUACAAACCCUGCACGAGUAACACGAGCAGCCUCCCACACUAGACGUAGGGCUAUUUCUGCCCAAACCAGUAUAAACCCUGUGUCCUCUCGUGCAACCAUCCGAGCCUUACAUGCAUAGAAAACAAAUUUACUUGCCGUAGUCUUGACCCGUGAUUCCUGACAAUGACAGUUGGCGCGCCAGGUAGGGGACCUUUGCGCGUACGACGAUUAUCACCGGCUUUGGAUGGCCAACCACGACGUCGGCUUCGCUCCCGGCUCCCACAUCCGCUUCGGGAGCCUGGACUUCCUCGCCACGGGAGAGGGAAUCAAGCUGAUUCCUCUCCUUGUCCUGCCCGCUCACCCCAUCACCUCCGGCUCCAUCGCCGGAACGGUGGUGAGCGGUCGGACGCGCACCACGGAGCUUCCUUUGGAGGGGCGGCUCUUUGUCCUAUGCAGUGCCGCGGUGACUUACGGUCGUCUCCUAGCACGAUCCAUAGUCGUGCCACCCGCGAACAACGAGUUCGCGGGCGUGAUGGAAACGGCCUCCGACGCCGGUUCCGACAAUGGGAGCCACCACCCCUCGCGUGAGUGCUUCAUGACCAACGUGCACUCUGCGGGGUCCAACGACGACGAUGGCGAGGGGAGGCAGCGCACUCCCCCACCCUGCGCCGCAGCUACAGCUGGAGCCCUUGCUAGUGUCCCAGAGCAGCCUCGGCUGCCGGAGGGGUGCGCGUGCCCAAUCAGGGGGUCGGGCGCCCCCGCAGUGAAGGCGGCGCACGUCAACAGGCAUGCGACGUCCAGUGGCACAUCUGCGAGGACGAGGACUGUCCCCAACUCUUCACACGCGCCAGCCAGAACAUCGCCACCACAGCGGUCCUACUCCAACGACUCCUCGAGCCAGCAAUGCCCGAGGAGUGAUAAGCCCACCAGGAGGUGCGCAACCUGCUUGAGUGCGCCGCAGUCCAGCAGGCGGAGAGCUCCGCGUCCUGGUGACGCGGGCACAACGCCAGCAGGGCAGCGCCCACCGCGCCUCUCAAAAGGCGUGGGGAAUCUGUCCACCAGCCUCCGCCCGGAGGGAACCGAGCCGCACCCGCUCGACGGACCCCCCCUGCAGGUGGCGGAGCCCUAUCUGCGCAUCGGUGUGUUGGUCCCGUCCGCGACACCCGUGACACCCUGGACGCGCGGAGGCGCUCCCGCGUGGCUAGGGAGGACGGAGCGGACCGCGGUUACCACGUACACCGUGGUGGCCACUACGAUAGCGAAGAAAACCGGAGCCCGAACUCCGACCCAGCGGGGCCCAGGGCCUUCUCCGCGCGCAUCCCGAACGCACCUUUCCCGGCACAUUUUAGGUAGCCCACCAACGUGGCCAAAUACUCCGGGGAGACGAACCCCGGGCUUUGGCUUAGUGACUACUGGCUUGCCUGUCAGGCCGGUGGAGCGGAUGACGACCUGUUCAUCAUCCGCAACCUCCCUCUGUUCUUAGCCGACUCAGCGCAAGCCUGGCUGGAACACAUUCCGUCGGGCGGAUCUGGAACUGGAACGACCUGAAGGAAAUCUUUGUAGAGAACUUCCAGGGUACGUACAUGCACCCCGAAAACUCCUGGGACCUCCGGAGCUGCCGCCAGGGGUCGGAUGAGUCCCUCCGAGACUACAUCCGGCGCUUCUCCAGGAAGCGCACCGAGCUCUCCAACGUCGCCGACGCCAACGUCAUCGGAGCCUUCUUGGCGGGAACCUCUUGCAGGCCCCUAGUCCACGAGCUUGGACGCAGGGGCCCACAGACCACUGAGGAGCUCCUCAACAUCGCCACCAGCUUCGCCUCGGGCGAAGAGGCCGUUGGGGUAAUCUUUGAUCACUCCAAAGGCAAGGCGAAGCGGGAGGAGGACGCCGAUGAGGGCACCUCCAACCGCAAGCAGAAGAAGAAGAACAAGCAACGGCGUGAGACUCCCCUCGUGGCUGUUGCCGAGCGCAAACGGGGACAGCCACCCCCCGAUGGCACCCCCGGCUUCUUUGACAAGUUGCUUGAGGGACCGUGCCCGAACCAUGAGUUCCCCGCCAAGCAUGCCUACAAGGAUCGCAACCUCAUGAAGAGGUACUUUGUGGGCAAUCCGGUGAAGGGCGACCGGAGACGGAAGCCUGAAGAAGAGAAGAAGGAAGUCGGAGAGAAGGAAGACGACUUCUUCAACGUGGACGGUUGCUUCAUGAUCUUCGGCGGGCCAGCAGCCUACGACUCCAGGUGCCGCCGAAAGCUAGAAUGCCGUGAGGUCUACGCGGCUGACCCCGAUACCCCUACCUUCCUCGAAUGGUCAAGGUCCGCCAUAACCUUUGACCAGUCCGACCACCCGGAGCGUGUCCCGCAGCCGAGACGCUACCCUCUCGUCGUCGACCCCAUCGUUGGCACGAAGUGCCUCACCAAGGUGCUCAUGGAUGGAGGCAGUGGCCUCAACAUCCUCUAUGCCGAGACCCUCGACACCAUGUGGAUCGACCGAUCCCGUCUCCGUCCCAGCGAGGUGCCAUUCCACGGCAUCGUGCCGGGGAAACGGGCAAUGCCCCUCGGGCAGAUCGACCUGCCCGUCACUUUCAGAACUCCUUCCAACUUCAGGAAGGAGACCCUCACUUUCGAGGUGGUGGGCUUCCGCGGAACCUACCACGCCAUCAGGGGAAGGCCAUGCUACGCCAAGUUCAUGGCCAUCCCCAACUGCACCUACCUCAAGCUCAAGCUGCCGGGGCCCAACAGGGUCAUCACCAUCGGCACGUCUUUCUAGAAGGCAUAUGAGUGUGAUAUCGAGUGCUGCAAGUAUGCCUCGGCCAUCACUUGCUCAGAGGACCAUGCAGUCCGACUUGCGGAGGGCGCCGAGGACCCGCCCGACUCCAAGCAAUCCUCCACCUCCUUCAAAGCCACGGAACGCGUGAAGGAGGUCCUUCUCGACCCCAGCGUCUCCAACGGCAGGACGGUGCGGAUAGGCGUGACCCUAUCCCCUAAAUAGGAAAGCGCGCUCGUCGACUUCCUCCGCGCAAACAGCGACGUUUUUGCGUGGAAACCCUCGGACAUGCCAGGCAUCCUGAGAGAAGUCGCUGAGCACUCCUUGAACAUCAAGGCCGGCUCCAAACCGGUGAGACAAGGCUUGCGCCACUUCGAUGAGGAGAGGCGCAAGGCCAUCGGUGAGGUGCUCCAGAAGCUUUUGGCGGUCGGAUUCAUCAAGGAAGUGCACCACCCCGAGUGGUUAGCCAAUCCUGUUCUUGUACGAAAGAAGAAUGGGAAAUGGAGAAUGUGUGUUGACUAUACGGGUCUCAACAAGGCGUGCCCAAAGGAUCCGUUUCCUUUGCCACGCAUAGAUCAGAUAGUCGACUCAACCGCAGGAUGCGAAACCCUUAGCUUCCUUGACGCGUAUUCCAGUUACCACUAAAUCGUGAUGAAAAAGUCCGACCAGCUCGCGACCUCCAUCACCACCCCUUUCGAGCCCUACUGCUACGUCACGAUGCUGUUCGGCCUCAAAAACGUGGGGGCUACAUUCCAGCGAUGUAUGCUCAAGUGUUUUGGGGACCUCAUCGGGCGAACCGUUGAGGCCUACGUGGACAACAUCGUGGUCAAGUCCAAGAAAGGUGACCAACUUAUUCCCGACCUUGAGCUGGCCUUCGAAAGGCUGAGAGAUAAGCGCAUCAAACUCAACCCCGAAAAAUGCGUUUUCAGGGUCCCUAGGGGCAUGCUGCUCGGCUUCAUCGUCUCCGUGCACGGCAUCAAAGCCAACCCGGAGAAGAUAUCGGCCAUCAUCGAUAUGGGGCCGAUCCAAAACUUGAAGGGAGUGCAGCGCGUCAUGGGAUGCCUUGCGGUCCUGAGCUGCUUCAUCUCACGCCUUGGCGAACGAGAACUCCCCCUCUACCGGCUCCUGAAGAAGACCGACCGCUUCGUGUGGACCACCGAGGCCAAGGAGGCGCUUGACCGGCUCAAGCAAAUCCUGACAAAGGCCCCAAUCCUGGUCCCACCGACGGACGGGGAGCCACUCCUGUUCUACAUUGCGGCGACCAGCCAGGUGGUUAGCGCUGCUCUGGUGGUGGAGCGAGAAGAGGAGGGACAUGCCCUCAAGGUGCAGCGCCCAGUGUACUUCAUCAGCGAGGUCUUAUCCGACUCCAAGGCCCGCUACCCCCAAAUCCAAAAGCUCAUAUACGCAGUCCUCAUCACGAAGAGAAAGCUGCGCCACUACUUCACCUCCCACCCGGUAACGGUCGUGUCAUCGUUCCCCCUUGGUGAAGUGAUCCGGAAUCAGGACGCCACAGGACGGAUCACGAAGUGGGCGCUCGAGCUUAUGGACCAGGGCAUCACCUACGCCUCCCGGAUAGCCAUCAAGUCCUAGGUAUUCGCCGACUUUGUCGCGGAAUGGACAGAGAUCCAGACGCCAUCAGCACCAGAGAAGCAAGAGUAUUGGACGAUGUACUUCGACGGGUUGCUGAUGAGAGCCCGUGCCGGAGCGAGCCUGGUUUUCGUCUCCCCCCUCGGCGUACGCAUGAGGUACAUGAUCCGUCUCCAUUUUCCCGCGUCUAACAAUGUCGCUGAGUACGAGGCUCUCCUCAAUGGGCAUUCGACGACUAGACAUCCGAGGCGACUGUCACCUAGUCGUCAAGCAAGUCAUGAAGGAGUGGAGCUGCCACGAUCCCAAGAUGGUGGCGUAUUGCAAUGAAGUCUGCCGGCUUGAGGACAAGUUCGACGGUCUGGAGCUCAACCACAUCACGAGACACUUCAACGAGUCAGCUGACGAGCUAGCAAAGGCGGCAUCCGACCGGAAGCCAGUCCUCGAUGGCGUCUUUACCAGCGACCAGUAUAAGCCCUCGAUCCGCUACGAGGAGUUGGGAGAGGUCGGCAAUGCGCCACCUGUCCUGGACUCAGGAGCUGAACCGGGAAAGGUCGGCAACGCGCCGCCUGUCCCGGACUCGGGAGCUGACCCCUACGACCCCGAGGUCAUGGAAGUUGACAUGAACCCAGCAGAGGGGCCCGACCCCCUGCCUGACUGGAGAACCCCGUACCUCGACUACCUCAUCCGCGAGUCGCUUCCGACGGACAAGACAGAGGCGCGAGGGAUUGCCCACGGCACGAAAUCCUUCGUCAUCAUCGACCAGGAGCUCUAUAAGCGGAGCCAUACCGGCAUUCUACAACGCUGCAUCCCGAUCGAGCAAGGAAAGGCGUUACUCCAUGACAUCCACGCCGGAGCUUGCGGCCACCACGCCGCACCAAGAACUCUAUUCGGGAAUGCCUUCCGACAAGGCUUCUACUGGCCGACGGCAGUUGCCGACGCCACCCGCGUGGUACGCACCUGCGAAGGGUGCCAAUUCUUCACGCGACAAACUCAUCUGCCCGCCCAGGCACUCCAGACCAUCCCUAUCAUGUGGCCCUUCGCGAUCUGGGGUCUGGACCUCAUCGGGCCCUUCAAGAAGGCGCCCGGGGGCUUCACCCACCUGCUCGUCGCCGUAGACAAGUUCUCGGAGUGGAUCGAGGCUCGACCGAUCGCGCAGAUCAAGUCCGAGGAGACAGUGCAAUUCUUCACCGACAUCAUCCAUCACUUCGGAAUCCCUAACUCCAUCAUCACGGACAACGGCACGCACUUCACCGGGAAGAAAUUCCUCAAGUUCUGCGAUGAUCACCACAUCCGAGUGGACUGGUCGGUCGUAGCGCAUCCCUGCACGAACAAACAGGUUGAGCGGGCCAACGGCAUGAUACUCUAGGGUCUCAAGCCAUGGAUCUUCGACCACCUCAACAAGUUCGGCGGCUGAUGGGUUGCGGAGCUUCCGGCAGUCCUAUUGAGCCUGAGGACAACCCCUAGUAGGGCAACCGGCUUCACCCCAUUCUUCAUGGUCUAUGGGUCCAAGGCAAUCCUCCCCACCGACCUGGAGUAUGGGUCGCCGAGGGUCAGGGCGUACGACGAACGAGGGAACCAGGCAGCCCUCGCGGACACGCAAGACCAACUCGACGAAGCGCGAGACAUGACCCUGCUGCACUCGGCCAAGUACCAGCAAGCUCUGCGACGGUAUCACGGCCGUAAGGUGUAGGGUCGGGCCUUCAAUGUCGGCGACCUAGUGCUUCGCCUCGUCCAAGAGAACAAAGGUCGGCAUAAGAUGACCCCUCUGUGGGAAGGUCCUUUCGUCAUCGCGCAAGUACUGCGGCCGGGCACAUACAAGCUAGUGACCCCCGACAUCGAACAGCUAAGACGUUUCUACCCUUAGCUAUUACUUCCAAGUUUGUACCUACAUACUUCCAUCUUCUUUUAGUUUGUGAAAAAAGGGGCUGUUUCGAGUUGCCUUCGCUAAAGUUUCAUCCCAAGCUUAGGGAUAUCCGACCCUGGCUCUGCCCCAGGGUCGAAUAUCCCUCGGGGGCUAUCAAGGGCUGCGGCCCAAGACACUUGGCGUCUUCUCAAAACACCAUCUUUUUCCAAACCGACCCUCUUCCUAAACGUUUGGGCGUGAAAAGAAAGGAGUGCGCGAACGACGCUCGGGCAAGACCGAUCAGACUGCGAGAAACCUACGCCCCAGCGGCUACAGUGCCUUCAUUCAUCGGUGCUUCCCGACGCGUUCGACCUGCACUCUGAACUUUCCAAACCCAAAAAAUAGAAAGAGGAUCGAAAACUUUUUCAAAAAAUUACACACGGACAGAAAGGCCUCUGUGGCCAUCGCAAAAACAAGUUCAAAAUUAUUUAACUUAUUUACAUAUUUUUGGGCAACUUGGCCCGCUACAGCUAACUCGUCCCCGGGUCCUCCGGCGGGAUGGCCUCAUCCUCCAGGAGACGCGCCAAGGCCUCUGUUGGAUUGAGCACCGACGCGUUGAUCUCGUCCAGCUCGGCCUCGGAGUAGCCGGAGGUGUACCCUCCGCUCAUUGCGUCGAAGUUGAUGUUGGAGUAGUGAGAGCCGAAGACGCCAAAGGCCCACCUCACGCCGAUGUGGAGCGCCUCCUGAGCGAUCUCACAGGCCCGCCGGUACGCCCCGAGGACAUGAGCCGCCAACGUGCUCGUCCCCUCCUCUUGGACCACACUAAGGUCCUCGCAGACGAUGCGAACGGCGUCCCGCAGGUUGGCGUGCUCGACGUGCUCCGCAUCGGCGGCGGCCCUCAGCCAGGCGAGCUCGCCCUCAAGGCCUGUCCAGAAAAGCCCACCAAGUCAGAAACCAGCGUGACGCUGCAAGCAAGAGGACAACAAAAGCCUUACCCUUAGAUUAGGCUCUCAGCAGACUGAAGCUCCUGCACCUGCGACUGGAGUCGACCAACCUCCGCCCUAAGGUCGGCUGCCACCUUCUCGGCCUCAGCCUUUUGGCCCACCUCGAGGUCGCGCUCCUGCCGAGCCGUGUGUCGCUCAUGCCGGAUGUUCUCGAUGGUUUUCUGAAGGGCCUCAUGCUCCUUCCUCAACCGUGCAAGCUCCUCGGCAUCACGACGGGCCUUCUCGGUAGCCGCCCAGAACUUGUCCUCCACCCUUCCCGCGCCUCCUGCUCCCACGCUCGCAGGUCGGCGGCAUUCUGCUGGGCGGCGGCGAGCUGCCCGGUUAGCUCCCCGGUCCGCCGCACCUCCGCGGCGAAGCGUUCCCAGACCCCCUGCUCGCGCUGGAGGAACUCGGACUUCCCCCAACUGCAUUUCUAGAGGACCUGCAGAAUGAUUUACGCUCAGGAAUCGUCGGGAGAAAAAAGGGAUAGAGAAAUGAAAGAAAAAUCAUCACCAAAGAGAACACCAUACCUGACCGGCGGGAACAACAACGCCAUCCAACUUCCCCAUCGUGGAAGACGGGGUGGCACGGAUGUCUUCGAGUCCGCCCUGCACCUCCUGCCAUCUUUCCUGCUCCCCAACAUCGUCCAACACGAAGCGAGGCCUCUGCGGGUCCUCACGGGACAUCCAGCGCACGGUCGGCCCUCUCCACGCGUUGGGGUCACGACCAAGCGGGACGAGGGCACACGAGGACUCUCCGACCAGCCUCGACGCCACUGCUCCAUCGUUGCCGCCAGGGCAGGUGCCACCAUCUCCGCCACCGCCGCCGUCUCUGUCGACGCCACCGGGGCAGACACCACCGUCUCUGUCAUAGCCGCCGUCUCCAUCGCCGCCACCGGGGCAGGCGCCACCGUCUCCGCCACCGCCGUCAUCUCCACUACCAUCACCGCCGCCCCUACGACCGGCACCUCGGACACUAGCGCCUCCCUCACCGGCUCCUCCUCCGCCUCGUCGUCAAGGUUGAUCACCUCGCUGGACGGAGGAACCCUAGAGGCAGCAUCUUGUUCUGCGGGGUCAGCUGCGGGUGUAGAAGAUGGGGCAAGGGUCGGCUCUUGCCCCGUGCACGACUGCGGCACCCUUUCUUCAGUCGCUGCUGUAGAGGCUGCCUCCACCGGGGGUACCGCGGCCUCGCCGACGACAUCGCCGCUCGCUCCCGACGGGGUCACGGUUGGCCCCACGGAGGCACCCGAUACCCGGAGCGCCUUCUUCGGCACCAGCGGCAGGACGAAGUCUCGAGGAGCAGCGCUGCGAGGCUCCUUUGAUGGAGUGUGCCUCUCUUUUGCUGCUUGGAGACACAUUUUUGAAAAAGAGGUUAAACUGGUCAUUCUAAGAGUCAAAGCAGCAAUGAAGGAUAAGUUCAUUCUUUGGCUGGGUAGUCUGUAACGUAGUCCUCUUUUCUUCUUUGGGUUUAAAACCAAUGUAAUUCGCCUGUACAUAAACCCCUUUUAUACAUAUAUAUAAAAAAGGUAGGGGACUCCCCUGCUGAUUCGUCUAAAAAAUUAAACAACACUUUGAGUAUUUCAGGGAGGCUUAUUCCUAUCUUCUAGUUUUCUCAUUAGGUUGAAAUCUCCCACGACCAACCAAUCCAUAUCAACUGGCAUAUUAAUAUUCUGAAACCAGUCUAUAAGCUUCCUCCUUCCCUCAUCUAUAUGAUGAGCAUAAAUAAUACUCCCUCUGUCCCAAAUUAUUAUUCGUUUUGGGUUUCUAGGUACAUAAUUUUUGCUACAUAUCCAGACAUAGCACAUAUCUAGAUGCAUAGCAAAAUCUACGUAUCUAGAAAAGCCAAAACGCAUUGUAAUUUGGGACGAAGGGAGUAUUUGUGAAGACCCCAGAGGCUCCCAAGUGAUUAGAAGUCAUUUCUGCUGAUUGGGCAUAUAUAGUUGUUUUCAAAAAGUAGUUCACCAUCCAACUUUACACCAUUCCAAAUAAUGAUUGGAACCCCAAGAAGCUCCAUUUGAUGGAUGAAAGACAAAUUUAUUUAGAUCGGGAGGGCAAAAGUUUAUGAUGAAAGUGGGUUCUUUCUUGGUUUCUUGUAGACGAACUAUAUCCCAGCUAGCCUCAACAUUUUUGUGAUGAAUUGAAUUCCACUUCUUAUUAGAAUUAAUAACAUGGAAACUCCAUAUGAAAAAGAUUUGGAGAUAGAUAUGCCAUAACCACAUAAAUAAUAUGUAGCUAAAGGAACCACAAUUAUUAGAAGGUUCAGAGCAAACUGCAUACAUCUUAGAGAGAUAUUUUAGUACUGACAAAAGUAGGGACACAUUAACCAAGGCAACAUAGAAGAGCAACAAAAUAUAAGCUUCAGUGAAGAUGACACAGCAUUUUUAUUAAGCCUCCAGACUUUAGGCUGACUGUUGAUAUGAGGCAUUAUAUUGUGGUCUUCAUUAUUGGAGUCCUGGUGAGAUAUGAUGGCUUCUUCUUCUUGAUCCAAUGAUUCUUCAUUCAUUAUGGGAAUGUUCUUAUUAGCUUUAUUACUCUUGACAUCUUUCCUCUUCACCAUGGAUGCCUCAACAUUCAUCUCUGCCACCUGAUUCCCUACAUGUGAUUCAGUGCAGAUGAAUCAUCAUCCCUUGCGGAUUUUUUUAUGUGUAGGCCAAAGCCAGUACAAAGAUCUUUAGCAAAAAAAAGUACAACCAGACACCACAAACAAGAGAAAUAUGACACGUAUACAAUUUAGAGACAAGUCAUGACACAAGCUGAAGAACUAUCAUUGAAGAACUAUCAUCGAUCGCUGAUUAGAGAUGCCACUGAAACAACAUACUCGCCAGAUACGCUAUAGCCAUUGCACAUCCACACCACCUCUUGUAGCUACGCCUCUUCGUUGUCACCCUCCAUCUGAGGACCACCUAACGAAGGGGGACUAAAGGUGGUGAGAGGCACAUAGACCAGAGCCCACCGGACACGAUGAUCUUCCUUGAAGCUAAUGGUAACAUCUUUCAAAGGACAUCCUGGAUCCACGUACCAUCAUCCAAUGCCGUACAAGGGGAGGAAGCCUCGAAGGGGAAUGGCGAAAGAGGUAGAAACACCAUGCCCGGCAUAAAAUUUGAUGGUACCACCAACAAGAAGAAUGCUGACGGAGCAGAGGCACCAAAUAGGGGACACUCGCCGAACCAUGACCUCAAGAAAUAACCAAUACCAGCCAAGUCCAAGAAGUAUACCGACAAUGGAGAGAUGCAGAAGAUAUAGGAGGCACUGAGUAGUCGACGACCUCAAUGGACCGUGCGAAGGUGAGACACCCACACUCUCCGAACGUGAAGCUUUCAUUGCAUGGUAGCCACCGCCACAUUCAUAUACUGCACCGGCGACCAUGGAGAAUGGUGUGGGAGUCGCAAAACAACACCUCCAUGGAGGGGAACGGCACCCACAAGUGUCGUCGUCACAGGUAGCGAAUCAGGCUUCCAUCGCAUGAUGAUUAAGCUUUCACCGGCGACUCACACCACUAGGCACAUGCACAUGUGGACAGCAGCCUCACCGGCCACCGCCACCAUGCGCUAGCCCAGUCCAUGCCUAGGCAAAUGUGACAAGCCACCAUGCGGUGUUAACCAUGUUCCAACACAACUGUGGCUGCACACCGCUAUCCGAUGCGGCACUCGUUGCAUAGCCGCGUCUCCACAUGGGUACGACCUGCCCCACGCUAAGGCCGAGCACCGUGGAGCAUUGAGUACGGGUGCCACGCUCGGGCAUGGCAGCUUGCACACCUGAACAGGGGCACAAGAGACCCUCGACUACCGUCACCGUAGGCACGGCAACCACGUCUCCAUCCCGUAGCCGACACACCAGAUCCAGUAGAGUAGGGACCGGAUCUAGUCCGGGAGGCCUCGGGCCUCGGCCGGCCACCAUGGCCAUGGAUGCCAUUGGAGCUCCAAGCCCAAAACAGAGAGGAAGGGAAAUUGGAGGGAGAGGAGAGGGGAGGAGAUGUGCUGCGAACUGGAGCCGGCUUCAGCACCAUCACGGGCCGCUGCCGCCACUCGAUAGGCAACGGCAGCGGCUGCCGGCGGGGGCUUUUGAGGGGCGGAGGUGGAGUCGCCCCUCCCGUCGCCCAGCCAUCCCUUGCGGAUUGCUUCUUGAUCACUUUCUUAGCAUUUCUUGUUUUUUUUUUUUUUUGCCAGAAGAGCUGCAUCAGUUACUUACUGAGGGCCCAUUUUGCAAAAAGUUGCAUCUGUUACUCGUUUAUCUUUACUUGCCUUUUUUUAUAUCUGGUCGUGCAUGCCUUCCUAGUCUUUUGGUUCUUUGAUUUAGUCAACAUGGUUUAGUCUUUUCAAUGAGUACGCAUCAGCUAUGUGCUGUCAAAUUUUAAUAAGACAAUUGUUCGUAAUAAGCACUGUUUGGAUCACGAACAGACAAGAUAAAGUUCUGAAUAAUACACAUAUACACCUACCGAUCCUCGGAUGAGUCGGAUGAGGCAAGACCAUUCGUUGUUACACCAGAAACGCUAAAGAAGCUCACGGGAUUAUUUACGGCAUGAUAUGAUCUGAGCUGAGUCAAAUAUUUCAUGUACUUUGUCUUACAUACUGGGCGUACUCAUCCUGGCAGUCAAAGAUGCGAUCAGGAGGCUGCUAUAGAUUUUCAACUUCUUGAGCUAGCUGGAUGUAUGUAUCACGUAUUCAGUGUCUUACGGAGAGAUCGUAUGCAUAUAUGUACAAUCAAAUAAUACCUGUAUGUGCAUGACGACCAUAUGCAUAUCUUCACGAAAUCGUCACUUCAUUCAACUCAAGUUAGUGACACCAAAAUUGGCAUAUAAGUCCUGAAAUUCCAGUUGAGAAUAUGGAGGUCAUCCAAACAAUGGUUUUGGAUACUUAAUUACAAAAGAUAGGAACUUAUGCUCGGCCGGCUGCCGGUUAACGUGGCCUAGUAGGAUACAUUCUAGUUUAAUUUGAUUUUCUUUUAUAUUGUUAUUGGUCUACAGGUGAGACAAUGAGAACCACAGUUAAGCUUGGUACGUCUGGUUACUGGCUGAAACUAUGCACCUUCUUUUUUUGCUGGGAAAAAUAUUUGCAGAAUUACGUACAAAGACGACUGGUUCCUAGUGCUCCGUCGGUACUUUUAUUUGUUGGUAGAUGUACACGUGAUGUCAUGUGAAUGCGAGCAGCUCAUCAGAAUCAUGCACAUCUAUAUAGUCUCAAUAUUUUUCAACACGUAAUUUACGAGUGUGGUAUACAAUUUUAGUAGUACUUAUCAUUUUUCUCGAGCGGCCAAUAGUUUUAAGUCUUUUUUUGGAAGAAAAUUAGGUGCGCACCGGAUGCAAACCGCAUCCGGUGCAUACCCGUGUGCUCGCGUGACGUGUGGAGGGGGAAGCAAAUCCGACGGAUUUAAUCGCUGGCUGUCGCGGCUCGGCUUGCUCGCUCGGGAACCGCGUGCUCAGUCGCUCGGGAUAACGGCACCAGCGGCUCGCUCGCUUCGGGAACACUACUCCAGUCCCAGCUCAGCCCACUCCUCGCUGCUCCCUCACUUCAUCCCUCUCUGUCGUGGCGUUCUCCGACGAGACGACGGCGGCGACGUAGACGGGUGCAUCCUGGUUCGGCAGGUAUUCAUCUACUUCCACUCUUCCACUAAUAAAUAGCGCGAUUCCUGAAAUCCAUUUCGUUACAGUGUAAUCACUGGCAUUCGUUUUCUUCCUUUCUUUGAAAUCUGCAGGAGAGAAGGCGGCACCAUUCCAAGCUCGGAGGCCGUCACCCGCAGAUUUAAGCAAGCCCCAUCCCUGGAAGCUCCUUCCUUUCCUCCCAAUCGCCUGCACGCAGCAGUUCUCGGAAACAUCUGGGCCGCCUCUUGAAAUUCGACGGCCGGAAAAAGUGAGAAACCAGCGAGCGAGCACGCAGUUCCGAGCGAGCGAGCCGAGUCGUGACAGCCAGCGAUUAAAUCUGUCGGAUUUGCUUCCCAUCCACGCGUCACGCGAUCGCACGGGUAUGCACCGGAUGCGGUUUGCAUCCGGUGCGCACCUAAUUUUCUUCCCUUUUUUUUUGUCUUUCCUAACUGUCUCGACAAAUUGGCAACAAGAUUAAUUGAAUAAAUAUAUUACAAACAGUUACGAUAGGCAACAAGAUUAAUUGAAUAAACAUAUUACAAACAGUUACGAUAGAUAACCAACAUAAUACUACAAGCUGUUGGUCACUUCAGAACAGAAACUGUUAGGAAAGAUCGUCGCUCGAUCUUGUAGUGGGCCUAAUACAAGAAGUCAAGAACCCAAUAAAAUAACUCUGUCCACAUGGAAGACCGGCCGAGAUGUUCACGAGGACGAAGCACAACGUUGUUUAAAGAUGUACUCCCACGGUUCUUUUUUACAUGUCACAUUAAGUUUGUCUUAAGUCAAAUUUGUUCAAUUUUGACAAAAUUUAUAAAAAAAUAUAACAACAUCUACAACAUCAAAUUUGUUUUCGUUGAAUUCACCAUAGAAUAUAUUUUGAUAAUGAAUAUAUUUGGUACUAUAGAUGUUACUAUAUUUUCUUAUAAAUUUGGUCAAAUUAUAACUUUAACUUAAGACAAACAUGUAAAAAAAAUGGAGGGAGUAUAAUUGUAGUAUAUACAUCUCUCUCACUCUCGUCGUGAUCUCUCUAUAUGAUCAAUCGGCAAUCACGUGAUGUAUGCAAAUCUCUGCAUCCAGCAGACCGUCCAAACAGGAAGCUGCCACGACCUGCACGAACGGCCUCGCUUCCAUGUCUGCAUACAGCUCAAUUUGUACCAAUCUGAACGGAAUGCAUACCUGCUCGUUGCCGUUGCCGUCUCCAUCACAGUACACUCCGUUUUGUAAAACUGCAUUUCAUCGAUCGGUCCGUCCUGCCACAGCUCAGCUCGCUGACAAUGGCGACGAUCAUCAAUAGCCACCCGUGCAAAACGCGUAACACGGCCCCACCUCGUUUGUUUCGUCUGACCGAUCCUCUAGCCGCCGGGCCAACGGCUACAUAAAUACAGGCCAUCGCCACAGCCCACAGCAGCUUGCUAGCUCUCGGUCGCCGGCUACACGAGACGAUCAAUAGGCUGCCAUGAGCACCAGCACCAUGCCCAAGGCGAGAUGCGCGAUGAAGACCAAUACACAUGGCCCGAGGAGCCACUGCAAGGUAAAGGCCGUGGCGGCGUCGGCGAGAGAUACCAUCUGCUCGAAGGGCAGCAAGAAGGACUACUACAAGGUGCUGUCGCUGGAGCACCCGGCGGCCGUGGGCGCGGAGGAGAUCAAGCGCGCGUACCGGCGGCUGGCGCUGUGUUACCACCCCGACGUGUGCCCGCCGUCGCGGCGCGCCCAGUCCACGGAGCUCUUCGUCGAGCUGCGGCGAGCGUACGAGACGCUCUCCGACCCGGCGCAGAGGGUACGGUACGACGCGGAGAUGAGAGCGACCGGGGAGGACGGUGCGGCAGCGAGGCCUGGUGGUGGUGUUGAGUUUCCGAGGGACGUGUGGGAGGCGCAGCUGUGCGAGCUGCGGGCGCGCUCCGAGCAGCGGCAGAGGGCGAGGCGCGGUGGCGUCCCGAUCCGCCGUCAGCCGGUCUGAUUAAGCGAUCCGGACACACGCAUGGAGAGUUACUGGGGAGUUUAGAUUUUAUUCUUUGACCGUGGGGCUCAUUGCAUCUGGUUUUACUGGGGUGUAAGUUUAUUUGAGCAGUGUAAAGUGAUAGAUCUGUAUGUAGUAAUUCAUUUUCUUUUGGGAAAUUUGCUUGCACCGCUAGGGAAGGCGCCUUUAGUACCGGAUCCUAACCCCUUUAGUACCGAUUGUAUAACCGGUAUUGUUACUUCGAUACUAAAGGGGGGCCUGUGUCAAAUAACCGAUGCUAAAGGGGGUCUUUAGUACCGUGUCAAAUAACCGAUGCUAAAGGGGGGCAUUUAGUACCUUUAUACCAACCGGUACUGAAUUGGCUGCCACGUCGCGUGUGACCGAAGGCAAUUUAGUACCAGUUUCUUUUCUCAUUUUCUUUUCUAUUUAUUUAUUCUAUAUUAGUAUUUCGUAUUUGUUUUCUUUACGUAUACUAGUUUUAAUAUUACAUUUAAUCUAAUAUUAUAUAUAUAGACAUCUCCUGCCUUCGUAUUUAUGAAUAAUAUUACAUUGCAUCAACACUUGAAGUUCAACAUUUGGAUCAACUAUUCUGAACCCGAGUCCUGAUGGUGAUGCAGAUUUGAUCCGUCAUUAUGGAACUCCCCUGCUGGAUUUACUACCUUGUCUAGAAGAAAUCCACUGAGUUGUUAUUGAAUUGCCCUGAUUUUUUCCGUCUCGAGGAGUGCUUCCUUCGUGUCUCUCGUCUGUGUCAUUAGCAAAGAUUAUUACAACCGGUACUGAAUUGGUUGCCACAUCGCGCGUGACCGAGGGCAAUUUAGUACCAGAUUCUUUUCUCAUUUUCUUUUCUAUUUAUUUAUUCUAUAUUAGUAUUUCAUAUUUAUUUUCUUUACGUAUACUAGUUCUAAUAUUACAUUUAAUCUAAUAUUAUAUAUAUAUAGACAUCUCCUGCCUUCGUAUUUAUAAAUAAUAUUACAUUGCAUCAACACUUGAAGUUCAACAUUUGGAUCAACUAUUCUAAACCCGAGUCCUGACGGUGAUGCAGAUUUGAUCCGUCAUUAUGGAACUCCCCCGUUGAAUUUACUACCUCGUCUAGAAGAAAUCCACUGAGUUGUUCUUGAAUUGCCCUGAUUUUUUCCAUCUCGAGGAGUGCUUCCUUCAUGUCUCUCAUCUGUGUCAUUGGCAAAAGUUAUUAUAUAGUAGAUCAACGGAUCUGCACCAUUAGAACUAAUUUAUUGUUAAGAAAUUUGUAUAUGUACUCUGAAUUUGUGGUCGGUUAUACGCUUGGGAGCUACAAAGCUAUGGAUGAACUCACAUACGUAGUAUCCGUAUAAAUUAUUCCCCAGAUUCUAUCUCAAACACUAUAUAUAUGGUAAAAGAAGUUAUGAAAUAUUAGUUGUGUUCAAGGAAGUGUCAUGAGAUGUGGAAAUUCAACACAUACCGGGAAUUCAGGUUUGAAAUCAAGUUCCUCCUUGAAUUCACUUACGUGAUGUCGACGGAAGCGAGCCCAUACUUUGUUAAAUAUGUCUAUGAGAUUUUUGUACUGAUCUCUUCAUUUCCUCAAAGAGUCCAUGAUGUAGACCGCGCUUCAAUCAACCACGAUAACAAGGAGUAUCCAAUGGAAGAUGUAUAUAUAUGCAUAGCCAAAGUUAGUUAGUCUUAUGUUUAACUGCUAGUUCGAAAAAAAAGAGAUAGGAAACACGCCCACUUUAUGUUGUAGGGUAGAAGUAUGUACUUCCUGUAAUGUUAGUUGUCUAGGAACUUAUAUAUGUUCUUCAAGGUCCGAUUUGGUCUAUCUCUUAUAGUUGACUCGUUUAUAAUAUCUGGGUUCAUGAAGCCGAUGUUGUAGUAUCCUUUCCUCCAGCAAGUUUGAAUCUCCAUGCAGAUUGAAUCUCCAUCCUGCAUGAUACAAAAUCGAAUAGGAGUUAAGACAUCGCACAAUGACUAGAGUGGAAUUUUGAAGUUAGAGCAAAUUAAAGACGUAUAGAACCCAGAAACUGAUGAGUGACUUGUCAAGUCCGUUUUGAUUGUAAAGGAAAUAGAGUUCCUCUAGCAGCACAUUUAUAAUGUCUUCCCCACGGAAAUAAUGUUGAUCUCCAAUCCAAACUUCGAGCAUGAGUAAACCGUUAGCUGAAGCCUCCAUGUACCAUUGGUGAAAUUUGUAUGUCUUUGUUGGAAGACGAUCCACCAACUGCGGCCACACAAGCGGUUUUCCUAACUCAAAUUUCCAUUUAGUAGCCCCAGGGUGCAAUGGGACAUGAUCCUCCCCUCGAAGUUGAGCUGGGGUGAGAUUUGUAUCUUUGGCAAAUAGAAGCAGGUUCUUAUCAAACUCCGAAAGCACCUGGAGCAGGGCAAUCGAUUGGUUGGAUUGGGUUCCGAGCUGCGGAAUACUUGACCCACUUUUAUUCUUCUUCUAAAAAGCUUUUGUUAUUGAGCGGUCGUAGUUAGAUAGCAGUGGUUUCUCUACCUUUUUCUCCAUGCUUCCAAUGAAGCCUGAAAUUUAACCUUAUCAAGUGGUGGAUCUUUCUUCACGGGAGGUUUUGGUGAGAAGUGAGCUUUAACCUCAGCAUCCACUACUGCGUCGAUUUUCACAUCAGUCAUCUCAUGAGUUUUCUUGGGCUCUGGUUGCUUCUCCUUCGGCUUCUUCUGCUUCUUCUGCUUCUUCUUUUUAGCUGUAGUAGGCUGAACUGAAGGCGUUUUUCGCCGUGUAGCCUUUCUCAUAACAGGGGGUGGUGGACUUAUGCUAGGAUCUCUAUCAGCUGGUUGAGAGCGUGGACUCAUGCUAGGAUCCCUGUCAGUUGGUGGACUCAUGCUAGGAUCCCUGUCUGGUAGUGGAGAGGGUGCCCUGGCAGAUGGCGUAGGUGAUCUUGCCCUUGAGCCUUGAGGAGAUGAUCCCAAGGUCGAGGGAUUCGGCUGUGUAAUCCUUAUGUAGCGCUUGGGCCAUAGAAUCCAACCAUGGAUGGAUUUUCCUAGAUUCUUUUCCCCGUCACCUCCAGGGAUCUUCAGUUUUAGGUCAUCCCAACCGUCGACCACUCAGUCCACCCCAACUUUAGCGUAACAACGAGCUAGAAUCUCCACGCGAUGAAUUCUAAAAAUGACUAAUUACGUACAUCUAUUUCAUCUUAUUAUCUCUAUGUACCACAAUUUAUCUCGCUCAUAUUUGCAAAUGACUAAAAUAUGAACAAAUUAUAUUUUUUUCAUAAUUUAUUUAGCUCAUAUUUGUAAAGGACUAAACUAUGAAAUUAUUCCUCUAAUCUCAUAUCAAUUUCUUUGACUAAUACGAAUCAUGGCAUCCAAAAAAUUGUAGCUUAUUCUAAAAAUCACAAAUUACUCUAGCUCUAAAGCAUAAAACUUAGUAUAUUAACCAUGUAUCAAGGGAGGAUGAAGUUUCUAACCUUUAAAACACUUGAAUGAGUGAAAUCCCUACGAAAUGGUCAAAAAUCCAGCAGCACCUCCCCUAUUUUGCCAUGAACGGAUGAAGCCCGAGCUAGAGGAAAUGGCUCGGGUAGGAGGAAGAAGACACCUGAGUUAUAGGAGGGAAGUUAGUACUGGUUGGGGGCUCCAACCAGUACUAUGCCCCCAACCGGUACUAAAAGUCACCCAUUAGCACCGAGUGGAGCCUCCACCUGAUACUAAAGGCCCUCAGGGCUCCACCCGGUACUAAUGUGUGACCUUUAGUACCGGUUGGAGCUCCCAACUGGUACUAAAGGGGGUCACGGGGGGCUCCUAGGGAACUAGCCAUUAGACCCGAUACUAAUACUCACAUUAGUACCGGGUCAAACACCAACCGGUACUAAGGGUUAGGACCAAUGCUCAGUUUUCUAGUAGUGAGGAAACAAUACUAUAAUUUGUGUAUGAAACUAAGCAAACACCAAUUGUACAAACAACUGAUAUAAUUUAUCUUCAUGAAGUAGUGAUUACUUUGUUUCUUUGGAGAACUGUAGCAUGAUAAUCCAUUUGAGAAAAUCUUGUAAUGUUUUGAGUUUUUGACCUUUUGGUUGCAAGUGUUUACUUAAUAAUAGUAUAAUGGAUGGGAGAUUGAUUAUUGCAGGAUGCCCUCUUAGUUACUGGGGCCAUUUCACUAUACUAUUUGUUCACAGCAUCAGAAGAAUACGUCUCAUACUGACUCAAAAUAUGAAGAGUGUAGUUAUGGAAAAUGAUAGGAAAGGGCAGUCUCAUUUUCCACUUAGACUAAACAAACAAGAUUUUUAGACUCUUGCUUCUAAACUUCACCCAUCAGUCAAUUACCCAACUAAAUAUACUUGAUGAGGACAUCGCCAUGCUGGACACACACGAGUCAUGGUCUUCCCCAAGUUACAAGUCGUCACCAACUCGUCGCGUUCGUUUCGGAUUCAGCCGACACCCUUGCACGGUUUCGGCCAUAUCUCUCUCAUACGACAUCAAAACGAGGCAUCUUUGAUGCGUUGGAACGGGGAUGAUGACGCUGUUCUUUUGGUUCUGGUUCUAGCUCCAGAAGGUUCGUGGAUCAUUCUGUGUGACCACGAUAAGGUGCUGUAUCACCAGUUUUGGGUCAACUUAGCCUUGUAUCGUGUCGGGCCUUAAGCCCAAGUUGUGGGCGCCCCCUCCUUGGUCGCCCCCAACCCUAGUUCGCCCCUUUUGAUAUAAACUCAUUAGCCACCACCUUAGAAACUCGGGUUUUGUUUAGUUCUAGUUUUCCUUUGAGAAACUGAGAUUGAUUUGUUGUAACUAUGGUAAUAAGUUCUUUUACAGUGAUCCACGACCCCUAUUCUUGUUCUCCUCGACUGUGUCGAUUAAAACCUUUCAAAUUGAGAGCUUGAACCCUUCUUACUACAUUCAUAUUUGCAAUAUCAGAUUGCGUGUUUAUACUUUCUUGCUUGUGUCCUUCGAUUCGCAUGCAAGGAAAGCCUUCUUGGCGAAGUCAAUCAAGUUGUGCUUGGUUGAUAACCAACGGAGCAGUGGUGUAGCGGUUGCAGGGAUUCGAAUCAUGUCUGAUUAAAAGCCCGAAUCGUCAACGUCGAGUCUCCACCAAUCGAAUUUAUCACUACCUUUCGAAAGAUCGGGCCAGUGCUACAUCAGCACUAAUAAUAUGUCUUGGUGGAAGAUAAAUAGUUGUACUAUGUUAUUUAAUCGUGGUAUGGAUAAUCAUUUUAAAUUGAUAAUUUUGAUGAUACUUAUGCUUUCUUUUUUUAGUACGUGGACGUAUGAUAUUUAAACUAAAUUCAUUAUCACAAAUUCACAAUCUCUUUAACAUAUGGUGGCAGGUAUCCCCACCCCAGCCCUGCCAUGGUGAAAAAAGUUCAAAAAGGAGAAGGCAUAAAUUCUUCGAAUACACGGUGGCAAAGGACGUAAUGUAUGGCAAAGACAAGAAGGAGAGAAGAUCUAUUCUAGGGUGAUCUUGCAAGUGUUUGUUUAGCAAGCUAAGUAUGCUACUAUAGAAUCGGAAUUCUAACAUGAUUAAGGCCCUGCAAAAGUGUUCCACUUAGGACUAGAGCUCCUAUAUUAUUAGCUCGGGUUGCACGUCUUUUGCAUUACGUAUUGCAAACAGUAAUUCCCAUUAUAUUUUCAUCAUUGUACUUAUCUGUAUGUAUGCACGUACUCGUUUAGUUUAUAUUGUCUCUUUUCUCGCUCAUCAAGUCUUACCGUCUUAGUUAAUCUUUCUGCUCAGUUGAUUUGGUUUUCAUUAGGUCUUACCAUAUUAUUAUUUGUCUUUUGGCUUCUUUGAUUUAGUCAAUAACAUGCAAUUUUAACUAUGCAGCAUAAAAUUAUCUUGAGCCACUUAAAAUAAACUUUUAGACGCGUUCGGAUCCAUUUGUUCAUCAAUAAAUACAAACAACCUAAAUGUGAACGAAAGGGUAAUUUACAUGUACCGAUCAUCAGAAGCCAUUCGUGUGUUAGAAAUGAUGAAACACACAACGCCCAUUUGAAUAAUGAAACUGCCCCUUAGAUGGAUACGUUGUAUAGAUACCAUCCGAUGCACCAGAAGUGUCAAAAGAAACACGUGAACGUAGAAUUGGGAAGCUACUGUGGGUUUGUAAUAUAUCAUCUUCUUUGUCUUACAUGAUUGGACUCAUUCAAGACGAAGAAUUCAGGAUAUCUAGCAGCAGAUAUUUAAACUUGAAGAUCAUGUAAACUAAUCGGUGGUGACUGAAGAUUGCCGGCCUUUAAUUUCAUACUUGGAUGCAACCACCGAAUAUUUUAUAUGGUACGUUUUCCCUAAUCACACUAGAGUGAUAUGCUUUAUAAGUGAUUUUUGGAUUAUUUUAGUUUUGUGAAAUUUUUGUACAAUUUCCUCGAUCACUAUGUUUAUGUGUUCUAUUGAUGUUGAUGUUUAAUAUGAUCUGUUCAAUUGACGUAUGGGUUCAGUAUUGUUCAGUUGAUUUUAAACUGCUUUGUCCUGUUGAUGUGGGUGUUUAAUUCUAUUUAGGUUGCUCUGUUCAGUUGAUGUUUGUGUUCAAUUCUGUUCAGUUGAUGUUUAAUCUAUCCUGUUCUAUUGAUGUGUUAUCUUUUCAGUUGAUGAUGAGAGUAAUCUGUUGUUGUUAGGAACAUCUAGCACGCACACAUGCAUAUUUCUUUGAAUAUGUAUCUGUUGUUUGUGCAAUUCGUUCGUAACAAUGCGAUACUACUCAUAGAUUUGAUGGAUAUUAGAACCGACAAUCAAUUUUUUUACGGCUAAUGAUAGUAUUCUAACCGGCGCUAAUCCACACCGGUAGUUAUAGGUUAACAAAUGUUGCGGUCUAAUUAGACCGCUAGGACUAGUAUCCCCGUACGCAUCGGCACUUAACAAACACCGGUAGAUUAUACUCAAUCGUACCGGUGCUCAACGAAAGCUGAUUAGAAUAAUAACAUAUUCUAACAGAUUGAGAAAUGCACCGGCACAUUUAGCAAAUUAUUCGUGUCAGUCCUGACGCUAGUAUGAAUAACAUACCCUCAUUUGUACGCGCACCGUGGUAGCAGGCCCAUCACCGACAUGAAUUAGCUUUUCGCACUGGUACGUACAAGGGUCGCUGCAGUAGUGUUAAGUUCCACAAUCUAUAUCCUUAUCCGCAUCAUGCAUGCUCACUCUGAUCUCCAAGAGCAUAUAGCAGCGCAUCUAAAUGUUUUUGGAGAAGAAAUUUUUUUUUGGAGAAGAUUGGUGAGAAUAUGGGAAGAAUGCAGCCUGAAGAUAAGGGAGUGGAGAGGAAAAUUCAUUUUUUUGCAAAGGAUUAUGAUUUGUUUGUGAAUCCGAUAAGAAACAAUAAUAGGACAAAAUAUUACCAACAUCAUAAAAAGCAUCUAAAAUUCAUCAAAUUUGAGAUGACUUUUUAUAAAAAGCAACAGUGACAUGGAUAUAGAGAAAUAUUUUGCUUUGUAAUUAGUCAAUGCAGAUGGAUUUUGUGUGUGUGUGGGGGGGGGGGGCAUAUCAUGUCCGUUCCCAUUUCUAGUAAAAUUUAUGAAUGCUUGCAAAAUUUUUAGGUACAAUGAAAAUUCAGUCUACACAUUUAUGACAUUUUUACCUAUACUUCACUUAAGAUGUCAGAAUGGUAUAGAUUUCAUUAAUACUAGUCCUAAAAUGUUUACAAUUAUUUAUAAUUAGAAUUAGAGAUGAAGGUGGACAUGUAUACACCUCCAUCAAAUUUUGUCAACAAACUAAUGUAUAAUGUCCAAAAAGGCAAAUUAAUGUAUGUUACGAGUUACCGACGGGUUUGGAAAACUAUCUGCAAUGACUGUAUUACAAAUGGAUAUUGUUCAGAAAAAUAUCUACGAUGACUACAUAUAUCUUAUACGGCUUUUAUAAAUAAACUAUCUGUGAUGUAUAACAAACGUUGUUUUAAAGUACUAUUUGCAAUCAUGGAUCACCACUAGUAGAAUUUUUCACCACGGGGAUAACUGACUGCAAUAUGCAUAUUCAAGAACUGUUUGUAAUAUCCUGUUGGUAUGGAUAUCUUCUUAUGGUAGUCCCAGUGUUAUAAUACCUAGCUUAAAUUUGAUAUGCCAUCAGAUCACACAAGAACAACAGAAAGCUUUAACAGAUGGAAACAAUGGGCUGCAGGCCAGUUGGUUUCUUCAACUAACCCCGCUAACCCCGCAUACGACAAGAAGGACCUUUUGGUGAGGAGGAUCAGGAGCAACACUAUUGUUUCUUCAUUCUCUGCAGCUGCUAACUACAUUCCUCUGCGCUUCACUACCAUAUCACCAGGAGUAUAUGAGCAGGUAUGACAAAUAAUCAAUACUCACUUCUUUUCUUUUCUUUUCUUUUUCAUCAAAUGCCUAUCGGUUAUGCUUUUUCUAAAACAUCUUCAAAUGCAUACCUUGACAACAGAUUUAUCUUAUUGUAUAAUAUAUGUACACAGUGUCUACAAAGUUAAUAUCAUAUGAAAAGAUUUUUCUGUAUAGAUUUAUUGAUACAAUUAAAUACAAUAAACGACUAUUUAUAUGACUUAACUUCUAAAUUUAUACAGCCAAAAUUUCAUGUGUAGUGCCGACUAUAAAAAAUAUCGAGGGGCAAAAAUCAACGGUUUGCAAGGAUUCAUCAAGCGGAUUGGCUUGGUAAAUUAUUCGAUGCUGCUGUCCUUGAAAUUUGCAUAUAUAUAGUUGUCUGCGACAUUAUCUGUUUUACGACAUGUUAUAAACAGACAACGUUUCUCCCAGCAACGCUUUUCGGCCAAGGUUUAUUGUAUCAGACUGCAAAAUAAAAACAUUCCACAAUAGUAAAAUAGCAGACGUGUUUUAGUCGACCAUUAUUUGCAAUGUCCGUCCCCUUGGUGUUGACUCUUUGUUGUCGUUCCUGGAAAAUAAAAGAACCAUCAAUCAAUCGGCCAUCACACUAAACUCUGGCACACCUCCAAACAAGCGGAUGAAGCUGCCACCACCCGUGCGCGUGCUUGUUUUAAAAUUUGUCCACUGCUCAAUUUGGACGAAUUCCAAAUGGCACACCUGCACCGUACCUUUGGUCGUUCUGCACAGAAAAAUUUAGCCCAAAACCGAUGCGUGAAUCCUUGCCGUCUUCAUCACCCACCCCACACAAUCCACCAGCAAAACUCCAUUUCACCGGUCCACCUCCACCUCCGUACGCGCACCCCGCAACAGCUCGUCGAGGACGGCGACACCCACACAGCCACCCGCGCAAAACCGCGUACCACCAGCCCCGCCUCAUUUGUCUCGUCCUUGAGUCACCUGGCCCGCUAUAUAUAGAGACGCCAUCGCCAUCUCCACCGUGCAACAUGCUAGUUCUCAGUCACCUGCAAACAAGAUUUUGGUUGUUCGAUAAAUUGAUCAGCAAGCUAACCAUGAGCACCAGCACCAUCCCCAUGGCGAGAUGCACGGCCAGAGCUAAUAACACAGCUAGGAUUUUGGGCUGGAGGAGCCACUGCAAGGUAAAGGCCGUGGCGGAGACAGAGUGGGGUAGUGUCAGCUCGGGAAACAAGAGCGACUACUACAAGGUGCUGUCGCUGGAGCACUCAGCGGCCGUGGGCACGGAGGAGAUCAAGCGCGCCUUCCGGAGGCUGGCGCUGCGUUACCACCCGGACCUUUGCCCUCCUUCUCGGCGAGCCGAAUCCACGGAGGUCUUCAUCCAGCUGCGGCGCGCCUACGAGACGCUCUCCGACCCGGCGCGGAGGGUGGUUUACGACGCGGAGCUGAGGACGGGCGAGGAAGCGACGACGGCUGCGGCUGGGUUCGCCAGGGACGUGUGGGAGGCGCAGCUGUGCAUGCUGCGAGUGCGCUCCGAGCGUCGCCAGAGGGCGAGAAGCGGCUGCCGGUGCGACUAGGGGCACGAGGCAUUAUGACAUGAUGACUUUACUGAAGUGUUUCUACUCUUUAACUCUAUGUUAGGAUCAUGCCGUCUGGGUUUUAGAAGAGCGAGUGAUAUAAUUUUUUUGUAACAGUUGGAGAGUCUGUCUGAGUUUCAAGUAAGUACUAAGAGUAAGAGAGGUUGGAUAGCGUUUGAACUUCUAACUUUCAGGUAUCGUAUUGAUUAAGAUUAUUUGAGCUCCUAUACCCAGACUAUUCUUCUUCCAUAUUUGCAGUACACACCAACACCAUUGGAUGAGAGCUUACCGAAAAUUAGACCCUUUACAGUUUACAGGUGGAUCGACGGAACGAAAUUACUGACGAGGACACUAGGCAUUGUGGCAUUUCCUCUCAUGAUUAAUUACUUUCAGAGUGAAAUAAUUUUUUUUUCAAUUGUUGACUACAAAUCUCAUUUAUUAGCAUCUUUCGAUCUAGAGAUACUUUUCUUGAAAUUUGAACUUUUAGUUGAAUAAUGCUCUUCGUUCUGAAUCAAAAGUCUUUAUAUAUGUUGUUAACAUUAUUGGAAAGUGGAAAAAUGUAAGUGAUGUAAUAGAAUGGGAUGAUCUCAUUGAUGUUUACAUAUUUAUGCAAGCCUAAGGGGCAUGAGGGUGACAGUUCAGAAGGGGCAUGACCCCUUCACGAAGUGGCCCUCUGCUAAUAACGUCACUAAUCUAUGUGAUAAUCACAUAUUUAAUUAAUUACAUAAUUAAGGUAAUUGAUCACUAGAAUUAGUGAUUCACAACAAACAUGAAACCUUUCGGUGUUGAGGGGAGAUUAUUGUUAAUCCCUUUAGUUAGAAUCUUCUGAUCUUGAGUGAAAGUUCUUGAAUUGCCUGACCGUUAGGGAGGGGGUUUGUGCUACAAUCUCAUAGAAGAUACCAGUACAAGAAGUUCAGAAAUAAAUUUUGGAUUCACAGUUAAUUAAAAUUGCUUAUCUUUGCUCACUAUUUGUUCAUUUUAUAACAUAAAUACAUAAUAUUCAUACAGAUACUCUGUAAUCUCUAUAUAUAUGGCUGGGCUACACAUCGGUUAUUCUGAAUUACAUACUUGUUUCGAAUAUGUGUACCGUGUUCUUUGUCUCACAUAUUGGAUUCAUGCAUCCAAGUCGUCAAAGCCUUCUAUUUUGAGGCUGCUACCAUACAUAUUUUACUGUAGCUCUCCGUGACCUAUGAUGAUUGCCGGCCUUCCUUUACUUGGAAUGCAGCCCCAUUCUUAGGACGUUGUUUGGUCGCUCGGAUGUCGACUUCCUGCACCUGCCCGUGCGUAUAAUCGCGGAGAGUACCGUGUUUGGCAGCUUGAAUAUACUGUGCAGUCUUGGCCUAGUGGAUGCAGACAUAUGGUGAGAUCCUGCACCCGCAGAAACGUUCAGAUCGAGCAUAGCUCCUAGGUCAGGCCUGAUGGACGAUGGCCCACACAUCAAGCGCAGCUGUGAGGUAGUAAGCCCUGCCAUCUGAACCGUACACUACUGCAGAAAUCAUUUUUCGUGUCACUAGUGCAGAAUUGAUUCAUCAUAGAGAACACACGCGAGAGGCUUCUGGCAACCCCAGGUGGAUUUUGUUGUUUCCUUUUAUUAGGAUCGUUGCUAUUGCUACGGGCAACAAAAUAUUUAUAUCGCAACAUACGGAACAUUCAAUAAGACAGUAACAAUAUGAAAAUAAGUACAAAUAUUAAAAAAAGUGCACAUAUUACUACAGUCGAAACAAAUUAUCUCCAUAAGAAUUAAUUUUCAUAUGGACAAUUAUGCAGAAAUCAUUGUAUAUACCUCUGGAUUAACCACCCCUGGAGAUGCCACGGAUGUCCCCUGGGUCAACCUGAAACUAAUUAGUAACAAAAAUAUCUCAGAAAUUAUCCUUUCUUCUAGUAUUAACCUAUCGCAACCAUCCAUUUUCAAGCUCAAGUAUUCAAUCCAGGAAAUGUGCUCAGUCCUCCUACACAUAAACAGAACAUGAGUUGUAGAUGUUUUCUUUUUGUUGAGUUGUGUUUUCAACUGACAAGUAGCUUCCAAGUAGGCAUCUUAUAACUGUCAAUUUAUAUCUUCGUAAGAAUGCAAUGAAACAACAGUACGUAUCCUCAGUAGGAAAGUUAGUGGCAUCUAAAAUAGCAACAAUAUAUUCACAGUCUCGAACUGAAGGCGGAAAAUUUGUAACACCCUAAUUUUCAACUUUUGCAAUUAAUAAAAUUUGCUAGAAUUUUCUAGAAUUUAAUUACUUUUGUUUAAGGAUUUAAGGAUUUUCUAAGGUUUAUUUAAUUUUUUAGGCAUUUAAAUCUUUUCAAAAACAAGUUAAUGAAUCAUAGGAGUUCAUUGUUGCAUUCAUGCUGGUGCAUUGAUUUUGGUUGUUUGAAUUUGAAUUCAUGUUUGAAUCCUUUUGAACAAUAGGAAAGCUUUUCUUUUUCUUUCUCUUUUCUUCUUCUUCUUUUGGCUCGAUCUUUCUUUUCGGCCCAGCCCGCAACAGCACCCCGCAAGAUAGGCUAGCCCAGCUCGGCCCAGCUCCCACGCCAUCUCCGCAGCCCAGCCGCACCACGUCCGUCCCUCCCGCUUACGCCUGGACCCCACAUGUCAUCCCCCUCCUCUUGCUCUCGCCCGCGCCCGAGCCGGACUCGAGCUCGAGUUCAUGCCGCUCCGCGUCCACCUCCCGGCCUAUGAAAGUCGCCGCCAUGCCUCGAAGCCCCUUACCAACCCUAGCGCCCUCGCUCUAGAGCUCCAGCGCCGCAACCCUAGCCGGCGCCCGAGCUUGAACCCGCCGCUAUCAUUUUCUGCCACCGCCACCUUCGCGUCGUUGAGGUCACCACCCAGAGCACCGCGAGGAGGUGAGGAAGCCGCCCGUGAAGAUCCCGUGCACUCCCGUGCCUUCCUUCGCGCGCGUGAACUCACCGGAGUUUACCGCCGCCGCACCGAGCCGUUCCGCCAAGUCGCCUCGCGCCGUCGUCACCUCAGCCACCGCGAGAACCACCUAGAUCGGUUUGAUGUGACACCAGCUUCAUCCGGAGCCCAUCCCCGUCAAAGAUCGUGGACCACCACUCGAGUUACGCUUGAUUCCGGCGAGGAUCCCUGCAGCGCUGCCGCAUUCACCGCCACCAGUCGUCCGAUCUGCAUCCGGAGUCAAUACCAGUCAACCGAGCUGCGCGUGUCGCUUUUGCAAAAAAGACCCUCGCUAUUUUCCCUUUUCACACAUGAGAUCCAUCCAGUUCAAAGUAUUUCAAUCUAAGUCCUUUUUCUUCUGUUUUAGCCCCUGUUCUUUUAUAAAAUCUCGUCUGCCAUCCUGGUUGGUCUUUUCACGCGUUAGCCCUUCAGUUUAUAAGCUUAAUUAGGUUAUAGCCCUUGGUUUCUUUAAGUUUAGCUCCUGGAAGUUUAGUUUUCUCACAGUUAAGCUCCUGAACCUUGUGUAGCUCAUAUCUUUAGCGUUUUAGAUCCAUUUUAAGCGAUUCUUGCGCCUAUGGGUUUGUGUUGAUGCAUAGAUUAGUUUUAUGGUCUUUUUUUGCUCUGUUGUUACUGCUUGAUGUAAUAUUUUCUUAUUUUAGUCCUUUGUUUGCUUGUAUGUACUUACCUGAUACGCAUAGAAGGAGCGUUGUUCGAGGGAUUCGAAGAGCAAGGAUUUAAAGACUUUGAGCAGUAAGAGCAAGUUCAGGAAGGCAAGUCGUGCCCUUGAUCAUAAUUUGAUCCUAUGCAACCUUUACUUUCAUGUUCAUUACACAUAUGCUAUGCCCUUUAAGUAUACAAACAUGAUGGGUCCUAUUUAAGGUGUGCCUAGUUUUAUCCCUACACCUUGAUCAACCUGGGUUACUUUAAUAUUGGGUAGUUCUUGCUUAGGUGCUCUAACUGUGUAUGGUUGUAUUAAUGAACCAAUGUUUAAACUUCUUUUAUUAUACUAUACCUUCCAUCAAUACAAGAUCACCAUGCUUAAUUGGAAUAUGGAGAACCACCUGGGAAAACACUGCAACCAAAAGAACUACAUGGCUCUGGUCUUGGCUAAUUAAUUAGAGACUCUAGUCUGGGGUAAUCUUACCGAAAGGAUAAAAGGGGAGACGUUGAUGGGGUAUAGCCCGGCCCUCAGGCUAAUUUGCUCUAUGGUAGCUUCGCAGUCUUGAGAGAGGUUUAUACUCUGCUUCGACCUGAAACCUUAGCGGGUUACUACUUACUAGGGAAUCUUUGUAAAAGUCUCGUAGCGUCCCUAUACAAUCACACAUCGGAAGUGUGGUAUUAUGCUUGGCCCACACAGCAUGGUUGGGUCUAAAGUUCUCUUGAACUUUUACACGACUUGUGGGUAAAAAUGUACAAUCUCUGCACAGUGUAAAACUAUUAUAAUAGCCGUGCUCACGAUCAAGAGCGGUCUGGACCCUCACAUGAGUAAUUUAUCAGAAGUUGAAUUAAAUUGAUCUUAUUUAUUGUUGUUAUCUUUAUUUAUGAUCAUGCUUAAUAUGGAUGGUAUAAACAUAUACUUAGUAAUUGCUAAUAAAAUUGACCAACCAAAUAAAAUGUUGAGAUACUAUUAAACCAUAGCCUAUCCUUGGAUAGCCUUACACUACACAUUCCUCACGCUUGCUGAGUACCAACCAUAAGUGUACUCACCUUUGCUAAAACCGCUGCUCAGACCAAAUCAACUUUGAGUAGGUUCCUAAAGACUUUGAGGAGUUCUAGGUGUACAUGUGCCACCAGUCAACUGCCUGUGGAGUCAUCAUCAUCGUUGGAGUUCCAAUGCUAGAAUAAAGACUCGUUUUGCUAUUCCAAUUAAAGACUUUCAGUCAUAUAAUAAUACUCUCUCUUUACGUUUUGACACUAUCUAUGUUAUUUACUGAAGUCGUUGCAUGUGUGAAACUUGACCCUAGCGCAUAUGUAAUUCAUUCAUCUGGUUUUGCCUUUAAAACCGGGUGUGACACUAGGCGACGUACCCGUCGAUAGCGAGGCACCAAUGGUGAUCUUGAGGAUUUUGCCGGCUCAGUCUUUCGGAUGUGCGUUGCGUGCGUAUGUUCGUAGGGAUAAGUAUGCGUACGUGUAUGCGAGCGUCUGCAUCUACACCGUGUGAUUAAAAAAUGCUUUGUCAUGUGCUUGUGCUUGAUUCAAGAAAGACUACCUACAAAUGUGCUCCAGACGCCUGGAACUUCCUGUAAACUGACCACGUGCCGACCUGAUUCCCCCUAUGCUCGCCAUGUCUCCUUAUCUCGACCAAUUCGGGCUUAGGGGGUGUUUGGAUACGAGAUGCUAAAUUUUAGUAGGGUCACAUUGGAUGUUUGGAUGCUAAUUAGGAGGACUAAACAUGAGCUAAUUACAAAACUAAUUACACGGAUGGAGUCUAAUUCGUGAGACAAAUCUAUUAAGGCUAAUUAAUCCAUCAUUAGCAAAUGGUUACUGUAGCACCACAUUAUCAAAUCAUGGACUAAUUAGAUUUAAUAGAUUCGUCUUGCGAAUUAGACUCCAUCUGUGCAAUUAGUUUUGUAAUUAGAUUAUGUUUAAUACUUCUAAUUAGUAUCCAAACAUCCGAUGUGAUAGGCGCUAAAGUUUAGCAGGGGUACACCCCCUCAGUGUGUGCACCCAUUUGGAUUCCCCGUUGGGGUUGAGUCUGAUUGGGUGCGCGCCUUGCCAUUAUCGGCCAAACAUUUUUGCUCCCUGGGACAGUUGCUGAGCUCUCAUUGUUUCAAUUUCUAACAAAGAGAGAGUUUCAGGUGAAGCUACCUGUAUGUUCUGCACGUAUGUGCCUUGAUUGUUGUCCCAGCAAGACGAGUUCAGCUGGAGGGAGUCCCACACGAGAGAGUCAGCCUGACUGAAUGCAUGGAUCACUCAUAGGCCCUCCCAUGGUAUGCGCUCAAUCCUAUCGACUUGAGUACCACUUCAUAGUAUCAGACUAUCAGCCUCCUUAUUUUCCCAGUACUAGUAUCUCCUAGGAACACAAUGCGUUUUGAGACAUGUGUCCUCAAAACCAUUUUCUGUACCAUCUUUCACAAGUAUCAUUUUUAAUUUAUCAAUCGGACAUGCUAGCGCCUGGACGUCCGAUAAAUUUUUUUUAUCGGACGCUCCGUCGCAACAUUGAAAAAUAACUAUCGAAACAUCAAAAAUCAACACGUGCAACAUGAAAACAGAUGAAACAUCUGGAACAUACAGUUGCAACAUAUAUGUGAAAAUAUAUGCAACAUCCAGAUAGAACAUUUGCAACUUGCAACCUGAAAACACAACAGAAGACUGAAACAGAUGAAAUAUUUUAAAACAUAUUGUUGCAACAUAUUUGUUGAACAUAUGCAACAUUCAGAUCAAACGCUUGCAACAAUACUUCUGGGAACAAAUGAAACAUUCGGACAAAACUCUUACAACAUGCUUCUGAAACACUUGCAACAUAUGCAACAUGUGCAACAUCUCUUGAUCUACUUUUACAACAUCCAUAUGAUUCAACUGCUACACACCUUUGAAACGUCUGAAACAAUUGAAUCAUACAAUUGCAACAUACGGGGGGAGAGAGAGCCUGACCACCGUGCAGUCCCUCUGGAGCCUAAGCACGGACACCACCUCCCUCUGGAGCUUGGUGUGACGACCGACCCUGAAUCUCUCGAGUUAAUCUUAAUCUAAGUCCCUAAUCACGUAUCAGCUUUACCGAGUUUAAGUACUCAACCUCCAGUCCGGUCCCGACCCCUGAGACCCGACCCCUUUCCGCUGGCCUCCAGUUCCGACCCCGCCGACCCCAACUCACCCGCCGGAUCCUUCUAAGUCUUCCCCAACACCUCCCUUCAAUCUGACCGAUGGACCCACGAGAUCUUUUCCCCCAGAUCUCCCGUGACAGGUGCACUCGAGUUGCAUGCCCGCUUCAGAGUUCCCCCGCCGCGUGGCUCAACUCUUCCGACGUCCGCCGAUCCGCCUCGUCUUCGGCCCGCGACCGGAUGGAUUCUCACGCCCCCUUCCCCAAUCGCAGUGGUAGCCCCUCUGCAACCCUUUCUGCAGCACCUCGCCGCCCGCGCCCAUCAUCACAUCGCCAGAUCCCAGCCGCAGAGCCCGAUGCCGCCCGUCUUUUCCGUCACCUCGCCACAGUCACGCCGCCCGGUCUUCGCUACACGACGAUUCUUCCUCCGCCAACCCAGACCGCGGCAGCGACAACUCCUUUCCCGCCCUGUCAGAAGCCGCCCCGAUAAUCUGUUGCUCCGCGCUCGCCCGCGCGACCGCAGCCGCCUGUCUUCUCACCUGUGCGCCCUCGUUCCUAGCGCCAUUUUCCCGGUCACUUCCAUCAGAUCCACCGCACGACGACGCCCGCCUCCGCCAAAUCUCAACCACCAGCAAACCCGCGCCUGCGCCGCCCUGACGCCAGUGCCCAACGACCGCCGCGUCAUCCCCGGAGUCCUGCUCCACCACCCUCGUCGCUCAAUCGCCGCCCGGGCAGAGCACUCCAUUGCUUCUUCCCCGGCCUUCGCGCCGCUCCCCUUCUCACUCCCGCGCUGCUAUAAAAGGGAAUGUGCAAGCCCCGCCGGAGUUUCCCUUGCCCUAGCUGCCAUCUCUCUUGCUCCCUAUUCGAGCUCACAGCGCCACCACACUAAGUCCCUGAGGAACUCUCCUCUCCGCUCCACACCGCUUUCCCCAAUCCACCCAGCCACUUGUUCCUCCGUGCUGCGUAAGAGCUUACUUGUGAUCCACAAUAAGCACCGCCGCCGCCGGAGCACCGCCGGACAUCUCCGCUGCAAGUCUUAGUGUUCCAGUUCCUCCGCCCGAACCUGCUCUUUCCCGACCCCAAACUUUCCUUGUAAGACGAAGGUAAGCUGAUGACCCUUGUCCGCCUCGUCCGACCCUUCUGUUCGUCCGACCCCUUUUCCGUCCCGCCCGACCCUGUCUGUUCUGCUGACCCUUGUCCGCUUCACCCGACCCCUUAUCCGCCCGAUCCCGGUUCCGUCUCGCCCGACCCUGUCUGUUCCGCCGACCUUUCUCCGUCUCGCCCGAGGGCUCGGUUGUAUCUUUUUCUUCGAACCGAGGGUGUAUGUGUAAAACUUGGGGACCUUUCAGCGUUGAGUCUGAGGACCCCUAGCACACCAAAUUCCUCUAGAUUAAGGGUCAGAUCAUAAGUUCCUUUCCUCCGACCCUUACCUCUUGAUCUCCAUCAACUCCAUUGAACUUUCCCACCUUCAUGUAACUUGUCGCAAGUUUCUAGGCUCAGACUUGCAAGUGUUGCUGUUGAAAUAACCGUCUAAAUGCUAACUCUUGCAUUGCAUUUCGUGUAGAGCUUCGUCUCGCCGACGGCUACUACGAGCUGCACCGGGCGCAAGAAGACGACGGUGUAGCUGAGCUCCUGCCCCCAGAAGCCGAAGCCGCCCCAGCAGAAGAGCAGCUUCCUUCCUUCUCGCUUGAAGGCAAGCCCCGGAUGCAUGAAACCCCUAUGUUUUUCAAACUUAUGCACGCCCUCUGCAUCUUGUUUGUGCAUUUACGUAUAGGGGUUAUUUGGAACCAUAGAUGCAUAACCUAGUUCCCUUGAUCUGAACACUAGCUGUUGGACCGAGUAGAUGCUUUGCUCAAGUAGGAAGCGGUAAAAGCCGAGUGAUUUCCUGUCACUCGCGAGUUUAUAGGAGUUGGUUGAGUUCUCUUCUGUUACAACUGUAAGGACGAUGGACGGGGCAGGGUUUCGGGUAACUCUUUGGUGGUCGGUUGGUCGCCCCGUCUGUCUAUGAAACUUGCUAAGGCCCGACAGUGGUGGUGUUCGUGAUCAAGUGUUUGGAAGUACUAACCUCAUACUUAGUAUGGGAUGAGGAAGCCUAGUACCGGAUUGAACCUAGACGUGAGCGGUCGCCCCAUUGUCCUUGGAACGGAGUUUCCCCUGCGGCCGCACGUGGUGGCAAGUGUGGUCACAGAACGGCAGAGGUCGGGUCUGUGGAACAUUGCACCAAAGGAAAUGGGCCCGACACGGGUUAGGGAAUUGAUGGGGAAGGCCGACACAGGAAGCGACCCUCGGUGGUGCGCGGAUGUCGUGAGGUUAGGUUCACCAUGCAUGGUUAAAGAACUCGAAUCGAUUCGUCUGCCUCUCACAGUUUGAGACUGCUUGAUCGCUAUGCUACCCUGAGUAAGAAAGAAAUAUGAUGAUGACAUGGUCUCGAUGAUGAUUCAUAUUUAUAUACCUUUUGGUUGGUUCUAUGGUUGCUUAGAGUAAGUUGCUAACUUAGACCGAAUAAUGAACUUAGAACCUGAGCUAAAACUUGAAAAUAGGGAUCUACAUAGUGCUUUUGGCAAACAAACCCCUCAGCCAAAGAGCCUUGCAUGUCUAGAAGUGGUGGAGUAGUUACCCCCGAUCGGUUAAGUCUUGUUGAGCUUAGUAGCUCAGUCUUGUUGUGGCCUUUCUUUUCAGGUGAAGCCGCUGCUCCAGAGUCCUCCCCUGUUGGCACUUGGCCGCCCCAACUCCCUUCGGGUUGGACGGUCGAGUGGGAUCCCUCCUCGGACGGCGAGGAAAGGGAUCACUGACGUCUUGGCAGGCCUCACCAAGGACGUCCGACCCCGACGAAGUAGCUUCCGCUCGUUUUUGCCUUCUGUCUGUUUCUUUUGAACCUUGUAAAACUCUGAUGUUGGUUUUCAUGGCCGAACUAAAUGGUUAAGUUGUUUAACUCAGUAGGACUUGUUGUAUUCUCUGGAACCACUCACCUUCGUGUGAGUUUGCCAACUCGGUCCUGUUCAAGUGGUUAAAUCGGAUGAAAUCCGACGGCACUUCGUGUUAACUUGGCCAAGGCAUGGGUGUCGCACGUUAGGCGACUUAACCAUGUUUAAUCAAGCUAAUCCGAAGUGGAUCCGCCACACUUGGCCACCGUGCAAUCCCAGGAGGCCGCGACGAGCAGGACGUGAUCGAAGUGCACGAUGAGGCGCAGACCUCGCGCACCAGCUUGAGCACCGUCGUCUUGCCCACGCCGCUGGCGCCCAGGCGCCGAGCGCGGCAUCACAGUCGUCGAGGAAGCGGAGCGCCUCGUUGAGGUAGGCCCUCGAGGGCCCCGCCUCCAUAGGGAGCCCGUCCUGGUCCUCGGGGUUGCAGAGCAACGGCGGCGGCACCUAUGGCGUGGCUAGCGCGGCCUCCAAGAUUGUCGCGCCCUGAUCCCGGAGCGCGCGCAGCGCCUUGAGCUGCUACUCAGCCAGCCCGGCGACUGGGCCCAUGGGGAGGAAGAGGUAGUGCACCAGGUGGACCACGUAGAGCUACCCGCCAUCGUGCCGCGCCUAGAUGGACGCCAUCUCGUCCUGCGCCUCCUGCACGCGCCGCAGCCAUGCGCACACGGGGUCUGAUGCUGGCGGGGUCCGGGGCAGGGGACGCGAGCGUCGGGACCUCGAGCGUGCGGAAGCGAACCGUGGGGAGGAAUGGGGAGCCGGCGCCAACACCGCCGCAGCCCCAGCCGUGGAGCGGCGCGCGGAGCGGGGUGGGUGGAUUCGUGUGGGGGAGGUGAGGGGACGGAGGAGAUUGGGACACUCACCGUGGAGAAGAAAGUGCUGGAAGGGAGGGGAUAAGGUUUGUGGUGGGACCCAUGGUAAAGAAGGGACGGGAGAUAGGGGCACGUCAGCACGUGGGCAGGAGGCGCGGUGGGCGAUGAUAGCGACGCGUCCGAUUUUUUUACUCCAUCCGGACGUAAGAGUCCUAGCAUUUCCGUUUAUCAAUACAUUUAUGUUGUCGUACGAGUAUUGCUGAGUCUGCAAAGUGUGAGCUUUGGAAGAACAAUGGAAAUGCACCUCAAUAAUACCAAGCUCAGUUCUCGCUCCGACAUGUGAAAAUGGGGAAGCGUUAUAUGUUCUUCGCUAAAACCGUCACUUCCAUUAAUGUAUUUUUUGAGUAGACCUGAUGUUUUAAUUAUGAAGUUUUGUAAUUGGUAUGUCACUUACUUUUAUUUUUGGUGAACACAUUAUAUAUAUUACAACAUGCAUAAAUUAUUGGAUAAUGAAUGAUCCCGAUUGGCCAGCUCAAAAGUUGCGCGGCAACGCCGCGCUGGAUUUCCAGUGACAAGGAACGUCCCUCUGGUGUAGUUUCAACUACAGUAUGCAGAGGAUCGGUUCCCCGCUUCAGGGCUGCUGCCGCCUGCCGAGGAUGCGGGUCGGAUAGGAUCUGGUUCGAAAAAUCCAAACCGAGGGCUCAUGGCGUCGUCGAUCAGAAGGAACGAACUCGGCGGCACGCACAGCGCCGAGGCCUCUCGAACCGAACACCCCGCGCAUGGUACAGGAACGCAGGUUCAGGCUACAAACGCCCAAAAAGGAGCCGCGAAUCCUAGGAGCAAUCACGAACCCGCGACGGCAACGCAGAUCGCUAGUGCGCGCGCGCUGCUGCUGCACGAUCCAGUCAGCGGCAGCAGCAGCAGCGUCACAUGGCGAGCCCAGCGGCCAUGGAGGAGUGCAGCAGCGCGCAUGUGGCCUCGGUCCUCGGCCAGCACCCACAGGACGCCGCGCCCGCGCACAUGGCUUGCGACGCGCGGAGCAGCCCAUGGUCUCCGGCGCCGAGAUGGGCGCGCAUACGGCCGGGGCGGGACCCCAACUGACGAGGCAGGCCCCUUCUCGGCGCAGCACCGGGGGCAACUGCCACUAGCUCAUUGAAGGCGCACGCAGCUUUGCUGCUGCCUGCUACCCGCUCCCAACCACCUCUCGAGACCACCGGUGACCGGUGCAGCUGCCGCCGGCAUCCGGCAUGUGGGUUUGCCUGAUGGAUGCUACUAGCAAAAUUCUAGUGUUACCAAUAAUAUUCGUUUUGCUUUAGUACUUAAUUUGCCUAAAAAAAAACUAGGCGUGAUUGCUUAACUCGUGAAGGUCAGAGCUGGAUUUGAUUGUGAGGGUCAAGUAGCUUGCGCCUUGUCCGUUCCAGCUUCUUUUUGAGGGUCAAGUACGUUGCUGCUCGUCGUGGAUCUAGAUGCGUUUGGUCAACACCCUUGCAAUCCGUGAGAGACAAGCAGAGAGCUACAUGGCUGUACACGAAGCAAUUGUUAAUCAGAACUGUGAUCUGGAUCUGAUGUUAGCUCCAGCUAAGCUGCACCUGGCUCUGAUUCUUUUUGGAAGCUCAAUUUGCUCUCUUGCAGAUCUCUAGAGGUUUGGUCAACCCCCCUGCAUUUCGGGAGGCAACAAGAAGAAGUGCACCGCACAUGGGGGCGAUUCUUACAACUCGGUCGAUCGUGCUUCCGAGUCCUACUCCUACUAGCUUAUGAUCGUUGACCAGCCUCAACAACCGCUCUCAACCCUUCUUUCGAAAAGCUGAAGACGACGACGCCAGCUGCCAAUUGGUAGCAGCACUUGGUUUUCCACCUGGGUCCUGGACUCCUGGGCCAUGGAAAAAGGUUGUAGUAGUCUUUCCGAGCUAGCACGCGUCCACACACGCACAAUUUGUGAACCCAGGGCCAGGGAGGGUUGCGUUGCGUGACAUUGCAAAGACGCACCCGCAUCGGGCGUGACCGUAGCGGCGGUAAUGGCGUCACGUAGAGCAACAGCUACGGCGCCAUACGGCACGAGAAGGAUGUGCGGUGAGGACGACGGCGGACCAAGUCGCCAUGACGCCGGCAUGUGCCAGGCCAACGGCUGAACACGCACAAUAUGUGUUGCAAAAGCGAUGAAAUUUGUUUUGCUUUUUUGGAAUUUUCACGAGAUUUUUAUAUGACGCCCUGGACUGUUUCGCCGGCACGCAUGGUUCUUGGCGCACCACGAGUUUGCAAAGCAAGUAGCGGUGUAGCACAGGUGAACUAACUUGCGGUACAGGACCCGUUUAGCAGGGUUGCAGCCGUGGCCGAAACGGCUGCGGCUGUGGCGGCUCCGGUGGAGGUAAAGUUAAAGUCGUUUUGGAAAGUGUUUAGCAAAACGGCUUCUCAUGUGCCUUUAGAAAUGGCUGUGAUAAGUCAAAUGCCAAUGCCCUUGACUAUGUGGAUUGUUUGAAUAGAUGAAUAGAAUGCUUAACAUUUGUUUAUAAAUUUGAGUUCAUUAGAAAUUUAAAAAAAUAAAAGGAUUAUUGUUUAAGCAAUAAUAAAAAGGAUUAUUUUUCUUCUUUAACUUUUGUUUUUCCUUAAUCCGGUCCACAUCCUCCCAUUCUUUUUUUCUCUUUGUUUUUUCUAUUUCUCCACGCCAUCGCAAUCCAUCCUUGUGACUCUUCCUGACCGUUCGCUAAUUUGAGUUCAAUAGAAAUUAUGAAUAUAAACUAAAAGAAUCCGUGCGCCUGUAAUUACAAAAGGAGGCAUAAUCCUAGCAUGCAACCAUACAAGCUAAUAAUUAUAAAAGUAGCCAUGAUCCUUACAUAGCAUGCAACCAUAUAAGCUAGCUGGCAUGCUCAAGAUGAUCUAGAAAGGAAGAUUGCUCUAGCAAGAUCAUCUCGGAAUUUAUCCAUGGUCCAAUCAUCAGUUUCCAUAUUGGAUGUAUCUCCAUCAUCUUGAAAGGUAUAGUGGGCAUAUAAUCAGCAUUCCGAUCGCAUUUGCAGAAAUCCUUAUCUUGUGCGUGGUUUUCACGAACGAAGUUAUGGAGACACCUGGUUGCGGCAACUAUCAUCAUUUGCUUCUUCAUUUGCUUCACCGGGGAGUUGACGAGCCCCGAACCGGACCAGAGCUGGGCCUGAACCGGCAGCCGCUCGUCACACCGUUCAUCAGCACGAACCUCCUGUGAAGCCGUCUCGUUGGUGCCCGCUGCCGACGCUUCGGUGACGACGCCGGAAGUGCCAUCAUCGGCACGGAGCCAAUCCGGCCCAAGAGCCGCGACUGCUGCUCCGAACCACCACUCUGGCCAUCCUCCAUGCCCAGGCAUGCCAACACCUAUGGGCAUGGCUGUGCUUCCAGCCGUCAUGGGGCUGGGCCACGUGCCGGCGACUAGGCUCGCCGCGGCUGGGACACCACCCCACGAUGCGACAACGUGGCCGGUCCAGUCUGGACCGGUCUGGCGGCGCCGUCCGCCCCCUGCAGUUGCUGCGUCUCCAGGCGCACCGAGGAGUCCGGGCCAUGCGCCUGCCACCACGUCGGGAGGCAAUCCCACGGCGGCCAGGAGGGCGCCUAGGGGACUUGUCGGCAAGCCUCCUGGACACAUGAACGGGGCGCCGCUGGCCCAUUCGCCGGCCGCAUCCUGGAGCCCACCACCAGAUCUACCCCUUUCAAUCGUCGGAGCCCCUUUUCCAAGCGACGCAGCUGCAUCCCCCUCAUCCAUUUCGCCCGCCACCACCAGACCGUGAGAAAGAGGGAGAGAAGCGGAUGGAGUAGCGGUUCGGGAUGAGGACGCCGUAUCGAUUGGAAGGAGGUGGUGGCAAUUUAGCUGUAACUUACCGUGAGAUCCAGGGGUAGUUUCGUAAUGAGUGGGGUGCGGACGGAGAGGAAGCCAUGGGGAGCUGUUUUUUUUCGGAUUCUUCUCGCUAGUACAAAAUGGAGAAUGGCUUCACGAGUGCUUCGCGAGAAAAGCUGUUUUUUUGAAGGGUGUUUGGCGCAACUUCUCCGAAACCGCUUGAGAAGCUGUCCAAUAAAUCCUACCACGGAGCCCUGAAUUCCACGUGAAAGAGAAGAAACAAAUUCACGUUUAGCUGAGAACUGAGAAAACAAAACUCGCGAGCAAUUCAUCUGGCCCCAGGGAUUUUUUAUAUACAAAUAGAAACGCCUUCACAACUUGCUGAAGAGUUGUUUAGAGAGGGAGGAGAAAAAAAUCGGUUCUCGCAUAUUCGAGGCAGGUCCUUGGCUGCUUGCCGUCUAACACCAAACACCAGCUCACCCAACAGAUUCCUGCCACGUAUACCUCACCGACACCAAGCGAUCGAGCCGUAUCAUACGUGCCAGUAGCACCCUUACGUGGCGCUCCCCUAAUGGUCAGAAGAGCUGAUCGCGACAGCGCUCCCGUCGCAGCUCGAGCUCAACGCAUCCGAUCACACCCGACGCAGCAGCGCCCGUGCAAUUAUGCCACCGCGUGGAGCCCGCGGGUCCGGGGCCCACUUGCCAGUGACACGGCUGGCUCAGCCAUCAUCGUCGCUGACACGCCCCCUGAAAAGGGCUUAUCGGAUACCCGCAAAAAAAAGAAAGAAAAGGGCUUAUCGGAGGAGUAAGCGCGAAGUAAUCCCAGCUCAUCGCUCCAAAAUUACCUUGCCACGUCGAUGACACCGUGGAUUAGCGUGGUAAUCAAAUGGGGAAAUGGCGAGCGAGGCAGCCUGGCUAUAAAAGAGCUCCUUGCCCCUCCUUUCCUCCUCCCCGCCCCACCAACACUCCCAAGCCACCACCAGCCAUCCCAUCUCCACUCGUCCACAGCCAAAAUCCGCCUACCCAAUCCCCAUCCAUCCAGCGCCCACCCACCACCGUUCCAGUGAGUUCGAGCGAGGUAAGCUUAGAUCUGAGCGAGUUCUCGCGCGUCGCAGGUAAAGUUCACUCUCCUGACCCUCUUCCUCCUCUCCUUGUUCUUCUUGGUUUCGUCUUCCUCGAGCAGACAGCGAGAGACCCGGGACGUUUUAGAUCCUGGGCUUCAGAUCUGCUAUUUCUUCUUCAGCUUGGUUUUUAGCAGUCUAGGUUGCUAGUUUGGUAGCCAAGAGGGGUUCUUUUUCCACACCUCCCUUGUGCAAGUCCGUGCGCAGAUCUACCAUCAGAGCCAUCUGUUUUUUACUGUGGCUGUUGGGUUCUGCCUGAUUUGUUCUUGGUUUGCUAGAAAGAAAAAAAAACAAAAAAAAGAGUUUUCUUCAGGUCUACUACUAAAGUCUAGAUGGCUGCCGCUAUAGAUCUGUCCGGGGAGGAGCUGAUGAGAGCUCUCGAGCCUUUUAUCCGGGAUGCCUCUGCUCCUCACGGGUCCAGUCCGCUUCUCCAACACCACCACCCUCUCAGUCCCACCUCUCCCUUCUCCUUCCACCACGCCGCCGCCUACGGUGGCGGGUACCCGUUCGCCGCCGGAGCCGAGGGGGCGGGCCAGCUGAGCCCGGCCCAGAUGCAGUACAUCCAGGCCCGCCUCCACCUGCAGCGCCAGGCGCAGUCCUCCGUCCUGGGCCCGCGGGCCCAGCCCAUGAAGGUCUCGUCGGCGUCUGCGGCGGCCCCGACCCCGCCGCGGCCGCAGAAGCUGUACCGCGGCGUGCGGCAGCGGCACUGGGGCAAGUGGGUGGCGGAGAUCCGCCUCCCGCGCAACCGCACCCGCCUCUGGCUCGGCACCUUCGACACCGCCGAGGAGGCAGCGCUCGCCUACGACCAGGCCGCCUACCGCCUCCGCGGCGACGCGGCGCGCCUCAACUUCCCCGACAACGCCGCCUCCCGCGGCCCGCUCCACGUCUCCGUCGACGCCAAGCUCCAGCAGCUCUGCCAGAACAUCGCCGCAUCCAAGAAGGGCGCCAAGAAGUCCGCCGCAGCCGCCACGUCAUCCUCCGCCCCCACCAGCAAUUGCUCAUCGCCGUCCUCCGACGACGCGACCUCGUCCUGCCUCGAGUCCGCCGCCGAGUCCUCGUGUCCGUCCCCGUCGCCGUCCGCCUCGCCCGAGUCGACGGUGCCGGAGAUGCAGCAGCUGGACUUCAGCGAGGCACCGUGGGACGAGGCCGCCGGCUUCGCCCUCACCAAGUACCC